rnacentral:lncRNA from 1 species
CUUCUCUAGCAACGCGAUCCACUCUGGCAUCGUAACCAUUAACUCGAUUAAUCCAGCUGAGACAGGGCACAGAUUUGACUAAAAUUCCUCCGUUCAGUAACUCCAAGAAUUCGCCCAACAGCAGCUUGAAUUUCUUUCCAGUUUCCCCUCCACCGUAUUUCCUCCCAAAAGCCGAUCUGCAUACAAUAUCAUUAGUCAGCGAAACAAACAUUUCGCUCAAAUUCACAGGUGUCGAAUCCAAAGAAGCGUCUUUAAUCUUCUGCAUCAUAAUCGACGUUUCCUCUUCCCUUAUAUUACGAAACGCCUGAACUUUUUUGUUGCUCAGGAGCUGAAGAACACAAAUACUCUUUAACUGUCUCCAAUACUCGCCAUAGGGUGCUACCGAUAUAUCCUUCAUGUUAUAGAGAAGUUUAUUAGCUGUGCUCGAAAAUGGCCUAUAAGAGAAAAUCAAAUCGUGGGUUUUCAUGAUUAGGCUAGCUCCAUCAGCUGAUGAAACUACAACCGUUGGAACACUACCAAAUUUGAGAAACAUGAUUGGACCAUAUUUUUGGGCUAAGGAGUGGAGAGGAUAGUGAGGCAGUGAGCUUAGCUGAUGAAGAUUUCCAAUAAUCGGAAGUCCUGGUGGCGAUGGUGGCUGAUUCUUUCUCGAAUUUGAAACUAAUUUGAAGAGAAACCACAGUAAGAUUAAAGGGAAAAGGGAAAAAAAGAUUGGAUGAAACAUAUAUACAUCAAACUUUAGCUCCGAUACCAAGCCUGAUGAGCUUGCCAUUUGCUUUAAUCUCCCCUGUAUAAAUGCUCAGGCUACAAGACUCUGAUUUCAGACAAAAAUUGGAAAACAAGUACGGACAAGCAAAACCAUGCAUGAGUCUCCUAUUGGGGGCCAUUCUGGCCAAAUGGCCUGUGCUCAGAGGGUGCAAAGCUUGUUCUAUUGGCCAUGCAUGACGACAGAUAUUAUUCAGUUUAUGCAAGGAUGUGAGGUUUGUCAAAGGAACAAAAGUGAACAUGUACCAUAUCCAGGACUGUUACAGCCUCUCUCUAUACCAACUCAAGCUUGGUCUCACAUCACCAUGGAUUUCAUAGAGAAACUACCUUGUUCUAGGGGGUUUGAUACAAUUCUGGUGAUCAUAGACAGACUCACUAAAUUUGGUCAUUUUAUGGCUCUCUCACACCCAUUUUCAGCAACACAGGUAGCUCAGCUCUUCUUGGACCACAUCUAUAGGCUGCAUGGUAUGCCUGAAUCUAUCAUAACAGACAGAGACAGAAUUUUUUACUAGCAAGUUUUGGCAAGAAUUGUUCAGGUUGACUGGAACUGAGCUGCAUUAUAGUUCUUCCUACCACCCUGAAACUGAUGGCCAGAGUGAGAGGCUUAACCAAUGCUUAGAGACUUAUCUGUGAUGCAUGACGUGCGAGCUCCAACUCAGUGGAGUCAGUGGUUAAGCUUAGCAGAACUAUGGCACAACACCUCUUAUCACACUAGCCUAGGAGCUACACCCUUCGAGACUCUCUAUGGCUAUAAACCACUGUCCUUACCUAUAGGACUUUACCAGGACACUGUGGCACCAGCAGCCAGCACUAUGCUACAAACCAGAGGUCAAAUGCUGCAAAGAAUCAAGGAGCAUCUGUACCAAGCACAGAAUAGGAUGAAGGUGUUUGCUGAUAAACACAGGACAGAGAGACAAUUUGAAGUGGGGGAUUGGGUCUUCCUUAAGUUGCAGCCAUACCGUCAACAAUCUAUAGCAAUCAGAAAGUGUUUGAAAUUGGCUGCCAAAUUUUAUGGGCCUUUUCAGAUCAUAGAGAAGGUUGGUGCUGUGGCUUACAAACUCCAGCUGCCUGCAGGAGCCAAGAUUCACCCAGUAUUCCAUGUUUCACUCCUUAAACCAAAACUGGGGCCACAUCAACCUACUAAUCCUACGCUUCCAGAGCUUGACCACCAAGAUCAGUGCCUUUUGCAACCUGCUGCCAUUUUACAAAGAAGGGUCAUCCUACGCAAUACUGCUCCUGUCAUACAAUACCUUAUCAAGUGGCAUCAAUUGGGUGAAGAGGAGGCAUCGUGGGAGGAUCAAUCAUUUUUUAAUAGCCAAUUUCGAACUUCCAGCCUUGAGGACAAGGCUGCUUUCAGAGAGGAAGUAUUGUCAGGCAUAGGGACUUAAUUGCAAUUGGAUCGAAAGUUUGGAGGGCAUUAGUGUAAUUUCUCAUAUGGAGCCAAAUUUGUUAAAAGUUAGUUAUAACUGAUUUUGCUGAAAGAAUAGUUAGCUGCACGGAAAUUCUUGCCAAUAAGAUUCUGUCUGAUCAUUGAAGGUGUAUAAAUCCAGGCAAUAUAAUAGAUUUGGGGACAAGAAGAUUAAUCACAUUUAUUUCCCCCAAAUUCUCUGUCUCUCUCUUCCUUCUCCCUCUCUUUCCCUCCCAUUUCUCUUCUUCUACAUUCAAACCUUUCCACGCCUGCUGGUCUCAAUCCUUCUACUAUCACAUUGCCAAGGGCCUGACACAGUAGCCUUUUAGAAAGGUUUCUAACUUACAUGACAUGCCAUAGCCCAACAAUUAAAAAAAAAAAUCCAAGCACGUUGUUGGGCUUACAAUCCGACAGCUUUUCAGGAAAAUUCCCAAUUGGCUACUGGACUAGUCAACCCGGCAAUCCAAUAGUUGAAACAAAAAAAAAAGCCUUGCUUGUGCCGAGCUUAAUUAGCGUGACAGGCAUAGUUCUAUACCAUUUUCCUGUCAGAUCAACAUUCCUGCAUUUUUUUUUCAGCAAUAAAUAAAGGAAUUAGCCCUCAAAAAGUGACUACACUUCUAUGCCUUCAGACCCAGAAUAUUUUCUGCUCUGGAAUAGCCCGCAUGUUUUCUGAGUUUCCUUGACGUUGAUCUCAUAUCCUAUUCUACAUUUCUGAAGUCUAAGCACAUCAUCCCUGUUCUGUUUGAUAAUGCCUCCAUGGGUCCAAGAAUAUAAAGACCAUUUGCAUGAUUUUAAGAGAAAAAUGCAGUUUUGGUACCUAUACUUUGAUGCACAAGCGAUUUUAGUCCCUAAAUUUUGGACGAAAAUAAAUUUAGUACCCGAACUUUCAAAUUUUGAGCACAUUAAGUACCCUUGACGAUUUUUUCCCAAAUUGUUACCGGAAAAAGCCAUGUGACCGUCACGUGUUCGGCCACAAUUGUAUAAAAAAAAUAGAAAAAUGCAAUUUUGGUACUCAAACUUUGACGCACGAGCGGUUUUAGUCCCUAAAUUUUGGACAAAAACAAAUUUGGUACCUGAAUUUUCAAAUUUUGAGCACAUUAAGUACCCUUGACAAUUUUUUCCCAAAUUGUUACCGAAAAAAGCCAUGUGACAGUCACGUGUCCAGCCAUAAUUGUAUUAAAAAAAAGGCCAAAAAAAGGUCAAAUGCCAUUCUAAUACUAAGUAUUAAAUUUAAGGACUAAUAGCGUAAUAAAGAAAAAAUUCAAGGACUAAAUAACAUCACAUGAGUCAAUUAAAAAAAAAGAAGAAGAAAACGAUGUAAAAUUCUACCAAACUUAUUUCUAUCUUUGUUCCAUCUCUCUCUCUCUCUCUCCCCAAAGAAAACCUAAGAACCGAACUUCAACAAAAAUUCAAGUUGAGCAUGACGUGAUCCAGCAUAUGUCAAAGACAACAUGAAGACUGAUCUUGAUAAUUGUGUUCUUAUAGUUGCUCUUGUUCACCUCAUUUUCAUCUCCAAUCUUGAUACUGAGGUACACUUAAAAUUGCUUCCAGCUCUUUCCCAACUGUUUUUCCAUUGUGUCAGUAUCCCCUUCUUGUUAAAAUUGCUUCCAACUGCUUUGUCCAAGGACUAGUUCAAGUUUCUUGUAUCAAGUUAGGUAGCAGAAUACAUGACCUUUGUGAAAUACAGGAUUACACAUCAUUAUUUACACCUUUGUGGCUUGAUUCUUAGAUUAAUGUACUGGAAUUGGAGCUCAUUUGUAUCGGUUCUUGGGUUUUGUUGACUCAUGUGAUGUUAUUUAGUCCUUGGAUUUUAUUUAUUAUGCUAUUAGUCCUUAAAUUUAAUACUUAGUAUUAGAAUGACAUUUGACAUUUUUUUGGCCUUUUUUUAUACAAUUGUGGCUGGACAUGUAACUGUCACAUGGCUUUUUCCGGUAACAAUUUAGGAAAAAAUCGUCAAGGGUAUUUAAUGUGUUCAAAAUUUGAAAGUUCGGGUACCAAAUUUGUUUUCGUCCAAAAUUUGAGGACUAAAACCGCUCGUGCGUCAAAGUUUGGGCACAAAAACUGCAUUUUCUCUGAUUUUAAUUCCACGUGAACAGUUUCGGAUGUCAAUUUUUUAUUGAAUUAGAUGAAAUAUCAAUCAAACAGGUGAUUCCAACUUGCCUCUGACAAAGAUCAUUGAGACACUAAGCUCCUGAGUCAAGGACAAUAAAAUCGUUUCAACCAGUCGCUGAAGUAACUCUCGAUAAUUUUGGAUAUUGACAUUACGAUAAAAAAAAAUGAAAGUCCAAUCAAAUUAUACUUACUGAUUAAUGUCCACUAACAUUAGUUUCUGUUGGCCUGAUAAGUAUACGAGAGAAUGGAUGUUGACCUCGUACCCUUGUCAUCGAUUUGGCCAAUCAAAUCAAUGUACCUUUCAUUUUCGUAGCCUUAAUUUUUCUUUUUAGAAAACUCAGAAUUGCAGUGUGCUCUACUUGAAAGUGCAGGAGCAAAGUGCAUUUCCAUCCCACCAUUUCUUACUUGAAACAUCAGGUUUUGUACUCAUUUUCCUCUUUAGUAACUCUUUAAAUUUCUGGGCUUCCCUGUUCUAGUCUUGUUUUAUUGUCAUUGAUCAUAUUUGGCCAUUAAAAUUUAUGGGAUUGUCUCUUCUUUUCCCCCCUUCUGAUGGUAUAUUUUGUCACUGACCACAUUUCAUGUGAUUUUUGUGUAGUUUCGUGAAAAAAGAUUUAGGAUUCUUCAUUAUAUCAUGAAAUAAGGGAAUGAAAGUAAUCUAAGAAGUGAAGAAAGGCUUACCUUUUUUCUCAAACGUUUUUACAACACCACUUUGCAUAAAUUAGAAGUUACAGAAAAAGUAUUUGAUAGAGAUAAUAAAACAAAAGAAUAAGAAAUUUAUACAAAUGUAUCCUUUGGAUGGUGAAUAAAACCGAAGACAAAAGUUUUUUGCUGUAUCAAUUAGAAAAAUUUGUUAAGUGUCACAAAAUAUGACAAACUCUUACUGAUGUUAUGGUGCAGAGAAUACCUUUUGAGAGACAUACUAAAGCACACCAUCAUAGCUGUAUUCCAAAUGAAUACUGAUCUCCUCUCCAUUCCAGGAAAUUGCAAGGAAAAACUUCAAUGGAUCUCCUUGAAUGGCAGAGGGAAAGCUUUCUAUGCAUCAUAUUUGCAACAAUAUCAAUGGUUCUGGUGCUAAAGUUGCUGUUGAAGAAGAAGGAAAGCAGAAAUGGCAAACUCCCACCAUGUCCCCAAAACUUCCCAUCAUUGGUAACCUGCAUCUGCUUGGUAAUAUGCCUCAUGAAUCUCUUCACAUCCUUGCCAAGAAGUAUGGUCCUAUCAUGUUCUUGCAGCUUGGGCAGGUGCCAACAAUAGUGAUUUCAUCAGCUAUAUUAGCGAAGGAAGCACUGACAACCUUUGAUCUAGCCCUGUCAAAUAGGCCUCGAAUAUUUUCAGCCAAACACCUUUUCUACAACUGCACUGAUAUGGCUUUCUCUCCAUACGGUGCCUACUGGCGAAAUAUACGCAAAAUAUGUAUCCUUGAGGUACUAAGUGCAAAAAGAGUUCAGUCAUUUGGCUUCGCAAGGCAAGAAGAAGUUGCUAAUCUAGUUCAUCGUGUAGCAGAAUCGUACCCCAGUCCCACCAAUUUAAGCCAUAUGCUUGGAUUAUAUGCAAAUAAUCUCCUCUGUCGCAUUGCAUUUGGUAAAGAUUUCUCACACGGAGGAGACCAUGUUCGGCAUAAUUUUCAAAAGCUGCUUGAAGAGUAUCAAAUGUUGCUGGGAGGAUUCAGCAUUGGAGACUUCUUCCCAUCCAUGGAAUUUCUACACAAAUUUACCGGGAUGGAAUCAAGACUAAAAGACACUUUCAGACGCUUUGACCAGUUUUUUGAUGAGAUUUUGGAGGAACAUCGAAAUCCGGAGAACAGGAAAGACCACAAGGACCUGGUGGAUGUGUUACUUGAAAUACAAAAACAUGGGGAUCCUGAAACUCCUCUCACCACUGACAAUAUCAAAGCAAUAAUUUUGGUUAGUUAGAGCAAAGUUCUUGUUUCAUUCUUGACUCCAGCUUAAUCCUACUAGAAGAAUCAAAUGCUCUGCUCAAAACUAUUAUUUUCUAAUGCUGUCUUACUUAGCUCCAGUUUCUAAUUGCUUCGAUAUUGUUGAUGCAGGACAUGUUUGCAGCAGGUACAGAUACAAACUUCAUCACCUUGGAUUGGACAAUGACAGAGCUCAUAAUGAACCCCCAGGUGCUACGAAAAGCACAGGCCGAGGUCAGAAGUAUUGUUGGAGAAAGAAGAUCAGUUUCAGAGACUGACCUGUCUCACUUGCACUACAUGAGAGCUGUUGUGAAGGAAACUUUUAGGCUACAUCCCCAGCUCCAGUAUUACUCCCUAGAGAAUCCAUGGAGGAAGUGACAAUUGAUGGCUAUCCCAUUCCUUCCAAAACAAGGUUCUUCAUCAAUGCUUGGGCAAUGGGAAGAGACCCUGAAACAUGGGAAAAUCCAGACAUAUUUGAACCAGAGAGGUUCAUGAAUAGUCCUAUUGAUUUCAAGGGCCAAGAUUUUGAGCUCAUACCAUUUGGUGCCGGUAGACGAAUGUGUCCUGCUGUUACAUUUAGUACAGCAACAUUUGAGCUUGCUUUAGCUCAACUUCUGCAUAGCUUUGAUUGGGAGCUUCCUCCAGGAGUUAAAGCAAAAGAUUUGGACCUGACUGAAGCUUUUGGCAUCACCAUGCACAAAAUAUCUCCUCUCAUGGUGCUUGCAAAACCAAACUUUUCUGAAGGUCUCAAUGGAAAAUAGAGACCAAUCUGAGAGGUGUGAUUCCAUGAAAUCGCUUCUAAGGAAAAAUGCUAUGUCCCUGAACAACUGGUAUUUCUUUCGGUCAAAUUAUAUAGUCUUAAGUACCUUGAAUAACCGAAGGCGGGGCAUAUUCACAGUUAUGUCCAGUCUUUGUACCUGUUACAGGAAUCAAUGUGCAAUAGUACUAACUCUGUGUAUUCAGAUUUUGUAAUUAAUGCACCAACGACAAGCACCAGAAUGAAAGCUUAAUUGUGUCAGCUCCAAGUCCCCGAUAGGUAAAGAUAGAAUGACCAAAAACUAAAGCAAGUUAAACUAAAUUGUGCUUCAAUUAAAGAUUGCUUCAGAGCCGUCUGAAAAUUGAUAUGGUAGCAGCAAUAUAUAUUCACGAAAUACAUCUGCCUGUUCUGUGAAAAUUCACAACUAGCAAACUUCUCAAGUAUAAACUGGCCAACUUCUCACAGGUCCAGGCGGUUCUCGCAGCAAGAAUUCACCGAGACAACAUUAUUCCGCAAACACCUACAUUUCUUUGAAUACAUCCCACUAAUUGUUUGGAUCUUGAAAUUAAAUGUAGAAGAAAAUUGGAAGUCUUUGAUGAUCUCGCAGGCUUUUUUUUUUUUUAAUUAACCUCACAGAAAGGACAGUAACAUGGGCUUUAUAUUCAACUGUAAUUUUCCUCCUCUGGCUUCCUCAGGGAGGCAUUUUCUUUGAUAUCAUAUUGUUUGAAGGUCAAAAAAGUGGGGGAGUUAGUCAAGCAUAGAACUUGAAUCAAGACAAAUUGAAUAUCCAUCGUCAAUUGUAUCAUCAUAAUAUUUUUAGGUUCACCGGUAGUGUAGAAUCAGGACAAAAUGAUAAAAUCAGAAUUCAGUAUCUUCUUUAUUGGAUCCUAACGAGUGUCAUACAUUAGCGUGACGCGGAGUUUAAUCGAUCUACUCUCCUUGUAAUGUUCGAAACUCUAGUAUUUGGUUGGUGCAACUUGCAAGACUAUGCCGUCGGUAGAAACUAGAAAGUUGGAUCAUCCAAUUGAGCUACCAAUUUUCUAAUUAAUGGUCUCUCAAUAAAUUAAGCUAUAGUACAGUAAAAACCGUGUUUCUAUUUUUUUUUUUUGAUAAAAAUCAAAUUUCAUUAACAAAUUACAAGAACCGUGUUUGUACAUCGCUGCUUUAAUAGCCUGUUAAACAUGCACUAGAAAUUACAGAUUUGUAAUUUAAUCAAUAUAAUAGAUUUGAAAAAUUAUGAACAACUCUGAAAAAUACAAGAAAUUUUAAAGUUGUCUUCUAAUAGAUAAAUCACUGCAAUCCUCUCCUAUACAUGAUGCAAUCUAUUAAUCAACGGUUUUAAACUCCAAUGAUGAUGAUGACAUCUAUCAAAAUAGAUCAAAGAUCCAAAAAAAUUUUAGAUCUAACAACCAAAUCUGAAAUAAAUUUAGAUCUAAUCAACAAAAAAAAGAAAAAAAAAACAAAAAUCUCCACAAGAAUCUCUGGGGAAAUAGAAAAUUCUGUUAAUAGAAAAUGAAAACUCUUACUAAGAAAACUUAGGAGAGACUUUAUUAAAAAAUUAAAUAAAACAAACUGAAAUUCAUGGGACGUGGUCUCCCUCCUUAAGGGGAAGGCCUUUGAAAAGGGAAGAAGAAGAGAGAAGAGAGAAGUUGAAAACCAUGUUUCUAUUUGUUGUUGGUUUUAUAUCCAAAUCCUAUGUUUUGUCAUUGCACUACACUUGACAAUAAAAACAACUCCCAAAUUGGACUCAGCAAAACCUGGUUCUGCAUAAAUUCAAUGGUUAACUAAGCGUGUUUGCUGAAAUGGUAUGCUGAAAUGGUAUCCUUUCUUCUUCCUUUUCUUUCUACAUUCAACUCCCUACCCUCUGCAGCAUCAGACCUGAUCUAUGGCAAUUUUGCUAAUUGCCUAAUAAAGAUAGGGAUCCCCAAUGACCAAAUAUCAAGAAUUCUUUACAGCCCCAUGAAUGUUUCCUAUAAUUCAGAUCUACAAGCCCAUACAAGAAAUGGCCUUACACAAGGGCGACAUGUACCCCAAAACCACUUCUAGCCCCCUAUAAGGGCUACAAGCCCAUGUUUUUUAUCAUUACGGUGAAAGAAUGAGUGAAAUUCCAGAAAGUGAAGCGCCUUUCCCUCAUCGAUCUGGGAUCCUGUUCAUGAUUGAAUAUUCAGUGAACUGGCAUGAAGAAGAUCCUGCAUUUGCCAAGAAGUACAUAGAGCAGACAAGGGAACUACACAGUUUAUUGACACCUUUUGUUCCAAAAAGUCCUAGGCAGGCUUUUCUGAAUUAUAGGUACCUUGAUAUUGAUACUACAGGACAGACAAUGAGUUACAAUGAAGGAAGAGUUUAUGGGAUCAAAUAUUUCAAGGAUAACUUUUACAGAUUGGUGAAAGUCAAGUCCAUGGUAGAUCCUGAAAAUUUCUUCAGGAAUGAGCUGAGUAUCGGACUCUGCCUCUCAGGCCACUCUAAUGGGGGUACAAUAAUGCUACUAUUAUUGAAAAUUUCCAAAGAUAGUAUAGAUUUUGAUUUUCCAAAAGGAUUUCAUUGUGUUUCCACACAACAAUCUAACAACAGGAAAAACACAAAACAUGAUAAUUAAAGUCUCUAGAAUUGAAGUUGAUUGUAAUUAGUGUUGGGCUGGCCCAAACAAUUCUAUGUAUAAAUCCUUAUACUAUAUAAGAAUGAGUUUAAAACUUUAAUUUCAACAGCAAGAGUGGCCUUUUUUUUGGAAAUGUGAGAGUGUUUGGAGUGCAAUUAGAGUAUUGAAUAUGAGUCAUUAUAACUAAUUUAGUUUUGUUGUAAUUACUUGGAUGACCUUUUAAACAUUUAAAGCUAGGGAUAAGUUUGAUAUGUGACAGUGUUUGAUAUCCGAUUAAACAUCGGGUACAACUGAAUUCAGCUUGUGUUUUAGUGAAAUUACAUAAAUGCCCUUCUAAUCAUUUAAUUGUAUUAACAUCUAAGUCUUUUAAUUUCUUAAAGCCUUUCUCAUCAGUUAUUUGCAAAGUUAUGAUAUAUAGAUGUUAAAACACAAUUAAUGUCAAUUAGUAGAGAAGUCUGGUUUCUCGACCGUUACCCCCAUCUAUUCAAAUUCAUUUCAUUUACUUAUAGGUUUUGUUCCAGCACAAUCAUACAGUAUAUUGAAUUCGGAUAUUUCUACAUUAGCUACUCCUCUUCUCCAUUUUGCAACACCUUUUUCAAUAGGUAUGUUUUUUUUUUAACCAAUCUACUUUUUGGUUGUAAAAAAUCUGUAAUAUUGCAAGUUGUAUGUGCAAUAACUUUUUAGUGUUUUAAUUCAAUUGUCCAUGUUAGACAAGCUUGAUACGUAAGAGACCACAUUUGUUAAUUGUUAUUUAUGGUUUAAAAUAAGUUUAUCAUCAUAAAUUUUCCCAUUUAUAGAUUGCAUCUACUUCUUUUGUUGUUUUAACUAUUAGUUAGGGUAAUUUCAAAUCGUUUGCUACUUUAUUGACUAUUCCAUUUAGACAAUUUUUCACUUCAUCUGAUUUGCCAAUAUGUUUAACUAUCUACUUAAAACUAUUUGGCUAAUAAUCUAAAGUAUGUACCUCAUUACUUUUAAUUGUUUUUCUUGAAUUGAGUGGAUUAGGAUGCUUUAGUACUUUUUUGAGGUAAUUAUUCCUCUAAAUUAGCAUGUUAGUUGUUGUAUAUCUUUGCAACUAAUACAAAACUGAUAUUUCAUGAUUGUAACCCCUAUCGAGAAGGAGAUGCUUUGCUAUAUGUCCUAAAUCAUAUAAUAAAUUAUAAUUAAUUGCUUGCUCAAUGUGAAGGCCUCGUGAUGAUAUAUGUCCUUGGAAUCAAUAUAAAUUCAAGAAUUUGGCUUGCAAGAACCGAAAUUCCACUAGCAAUGAUUUCCUCAAGUAUGCUAAUUGUUCAAAUCUCACUUAUAUGACAAGAUAAUUUGGUGGAUUGCCCUCAUAUCAAGAUUAAAUUCAAACUAAAUAACAAAUUUUAAUAUCCCUAAAAUGCAUGAGCAGAUAUAAAUAGGUCUUUUAUUAUACUAGGUUAGAUGCAAAGUAGUUGAUCGUAUCUUAUAAUUAUGUUUUAUUGCAUAUUAUAUUUUUUGACACAAUAUGUAACUUAUGAUUUUUUUAAAUUUAAUAUCAUAUAAUAAAAUUUUCAUACUUCAAUUCUUAUACUAGAAAAUGCCAAAUAAUAAUUAUUAACCAUCUUUAAUUAUAGGCACUAAACUCCCACGCGUUGCGUGGGCUUUUCCCCCUAGUAUAUAUUAUAUAAAGAUAAAUAAUAUUUGCACUCUAAUAAAAUUCUCAAACACUCUAAACUUGUAAUUUUUUUGUUAAAAAUGAUAUAAAGAUCCAAAACCUAUAUUCUCUAACAAUGUGAAUAAAAAAACUACCCCAAGGCAUAGUAAAUGAUCGGUUUGCAUUAUUUUCAUAGAGACCACUACAGUUUGGAUUACAAAAUCUCGGUUAAAGUUGUAAAAGUCCACUAAAGAAUAAUGAACGAGUCCAAAAAUAAUGCUCAACUCCAAAUCAAAAUGACUAGUACUUAAGAAUUACCAAAUAAGUUAUACACAUAAAGAAUUUAUAGAAUAAUAAUUUUAAAAAAAUUUCCUCCAUUAUUAAUAUUACAACAAUUUAGGACUGAUAUAAGAAUAGUGAAAAUAAGACAAAUUGAAAAGAUGAAACAGGAAGAGUUACCGAUAAAUGCAUAGAUGGCCAAUUCGUCUCUUAGAAUAUUUUAUAUGUUUUUGUAUCAUUUCAUUAACCAAAAAAAAAAAAAAAAGAAGAGGAUGGAGUACUUAGAGCAUUUUUGGGAUUGCCAAUAUCAGUUGUCUAUAUUAAUAACACUCUAUAGAGUUUAUAAGUAUACAAUUAUAAUGUAAAAACCUAAUAUGUAUAAUUAUAUGAGAGUAUAUAGUUAUUAUUACAUAUUGUAUAUAUUUACAGCAUAUUUUAAUUAUGAACUUGUGCUCAGCCCCAAGUAUGCUCGGAAUUCCAUUAUUUUUGUGAGUCGAGUAUGAUCUUCACAGUAAGAGGUCAAAGCUCAAAACCCAGAAAUUCUAUUACUUUUGUGAUUCGAACCUCGAAAUGCCAAAGCCUACCUUGAAUAACUCGGUUGAUAGCCCUGGGUCUUUCUUUAACAUGAAACAGUGACUAUGAAGUCACGUAGUUGAUUACUCAAAAUUCUCCGUCACUUUCAUCCUUAACUUUUUAGUUGUUUUUUUUCCCCAAAUUAACAGCAUCAUCUAACCAUUCAUACAACAAAAAUUUAUUCUCUCUUGUGAUUCUCAACUAAAUAGGGAAAACGAGGGAAUCCAUUAAAUGAGGAGGCACUUGCAGUCAGAUUAGCUCUCCUAAUGGCCAAGGAAGCUGACUGCAGGAGAGUGGAAAUACAAUCUAACUGUAAAGCACUCAUUCAUAAGAUCCAUGCUCAGGAGACUCAGGUCAGUGAAACUGCAAAAUUCGGAUUCUUGAAUUGAGAGAGCUGUUUGAACAAUGUAUAUAUCCAAAGGAAAGAAAUGCUUGUAAUCAUAGGUAGCUCAAUUUGCACUUUAGUUAGUUAAUGAUGUCAAAUGGGAUUCUAGUAUUCCACUGUCACUUAUUUAUUUCUUUAAUCAAGAGCAUCGACCAAUUGCUAUUUCUUAAUGUCCAAAGUGAUAGAGAAAGAUUUUUUACAACUAUUGCCUCUCGGAUCUUCUAGUGUCACUGCUCGGGCCAUUGCCGGCCUGAGAUGGCUUCUUCAAAGCAUGCUUACAUGGUGGCCUGAAGGCGACUUAAAGUCACUACAGGAGGAGAAGGCGACUUUAAAAUAGUCAUUUGAGAUGGCGAUUUUGAUUUGUUUUUCUAUUUUCUUUUUCUACUUUUUCACCCAAAGUGAGUCAUCUAGCUAAAAUAACAAAGCGAGUCACCUUUAUAAAUGGCGAAAUCUCUACUGUUGGAAAACUUCAAAAUUUACUAUUAUUUUCAUAAUUUAAAAAAAAGGAUUAUUUAGGUAAUUCACUCCAUCAAUCCUAUUCUUGUAUUCGAAUCAUUCUACAACAAUUCAAUGAGGUAGCCCUCCUCAAGCUUGAUUUUGCCAUGCCUCCCUUGUUAGAAGCCACCGAGUUUAUCAAUCGUUUCUUCUCGUCCAUAUUUGCGGGAUUCCUGUUGCUUAAUCUUCGAAAAUUUAUCGUUUGGACAGUGAAAGAUUUUGGCUGCUGGUGGAAGAUAAACUAAUCUCUGCUUGAGCUGGCAAAUGCCAAUUAAGAUUGGUCUUUCAAUAAAUUAAGCCAUAUUUACGAUAUGUUUUUUGUUUUCUUGCUGGUUUGCGAGGAAUCUUGGGUUUAGAAGGCCAGUGCACAAACAGAUAAACAUGUUUUUCCUUUCUUGUUGGUUUGUAUAUAAAUUUAUGAACUUUGUUGGAAACUAAUAUUUGUUCACGUGAAAGUGGACGGCUAAAAUGCUAAAUCUUUUGUGUACAAUUGAAAAAAUACAUAGUUUUGGGUGUAUAAUUAUCGUAAAAAUUUAAUUACUACCUCAAAGAAAAAAAAAUACGUAGUUUUUGAUGUAUAGAUAUUGUCACCUUAUAGUAUAUUUAUGUAUAAACUCUUUUUAAAAAAAUUGGGAUUGUAGUUCAAUAGUUGGAAUAAAAUAAUUUCUUGAUAUAGAUAUGUGAAAAUGCUAUUUAUAAUUCUUUAUUUAAAUUAUUUAUCUAUUAAUCAAGUUGAAUAAUAUGCCAAAUGUGGAACAUGUCUACUGUUGGUUCUGAAUUAAUGAGCAAUUCACUCAUAGCCUAGGGGUGCAUAUUGCUAGUAACUUAAAUUCACCAAGUAUAAAUUGGUAUGGUACAUGGAAAUUGUGAUCAACACCAAGUCCGCAUCUUAGAUUGCCUGCAAUGUUACCCUCUCUUCUUCUUCUUCUUCUUCUUUUUCUUUCUGCAUUCAAUUCCCUAACAUCUGCAGCCUCAGACCUCGUCUUUGACAACUUUGCCCAUUGCCUUGCAGGAAAAGGGAUCCCAGAUGACCAAAUCUCAAGCAUUCUUUAUAGCCCCAUUAACGCUUCCUACACUUCAGUUUUACAAGCUUAUAUAAGAAACAGGAGAUUCAACACUUCCACAACCCCAAAACCGCUUCUCAUAGUCACAGCUUUAGAAGAAUACCACGUCCAAGCAGCUGUUCUAUGUACAAAAAGAACUGGGCUGGAACUGAAAAUCAGAAGUGGCGGUCAUGAUUUUGAAGGAAUCUCAUACGUUUCCAGUGUUCCAUUCGUCAUUCUUGACAUGUUCCACCUUAGUAGUAUUCAUGUUGAUAUUGAAAAUGAAAUUUCUUGGGUACAAGUUGGCGCGACACUUGGGGAACUCUACUACAGGAUUUGGGAAAAGAGUAAAGCACAUGCAUUCCCUGCCGGUGUAUGCCGAUCAGUAGGCGUAGGCGGCCACAUAAGUGGGGGAGGUUAUGGCCCUAUGCUACGCAAAUACGGCCUAACUGUAGACAAUGUUGUUGAUGCACGAAUCGUCGAUGUUAAAGGCAGGAUUUUGGAUAGGGAAGCAAUGGGGGAAGAUCUUUUCUGGGCUAUUAGGGGUGGUGGUGGUGCGAGUUUUUGCGUUGUUUUGGCGUACAAAAUCAAGUUAGUCAGGGUACCAGAAAUUGUAACAUUUUUCAGGAUUGUUAGGACCAUGGAAGAAAAUGUAACAGAUCUUGUUUAUAGCUGGCAACAGGUAGCCAACACGAUUGACAAUGAUCUCUUCAUCAGAGUUCUGGUCCAACCAGUUACUGAACAAAUCAAUGGGCAGAGUCAGACUACAAUUGGAGCAACAUUUAUAGCAUUAUUCCUUGGAGAUGCCGAUGGACUCUUAUCUGUUAUGAAUGGAAGGUUUUCUGAAUUGGGAUUGAAGAAACAGGACUGUUUGGAAAUGAGUUGGGGUGAAUCACUCCUCCGGUGGGAAGGUUACGCGAGUGGUACACCCAUGGAAGCUAUCCUUGACAAGACUUAUGCCAACUUCGCGAAGAGGAAAUCAGAUUAUGUGCAGAAUCCAAUUCCAAGGCAUGGGCUGGCCUCCAUAUUCAAGAAAGUGAUUGAGCUAAAUAAAACAGUACUGGAAUUCAAUCCUUAUGGCGGAAGAAUGAGUGAAAUUCCAGAAAGCCAAACGCCUUUCCCUCAUCGUUCUGAGAUCAUUUUCAAGAUCGAGUAUUUAGUGAUUUGGCAGGAAGAAGGUCCUAGAUUUGCCAAGAAAUACAUAGAGCAGACACGGGUGCUAUACAGUUUGAUGACUCCUUUCGUUUCAAAAAAUCCUAGGCAGGCUUUUCUGAAUUACAGGGACCUUGAUAUUGGAACCACAGACAACGGGAAGAACAGUUACAACGAAGGAAGAGUUUAUGGGCUCAAAUAUUUCAAAAAUAAUUUUUACAGAUUGGUGAAAGUCAAGACCAUGAUAGAUCCUGAAAAUUUCUUCAGGAACGAGCAGAGUAUACCAACUCGGCCCUCCGGCCAUUUUAGUUGGGGUAAAACUUUCAAGCUUAUUAACACUUUUACUCUUUUACGAUCCAGAAUUGGGUGCAAAAGUUAUUAUUUAAAGUUUUUGACUCGGCCUGGCUGCAUUUUUAAUUGAAGUACAGUUCUCAACAUUCAGGCCCAGUAUAUUUCUGGUCAGGAAUAGCCUGUGUUCUUUGUCUUUGCCUUGCCAGUUUCUUGCACUGAUAUCAUAUCCAGAUCUACGUUCCUGAUUGCUAUUUGCAACAUCUGUUCUACAAAUAGCAUUAUUGUUUUGAAUAGCUCGGGUCAAAAUAUAUUUUGUGUUACAAAUAGUAUAGUUUCAAAUGGCGUGUUCUAGUCAUUAUGUCUGUUAUACAAGGUUAAAUGUAUAAUAGUACUGAAUUGUUUGUUGCACUCGAGUUUUGGUUGUUGUAUAGACUUGUUUAAGGAGAACCAGGAGGAGAACACGCGCGAUGCGCGGUGAAAAUUUUCAUGUUUGCCCAGUUAUUCAUGGUACAUAAUUAAAUUUCAAGUUUGUCCAAUUAUUUAGGGUUUUCCAGUUAUACAAAGUACAUAAUUGUUGCAAAUUAUAUUAAGCUGAAUCAUAAAUAUUGUAUUCAUCCAUUCAAAAUUAGAUAAAGCUGUAUCGUAUUUAUCCAUUCAAAAGUUUCUAAAACAAUUAGCAAGAGUAAUUUUUGAUGAUACUGUAACUGUGAAGUGCAUCCAUGUUAGCAAACUUAAGAAAAUGGACUCUCAUCUAGAAAGAAAAUGAAAAGUAUAAUUGUAAGUUACAGACUUACUGGAUUUCUUUCUCCACCAAAUUUUACCAUUAGAAAGCAGUAUCAGUACAAUAUUCUUAAUGUUCCAAAAGGUAUAAAUUAUAAAAAUACAAAAAGCCUAUGAAAUGCCCUUUUUCUCUCAACUACUAACACCCAUGAAGACUUCUUUUUUUAAUGUAAAUAGUAAGAGAUGCAAGACUCAAACACAAUCUGGAGUGGAGAGCUGCAUAUGCUUCCAGUCUGUGAUAAGAUAAACAAGUCAUUAUCUCAAGUUUAGAAGCUUAUUGAUAUAGCAAAUGAGAUACGAUAAAGCAAAUGAAAUAGAUAUAUAAUGGAAAUAUUUUGGGUGCAUGAUAACAACAAAGAAAGGUAUCAAUACCUUUCAAAAUGGCAUUUGAGGCCAAAAUAUUCAUCCACCGACCCAACAAAUUUUAUCACUUUAAUCUUGUUUUCCUACAACAGUUGAAACUUAUUCAAAACUGUUUUUGAAUCUUGGAAUUAAAUCACCAAAUUGCAUUAGCUGUGACAGCUCCACCUCCCCCUAAGGCGAACCAAAGAGUUCGGCGGACCGCUUGCCCAACUCUCGCCAGGACUACGGAGUCGAAACUCACAAAUCCUAUAGUACGCGCGAUGGGACCCAAAGAAAAAUGAACAAUCGGAGACAACUAAGGUGAGAACAUGCUUACCAAACCAUAAGAUCUUAAUAUCUCAAAUGAAUACACUUAAUAGACAAGAUUAAACACUUAUACAUAUAUUUACAUCGGAGUCUUUAACAAAUUAACUAAACUACGAUACAAACCAAAGUAUUCAUACAAUUAAAAAUAUAAUUCGGGUUUCGGUUAUAAAAGAGCUUAACAAAAUAAUAUUUACACUAGCUCGACCCUUUCUUCCAAAAUCAAGGAUUCAAAGUUUGCCCCCUGAAAGGAAAACAAAGUUAACGGAAAGGGGGUGAGUUUACGCUCAAUGAGGUACCAAAAUAAUAGCAGUCAAGAAUCAUGGAGUUUCAUGUUCACUUAGUCACAUAUGCAUAUCACAUAGAGAAAUGAACAAACACCUUAGAUAGGAAUGAUACAGGUAGCUCUCAGGAGCCAAAAUUCCCAUUGCCAUACUUGAACCAAAUUCGUUGACUCUCCGUCAACGUAUAAAGAACAACCAUGUCCGUAGACCCCACUUUACACCAAAUUCCGUCUACCGAACAUACCCUUACCGGACCCGAACACCACAUACAGAACAGAGAUGGUAAUACUCGAGUAUACCGGAAUCAAGAGUCUCAAUACUCAAAGAUUCCCAGAAACAGACUACCGUGGCUCGUUAUCUAAUCAAUCAGGCCCUUGCCGGCUCGACUCGAGAGACUAACCACAGGUUUUGAGCUCAGAAAUCACUGAAGGGUCGUUGGAUACAAGCCUCCAAACAAUGUCAGAAUAGACUUAGAUACAGAUAACAGAGUCAAGUAUACACAGUAAAUAGGCAUACAGAUAACCAAGAGAACGAGUGUGAUAAAGUACACUCUCGUCUCAAACAGAAUAAACAGAUAGUACAGUCAUUCAAAUUACAGAUUUCAUGUACAGAAACCAAGUUAAACAACAAAUGAGGGGAGUGUUACACUCACCAGUUCCAGUACAGAUACUUCAAAAGUUUUUACCCAAAGUGGCUUUAAUCGCCAAGAAACCCUAAAAUAAUCAAGAUAAAACAAUUAUAGUUCGCACAUCUACAAACCCAGUAAAUGGAAUGCAUAAAUGAGACUCGACUACAUGUCGUACGCCUUUCCAGGUUAAGUACUAGUACAAAAGAAUAAAAUAUGACUUUUGAGCAAAAAGAUAACAAUUGGUCUUAGAGUUACAAAUAACUCCCAAAAUCCCUUCAUUUUUACCAAGAUCAAUUCAACUUGAAGGAAUCGCGUAGCCCUAAAAUUUUGGGCAGCAUGCCCUCUGUAUUUACCUAUUUUCCAAUCAUUUAUGGCUUCAUUAUUUUCCUUAACUCAGUCCAAUUCAACACAUAAGAAAUCUCAAUACAAUAGCCCUUCAACUAGGAUCAAGUUCAUCCAAAUACAAAGCAUAGUCUAGGAAUGCAAUUGGAAAUCAAAUUUUAAGGACAAAAGCUAAAUAGCAGGUUUGACGUCUCUUAGCGUAUCGGUCACAACCGAAGCUACACUUAUCGGAUUGGGGUGUAAUUUAUACCGUUUCGAAGCUAAGAUAAAGGCCUACAACUUUGAUGAAGACCACUUAGUCCAGUUAGUAGUGUAUCUAGGUCAAAUUUUCAAAUUACAGAACCAGCAUCUCACAAUCAGACUAGUUAACCGUACUAUGAUUAAAUGACAAUAACUCAGGCUACCGAAGUCCGAUUGAGGUGUAUCUUAUGGAGUUUCGAAGCCAAGAUAUAUACCUACAUUUCUUAUGAAGGCCUCAAAAGUUAAAUCAUGCAUUUUCAGAGUCAAAAUUGAAAUCUCCACGAAGACAGAAAACUAUCCGCGAAACAGGGGUUAUGGGCAGUCAAGGGUAUUUCAGUCAUUUCACAUGAUACAGUGCUCCGAUUGAGCUGAAAUUUUACAAACAGUUAUAAAACAUUAUUUCCUACAACUUUUAUGUUUUGUGCUAAGCCUAAUUCGUUCUCUAACAUGGUCAAACAGAACCGGGUAGAACAGGGUAAAUUGGAAACUUUAAAACUGAAAUUUAUGCACUCUAGUUGAAACUUUUUGAAGGCAAGCAAAACUAGCAUUUUCAAGCUCAAAAUUACUCAUGACAACUACCAAAUCAUGGCUAAACAUCAAUCAUCAUAUGAGGACAGAAAAUUUACUAUAAAAACUGAAAUUCACCAUGCCCCUACUUCAAACCAUAAACUUGUCCAUAAAGCUACAUAUUUAACCUUUCCAAUACACUAAUUAACAAUUAUUACAAACAAAGAGGGAUUUUGCAAGCAAAGUAUCUUGGAUCCUCAAGAAAGAUGGUGGUUUAGAGAUCUUCUUCCCAAAUUAGCUCCACAAACACCUUGAAAACUACCUUAACUAGUACUUUUAUGGAGUAGUUUGCGAUUUAAUCAGUUGGAACUCAAGAUUUGGACAAGAAAUUGAAGUGGAAGAUGAAGAACUCUCUUGGUUUCUCUCUCACUAAUUUCAGCCAAAGGAGACAAGAAAAUGAAUGAAUUUUGGUCAAAAAUCUGAUUUAGUAAAGUUACUAACCUUGGUCAAAAGUCCAACUUCUAAUAGCAUAGUGACACUUGGCUCCUUUUUAGGGUUUUAAUCUUAUCCUUUUGUCUACCAAUGGUGAUUUAUCUAGCUAACCUCUAAUUGUCUCCUAGCACCUUGUACAGUAAUAUUCCGUUAUACAAAACUUUAAUUAAUCAGCAAAAAUUUAUCGCACUUAACGCACUAACGGGCUCCACAUCCAUAAUACGCUUUAAACUGAAUAUGAACUAAUUUAAACUAGGAAAAUGAUUUAAAAACUCUACUCACUAAUAAAAUGUCUGGAAAAAUCAAUAUAAUAAGGUAUAAUGAAGAAAAUGCAUACGAGAAAAUAAAAUAAAAUAAUAUAAAAAAUAAGGAAAAUUUACGGGUCCUCACACCAGUUGGUUGGGACUCAUGAUUUUUCAGCAAUAAUUCAUUAUUUUGUUCAGUCAAGAGAAGACAUGCGAUAAAUUCAGAAUAUUUUUUAAAUCUCUUCUCUCAAUAUUGCUACUGCAAGAGCAUAUUAGAGACAUGAAAAGUAGAAAAUGUCUUCCCUAACAUAUCUUCAUCAGUGACUUUUUCGUCACAUAAUGAUAAUUGAGAAGUAAUUCUGAACAUGACUGAAUUAUAUUCAUUGACAGAUUUAAAAUCUUGCAACCGUAAGUGAAGCCAAUCAUAUCUGGCUUUUGGGAACGACCAACUUCAGGUGGUCGAAUCUUUCUUUCAAAUCUUGCUAAAGGACAAGAGGAUCUUUGACAGUAAGAUACUCUAUUUUUAAUCCUUUAUCUAAAUGAUGACGAACGAAAAUCAUAACUUUGGCACGGUUUUGGUUUGAGAAUUCAUUUUUUUCAACAAUAGUAUUACCAAAACCCAUUGCCUCAAGAUGAAUUUCAACAUCCAAUACCCAUGAUAAAUAAUUUUUUCCAGAAAUGUCAAGAGGUGCGAACUCUUGUUUUGUAAGAUUAGUCAUAAGAAAUUAAAAUAAGUUUUUGACUUAGAAAUUUACCUCGGAAGUCAUCUUUGGCUGUCAUAUUUUCUUUUUCAACACAUUGGUACCUUGCUUUCUCAGGAAAGUGGUAAUUAAGCUUCUAACAAGUUGAGAUCAUUCUGUGACAGAAACUCUUGUGCAGUUUCUUUUAAAAUUAGCAAAUCUGAUGAAUGGUGGCUCAUUAGUAAAAAAUAUUUCUUAGGACAGACUGCAUUUGUCAAACCAAAAUAGUUCUGCUGGGUUAGGAUUUUCCAAAUAUUAAGUUGUGGUUUUUCUCUUGCUUUAGGGUUUAGCAAUGGUGAUGCACAAGAAUCAUGAAGGACCAGCUGUUUUUGAGAUGCUGGACAGGGCUCUGGAAUUGGCUCGUUCCGAGAAAAAAGUCAAUGAGGAGAGGAACAUAAGAAUACUAACUGCACAGAUGCAUGUAGUAAAGGUAUCCAGUUGGACUUUCUUAUACAAGAAUUUGAAGCUGUUCAGAAAUUAGGAUCUAAAUCUAAUCAAGGAAUGAUGAUGCAUUCAAGUUCUGGGUCAUUAUGCUGUGUAUACAUUCUUGAAAAUGCAUAUCCACUUUAAGAUCAGAACAAUCAUGUUUUAGGAAAUAGCUAAAAUCCACAACCAGUAAGAGAAAGUUGGGGGGGGGGAGAAUCUACGUGAUGCCCUCGUGAUCAAAAGUCUAACAUCUAAAUCUACGUGAUGCCCUCGUGAUCAAAAGUCUAACAUCUAAUAUGUUUUACUUCUGCAGGGGAAUUAGAGGAGGCCUUGGAAAAGUUUCAAGCUCUUAUUAAUGAGAACCCAAGGGAUUUUCGCCCUUAUCUUUGCCAAGUAAGUGUUUUUGUUUUUGGAUUUUUUUCUAUUUUGCUUUUUUGGCAUUUCAUCCUUUCACCUCUGCUUGAUGAAACUUUCCCUCCAAUUAUGUUUCAGCAAGGAUAUGAAAAGUUUUUUUUUCCUUUUUUUUCCUAUUUGGCUUUUUUGGCUUUCAUCCUUUCACUCCUGCUUGGUGAAACCUUGCCCACCAGUUAUGUUUCAGAGGAUAUGAAAAGGACAUGGUGCUAGUCUGCUAUAUGUAUGACUGUAAAUUCACUUGUUUGACAUUGUCAGUUAUAAAAUUUUAGGAGCAAGCUGAAAGCUGCACAAAGUCACUCUUAAAUAACAAAAAGCUACUGAGCCACAAGAUUUAUUUUUCAAAUAUUAGGUUCAUGAGGGUGUUUUAAACUUUGGCAUCUAAAUGGACAAGGAAAAACAUCAAGAAAUUUUGGAGAUGACAUUGCUAGCUAUUUAUUAGUCUACCCUGAAACUACAUAAAAGACAAGUAAAGGAACAUCACAUAUUUGAUUUUUUUAGGGAGGGUCAGGAGCAACAGGGAAGAUUAAUGAUAUGGACUUUGGACCUUAUUUUGAUGGGAAAAGUAAGGUGAAUGGAACAAGGAAUGCCAUUCUCUUUUGUCCUUCCUAGAAAUGAGUUAAAAGGAGUAGGAGAAUGGCUUCCCUAGGUGAUGUACUAAUACAUUGCACUUCUUUUCUCCUCUUCCUGCUCUUUACCAAGCAUAGCCUAAGUGGCACCCCUGGCUAGGUCCUGGAAGGAGAGACAAUUGCAAUUUAGCUAUUGGCUUGGCUUACUAAAGUAGUUUUAAGAAAGUGAAACAAAUGUUGCACUUGCCAGAUGUAGGAAAUUAUUGAUCCCUUGGAUACGUCUGUGUGAAUGUGUAGGAUAAGCUCAUGCUGAACACAACAACAAAGAUCAACUUACCUCUCAGCAUAAGCGCAUGAGGCUCCUAUCUUUACUAGAUUUGUGCUUUUGAUCUCUAAUCUUCUCAAUAUAACUAAAGGCAUAUUGCUAAGAAGAAGGCAGUGGGAUGGCUAGAAUCCAGCACUAGGAGAUUGACCAUCUUAAAGGGCAAAGGCCAAUUGAAGUGCCUAGGCUGAUUGAAGUAGGUUUGUCUUGUGUAUAAACUCAUGUCUAAUCUUUUGGGGAAGCUAAAUGUCACAAAUAUGUAUUGAAAAAGGCGGUGUCGAACAGGACACAUUUCACUUUAUUCGCUUCACAUUUUUUUGGUACAGUGCUUUUGUGAAUUUGGGGUUUUUUGUUUUGCGCGCGCGUGUGUUCAUGAGCACAUUUAUGUCACGAGUUUGUUGACCAUUUCCCUUGGCUGUUCUGGCAGGGUAUAGUUUACAGCCUGCUUGACAAAGAGAAGGAAGCUCUAGAACAGUUUGAGAUAUAUCAAAGUCUUGUACCUGAACUCAUUUUUUCAAGGAGGCUUUGUUAGCGAAUAAUCCACCAUUUUUGGUCGUGGUGGAUCAUUAAAUGGUGACUUUAUAGCCAAAGCCACAUGAUCUAAUGAUGUGAGAAAUGAAAGUGACUUACCUAUCCCAAGUGUUUCAUAGAUAUUACCUUGAAUAUACACCACUUGAGAACUUACCAAAGGAAAUGUCAUAAGAGUAUCUUGGGCAGGAAUACCUUUAGAACCUAUACUUUCACUGCACUCCUCAAGAGGGGUGAAAAAUGAGUCAUUAAAACUCACCUCUUUAGGCUCAAAGUUAGUUCCAAAGAUAUUAUCAUGUGAAAUGGACAUUUGCUCAUUGAAACACAAUUGAGAUUCAUCAUUUUCAUCAAAAUGCAACCCAUUUUCACAUACAACAUUCCCAUCAUUCAUGCUAGGAUCAUUUUGCACAUUAUUAGAGGAAAUAACUUCACACAAUGCAUUCAAUUGCUCAUGUAUUCGACCAAAGUGAGAAGCUAAUUCAUCUAUUCUUUCCUCAAUCCUAUCAAAACGAUCGGAAGUUGCAUUUGCUAGCUUUUCUAUUGCUAAAUCAAAUUGAUUAGAAAAAUUUUCUACAGCUAGCUCCCAAGAUGCAUUAGAAUCAUUAGCUAAUGGUUCACUUUCUAACUCCCAAGGUAGAGGUGUAUUAGCUAACUUCUCUAUUGCCAACUCCCAAGAUGGUUUUGAUUCAUAUUGGACACUUUCAGGUUGGUGAUCAUAAAAAUAUGAAUUAUCACUAUAAGUACAUUGAUUAUUCCAACCAUAAGCAGGAGAAUUGGUCCAAUUAGCACUAUAUUGAUCAAAACAAGGAUUGUAAUGCUCUAAUUCAUCAUAAUAAUCCACAUUUUGUGCUUGCAUACAUGUAUUAGUAGCAUGAUAACCUCCACACAAGUCACAAAUCACAUGAUAAGAAUUAAAAGCAUUAACAUUCCUUCUCUGCUCAAUUUCAUGCAUCAUGGUGUCCAUUUGAACUUGUAACUUAAUUACAUCAAAUUUUGCCUUUAAGCACCUUAAACCAUCUUCAAAAGACAUACAUUCAGUAAAUUCUUGGUUACCUCUGUUGAAGGAGCUUUGCACUUCAUAACCAUCCAUUGCCAAUCUUCCACUUCUCAAGCAUUGUCCUCCAAAUUGACCUACCCUCCUCAUUACCUAAAAUUGCUUUUAAACAACUUAAGAGCAAAAUUAGUAAGAAGACUAGGUGAUAAAACACAUACACAUAUAAAAUACUAAAAUAACAGAAAAUAACAUUCACAAUAUAACUAAUAUUAUGUCUAAACUAAUAAAGUUGCUCUUCACACCGAUAUUGCCAAAUCUUCCCCGGCAACGGCGCCAAAAACUUGACGGGUAUUUUACAUACGUGCAAGCUAAAAAAUAUCGAAUUACACCCGUUCACUGCAAGUAUACAGAUCAACUAGUAGUUUAGGGUAUAUAUCGGGUCGAUCCCACAAGAAAGAGUGAACAAUUACCGGUAUUACUAAAGCUUCUCUAUUAUUUAGACUAUCAAUGAAUUAUAACAAAUUUAACCUACUGAAAUUAUACAAAAUAACAAAUGAAAGCUCCUUAGGUUGUGGUAUCCCUAACUACUCAUGCAAGUGCUAUAUUUGGAUCAUUAAUUACUACAUCUAGGCUAGUUAUGGUGUAAUUUCCUUAUGUAUUUGAAUCCUACUUUCGUAGUGAAUCAAUUAUACUUAUAACUAAUCCAUACCUAUUCUCAUGGUUAUGAAAUUAGCUACAAGUUCAUUUCUUCAGUGAAAUUACAUGAAAUGAAUCACUAAAAACGACAUAAGUGCACCUCUACUUUCGUGAGUGUACUCCCUAUGUUUAGCACUUCUUGAACUAGUGUUAAAUCUCAAUUUUCAUUGCAGAAACAACACCUUAAAUAAUCACAAUCAAUGGUACCAGAUUAAUCAUGAUUUAAAGAGCCAAAGUGCUAAAUAACUUGCUCAAAUCAUAGCAGUCAAAUAACCAAAUAAUAAACACUAACAAUUAUAGAAAGUUCAACCAAACCCAAGGCUUAAACUUUAGAAACACAUAAUGAACACAAAAUCCAGAACUUGUAUAUUAACUAAACUUGGAAUCAAAUACAGAAGAUAAAGAGUUUGGAAGGAAUACAACCCUUGUCACAUGAGCUUUCUUCCUUGCCUUCUUCAUCCUCCAUUUUCAUCCUAAUCUAGAUAAUAAACAAGAAUGGAAAAGCUACACUACUCUAUACUAAGCUAAACUAACACUAGGGAGAUGAAAGAGCUACAUUUCUGCAGCUUCAAGCUUUCUCCCGUAGCUCUCUUCUAUUUUUCUGCUAUGGACUCCAAUCUCCCCUUCUUGCAAUGAAUUUGGCUCUUUUAUGAUGAAAGGUGGUCAAGAAAUGAGGAUUACAUCUCCCUUUUACAGCUGGGAAUGUUUCUCACAUGUCUAGCAUCCAAUGUGAGUUGGUGGAGGUGAAAUUGAGUUUUAUGCAUACAGAGCAGCCUUUUCUGACCACAAUCCGGCCAGGAAUCCGGCCACAAAUCCGGCCACAUUCCGGCCGGAUUGCUACAGUGACCAUUUGGUCACUUCUGGUUCAAUUUCCAGCUCUGCUCCGAUUUUGCAUCAAAUUCCACUGAAGUUUUCUUGAUGAUAAAAGCUGAUUUAGCUCUUGACCAAAACAUAAAACUUGUAUCCCUUUGAGUUAGCUUUCCAAUGCAUCAAGAAUCAUCUCAUUUGGAUCUGUGUAGGCUGAGACAUGACCGAAAUACCCUUACCUGCUCAUUGCCCUGUUCCAGUUUCGACCAGUAGAAAUUUGCUAUUGUAAUUCGGCAUUUUGACCUGGAAAACCUUCAAACUGGAUUUAGAUGUCUUCACCAAAGUUGUAGAUCUAUCUCUUAUCUUCAAAUUGGUUCAAGAAUCAUCUUAAUCCGAUCUUUGUAACUCAAGUUAUAGCCGAAAUACGAAAAUGUGUCAAAACUGUCAAAAUACACAAAAUCCAAGUAAAAAAUGAUAAAAACCUCAUUUAAUUACUUAAAAGUAUUUUUCACCAAUUAUAGCCAAAAUGAUUCAUAUUCUACCAAUAAUAUAACUAAAGUGACUAAAAAUAAUAUAAAAUAUCAUACAAUUAUUACGUAAAUUAGUCACUUAUCAAACUCCAAAUUUUCUUUUCUUUGCUCAUAAAGUUUGCAUUUCCAAAUUUUAAAGCUUUUAUAUUUGGCUGUGGAGGAACCUGUUCGCAUCACUGAAAUACGAGUUUAUAGUAUUUUAAGAAGUGAAGAAGAUAAAAACAAAUGUUCGAAGUAUUCAGUAUUUUAAUUAAGUAAUGUGUCUUGAUUAUGUAAUGCUUCAAUUAUGGAUUUAGCAUGGUGAAAUCUUAGAAUUGUAGGAUUGGGUGAUUUUGAAUUAUGCAAUUUAUUGGUUAGGGCCAGCGAAGUGGCAGAUAGAUUGGCUGCUCGAUCCACGAACACCCAAGCUACUACGAGCAAUAAUUUUUCCAUCCACUUAGGGUUAAAAUUAAUAGCAAUCCCAUAGACACAGUAUAUGCUAGCUCCUCUUUGCUGUGCCCAUCGGGAAAAGUUAUUCAUAGCAUCCGUCCUACAUUAUCAAUGAGUAUUGAUGUCGGGUACCGAAAAUUCCAAAACCGUAUUAAAAUCAAGGUCAUUACACGGUUUAAGAUAAGCCAGGCUAUUAAAAUCUUCCCAGUUAAAUCCAGAUGAACAAAAGUCCUUGUAGCAGUCUAAAUCCAUUGCUAUUGAUAAUUAUACUGGCGGCUACAACAUUUCUUCCCCUGUUAGAUCGUGAUCAAUGUCCUUGCAGCUAUCCAUAUCUACUUACCUCUACUAUUGAUGAUUAGGCUAUGACGAGUCAAUGUUAAUUUUGGAUGUCGCUUGCAGCACUCUCAUGCAGUAAAUUUCCACUGAUUACUUUCAUCUCCUUGCAGCCCAAGUCAACUUAUGACUAGAAAAAUAUUAGAAUCCUUUUUGGAUUGCAUUAAUAUUUUGCACAAGUUUUUAUUGGGAAUAUUAUUUGUGGGAUUAAACUUGUAAGGUGUAAAACUCGAUGGACCAAACCUUACUUGGAACUUGCAGAGUUAAAACUGAGAGUAGUCAACAACUAUAAUGCAGAAGAUUUAGUUGAAAAUUGAUGCCAUUCAGAUGUCAUGCACCUAGAUAAUAUGUAAAGAACAUGUUCUGUAUUAACUUAUUAUCGCAAAACAGCAGGUGAUUUAUCAUUUAUUUAUCAAACUAUGGAGUUUUUCUUAAUAACUGAAAUAUAAGUCAAUUAUUUUCCAGUAAAAUUGUUUUUGGUUCGGAAAUUUGUCCUAAUGCCGCCAUGUUAUUUUUCUACAUAUCAUGAACUCCAAAGCAAAUUACGCGAUAAACUUGAGAAUGAAAGGCCGACGGAAUACUUGGUGCACAAUAAGUCAACCAAGUUCCUUGAUGUUAAGAAAUUGGCUUAAUUUCUUUUAGGUAGAAUUCUUGUUUUGUGUGGAAGUAACUAGUUUUCUAAUUGAUUUUAGUUACAUAAAAUAGUAACCAAAGAAUAUUCUAUUUAGUUUAGGAUUAAAAGUUAUUUCCUAGUCUAUACAAGUUUAGGAAUUAGAAUUGGUUUCCUAUUGUUAUUUGGUAUUUUUGGCCAAAUAAUGUUAUCUAUAAAUAGGUGGGUUGACAUACUACAAAGGGACACACAAGAGACACACGAGAUACACAAGGGCAUCAUUUAGUCUUAUACAUGGGGUGUGAGGGAGGGUUUUUGGGAGAUGAGAGAUGAUAUACAAGGGUUGGGUUUGGGUUCAAAUUGUAUUCUUGUAUAGGGUUUUCCUUUCAUAACAAAGAACGGGUUUCUCUCCGUGGACGUAGACUCAAUGGUGAAGUCGAACCACGUUAAAUAUUGUGUGUCGUCUAUCUUUUAUGUUUGUAGCUUGUUUCUUAUUAAAUUGUUGUGCACUUGAUAUAUCAAUAGUUGUUUAUUCCGCACUUGAAUCCUAACACUUGAAACUAAUGUUGAGAUGGAGUAAAUAAAGUCAUUAACAACCCUUUAGGUUGAAGGUAAAAUGGGAAGAAAAGGGACCCAAAAGAAAAAAUAAAAUGAAGGGAGUGGAAUUAUAUAUCUAUAGCAUGAACAAAAGUAACAAAUUGAACGUGAGCAUUUAGAUUUUUUCUUAUUCGGUCCAUGUAAACUUUGCCCCUCCAUAAGCUAGUGAGUAAAAAGUCAAAGGACAAAAUUGGUCCAAUAAUAAAAAUGGGGCAUUGUUCCAAGCAGAGGUGCCAAAUUAGUUCAAUCGCAAAAUUAAGGGACAACAUUAGCCUAAAUUAAAGUAGAAGAACAAAAGUGGUUCAGUAAAAAAGUUGGAAGACAAUUUGCAUCAUUUGCCAAAAAAAAAAAAAUCAAAUGAAAGGGGUGUAAAUGUAACAUCUAUUGCAUGAAGAAAGAUAAGAAAUUGAACAUCUCUUGAUGUAUUAAAUCAUGAUGUUAGCAACACCACAACUCUGAAGAUGGAAAAUUCUAUUUAAGCUGAAUUAUUAUUAUUAUUUAAGGUAAGCUAAUUUAUUAUGUCACCAAACUGGAGUUGGAACAGCAAGAAGAGGAACUUUUUUGUGAAUUAUUAAACCAGUACAUUCAGUCAUGUCCAAAUCUGUUCCCUUAGCUCCAUCAGGCAAAUCCCAGUCAAACUUAAGCAUAAGAUUUGCUAAAACAUGUUCAUCUGUAGCCAUCGCGAAAGAGAUUCCAGGACAACCCCUUCUUCCAGCUCCAAAUGGAAUCGAUUGAAAGUCAUGACCUCUGAAAUCAAUGCCAGAAUUCAAGGAUCUCUCAGGCCUAAACUCAUCUGGUUCAUCCCAGAAUGAAGGGUGUCUUCCAAUGGCAAAAGCAUUGGUAAUGAUCAUAGUUCCAGCUGAAAUGUCAAAGUCCAUUACUUUAGCGUCGUCGAUUGCCUGGCGCGGGACCAGUGAGGGUAUCGGAGGAUAUAAACGUAGUGUUUCUUUAAGCACUGAUUUCAAAUACUUCAUCUUUUUCCAAAUCCUCAUCAGUGAUCUCUGGUCUGCCACCAGCAAUUCCUCUCACCUCCGUCUGUAGAUCCUCAUCGCUUUUGGGUGCCUUAAAAGCUCUGUCAUUGCCCAUUCUAGCACGGUAUAGGUAGUUUCCGUUCCACCAGCGACAAUGUCCUAAAGCGAGAAGUAAAAUAAUAAACUUAUAAUUAUCUUGUCUUUCAAUUUUGGAACUGAGAUGCACAUUUCACCAAGCAAAGAUUAAAGGAUUGAAGAUAGAAAAUAGGAAAUUUUAUCUUAGACUAUGCUCAUCAUAACACCAGUAUAUGGAAGUCAUAAAUUGGUCCCCCUGCGUAUUUUUAAAAAUCCCUCAAAGUCCUUUUUUUAAAAAAAUAAAAAAAUAAAUCCCUCACAAGCCAUGUAAAUUUGUUGUUCUACAUAACCUAAUGGGAAAAAAAUUACUAUUAGAAGUUUUAUGCACUAAUGAGUCUAAAGGUAUAUCAGAUAUGUGCAAAAUUUAAAAAUCAAAAUCAUUUAUUCGAAUGUGUCAUCAUCUAAAAUCAUUAGUCAAUGUAACAAAGUUUAAUCCUUAUAUUAUAUGGUGCUAUAAGAGUCUGAUAAAGUACUCCGGUUAAGUGAACAUUGAAAGGAAUCUUCAUUUAUGUGCAGAUUUCAUAGACUAGCCCUGGCUAUUACAGUGUACUACUUGUGGAGAACCAGAAACUUGGUGCUAUUUCGGAAUGGUAGUUUAUAUCCGGUGGCUAUUGUACAGCAUAUCAUUGACACUAUUCGUCAUAUUGGAGCUUCAUGGAGGGGUGUACCAAAAACGUACGCUGAAUGGAGAAUUCCCCUGGAAUUGCAGAAAUUUUGGGAAAAUAUAGUAAAUAGGGAGGGGGUAGAAAAUCGAACAGAUUAUAAAUCCCAACUUGUGAAUAACUCUGAUGAACACCCUCACUUGACUAAAUUAGGAAAAUAGGGACAAAUUGAAUGAACACCCUCACUUGACCGAAUUAGAAAAUUGGGGACAAAUUAAAUGAUCCAAAAAAUGCUGAAAUAUAACCACUUCAAGGAUGAAAAAGGGCCAGAAAUCAUCCCUGCAAGGAGACAAUUAGAACGGUGGUUUUCUUUUAUUUUUCUUUUGGACAAAUUAUACUUUACCCCCAUGUGGUUUAGAGUUUUUGUACAUAACUCCUCUAUGAUUUCAAAAGCUAUACAUAACUCCCUCAUAGUUUUGAUUAAAGUGUCAAAGUGAUAGAAUUUGCAAUCCAUAACGAAGUCAUCUAAAAUGUCAAAAAUACCCCUAUGUAAAGUUGAAAAUUAUUUGUUAAAAAUAGGGGAGUUAUGUGUAUAUUUUGAAAACCAUAAGGGGGUUAUAUGGUAAAAUAUAAAACCCUACGGGGUUAGUGUAUUAUGUAUAUUAUGUUUAUAUAUUUUGAUCAUUUCAACCAUUUUAAUUUUUAAACAAGACUAAUUUCGACAUUUUCAAAGGUUCUAUUACGAAUGAUCAUUUCUAUUGUUUGGAUACUUUAAUCCAAAUCAUGAGGGAGUUAUGCAUAAGUUUUGAAACUAUAGGGUUUUAUGUACAAAAACACUAAACAUAGAGGGGUAAAAUGUAAUUUGUCCUUUUGCCAAAUUUAAAGUUGUGGUUAAGGUGAGGAAUCGUUGGACGAACUUAAGAAUGCAGGGAAACCGGCAGAGAAUUCUAGAAUUUUAGAAAUUCUGGAUGGAGAAAACGAUAGAGUCGUAUGUUUAAGUUAUGGAAUUGCCGCGAAAGUCGCUCAAAAUUACAGCAAUCUCCACCAUUGAUGCUAUGAAAAUUGAUAACUAAUAUUGCUCAAAAUUAUAGCAAUUGCCAUUGAAAAAUUGGACCAAUCAGUUGCCGGAUAACAUCCAAUCAAUUUUGUAUAAUUCAGCAAUCCAAUUCCACUCAUUCACGUCUCGUCUUUAUAGUAGUAAGGAUAUAUAUAUAUGAUGAUUUUGGACCGAUGUGAAAACACAGAAAAUUUUUCAACUCUUGAAUUCAGAUUAACGUUUUGUGGUUGUAGUUCUAUUUCUUUCUUGGAUGAAUAUACUACUUGAUUUUGCAUUUUCUACCUCUGAGUAUUGAUGUUGCAAUUUCGUUAACCUUCUAAUAAAUCCGCCAUUAGAAAUGGCACAACAAAAUCUGAAGGAUCUCUCCUCCAAAAGAUAUCAUCACAUAUGAAUUUUACCCAACUGAGCGCUUAGUACUUAAAACCCAAAUUGAUUAGAUGCUAAUAUUAGCUAUUGACUUGAGUAAUGAAUUGGCAAUACUGCAUAAGAAUACAAACAAAGAAGAUAAAGGAAGGAUAAUGUGAGUGGUCCUUGAGGCCUGCCAUGCAUCUCUCAUCUCAUCAAAAACUUUCCGUCCAAUGUAGAAAUAAUUAGACGAAUAAGGAUUUGGACGGCUAGCUUUCGCUACUCCUAAAUGGUUCACAUUUGAUGCUCGAUCUAAGAAUUUUCAAUGAUCUGAAAACAAAACACCACAUCAUGAUGUUUACCUUUGGCCAAUUGCUUGAUAAACACGUAUACAAUAAGAACUUAUCUUAUUCUUAGCCCUGCUCUUAAAUAUUAUUAACGACUCCGUGUGCUCUAAUUAAGCGAGGCAAAAUAUGCUCGAUCAUUUUCGUUUGGAUUAGCUGUUUUUAGGGGUGUUUUUGAAAAAUUUUAUUGUAGCAGAGUUUUUACAGUAUAUUUUGGGAUAUUUUUAGAAAAUAUUUUGAAAUAUUUAUGAGUAGUAGAGUUUUUAAAAUAUAUUUUGAAAUAUUUUGAAAUAUUUUUUAAACAUUAAAAAAAAUUUAGAAUACUUUUUAGAGUACGUUUUAGAGUAUUUUUUAAAAAUUUUUAUAAUAUUUGAAAAACAAGAGAGCAUAGGGUCUUUGAUUCAAAUGUAUGAUCAUCAACACAUUGCAGACAUAGCCAAAUCGAUCAUUUUCAGUCUUAACUGAUUGUGAUAGGUUAGACUAGGUAUUCUGUGCUUUUGCACUUGAGUCAAAAGGGCUGGAUGUUACAUCAUUUUGGAAUGGGUAAAAAAUAAAAAAGCCCCCUGUGGUAAACCUAAUACACAGAAAAGCCUCCCGUGGUUUCAAAAUAUACAACACGACUCCUCAUACUUUGAACUAAAUUGUAAAGGUGACGGAAUCCGUUAAACUUAACGGAAAUGGUCAAAAUGACCAAAAUACCCUGAUAUAAUUAAGCAAAAGACAGCUCAAAAAAAUCAUUUGUUUUAUUUUCUAAAUAGAGAGAAUUGAGGGUUAAGGGGUAGAAUUGGUAUAUUUGAUAAAAAAUAGGUAUAAAAAUUUUUUUUUAGGUUCCAAUUAGGGUUGUUGGUGAGCCGAGCUACUCGCGAGUAGCUCGCGAGUAGCUCGGUCAACAACUCGACUCGAACUCGGGUUGACCGAGUUCGAGUCGAGUUUCGAGUAACUCGACUCCAAAUCGAGUCGAGUAUCGAGUCCCAUUUUCCGAGCUCGUGGCUCGUCGAGUAGCUCGACGAGCCAGAGUUAAUUAAAUAAAAUAUUUAUAAUUUAAAUAAUAUAUAUUUAUUAUAAUUAUAAAAUGACUAUUAUGGGUAUAAGUUAUAUGAAAUUUACAAUAUUACCUUCUUUAUAAUAAAAUCCUAUAAUGGCAAAAAAGUAAUAACAUAAUUGUAAAAAACACUAAAAAGAAAAAAUGUCUAAAAAAAAAGGAAGAAAAGACUUUCUUCCUUCUCUCAGUUCUCUGUGCCGACUGUGCGACUUUCUUCUCUGUUCGAAGCCUAGCAAAAAAAUUCACUUUACCAAUCUACACCCUCACUCCGUUCGUCGCCGACGCCGUUGCUCGCCGCAUCUGUGAGACUCCAUCGCCAUCGCCAUCGCCUUAACAAGUCCCAAGUCCCAAGUCCCAAAUCGAAGCUGCUCUCUGCCUCUCCGGCCUCCGCCAGUCCGCCGCGCUGUACGUCUCCUGUCGGCUGUGUCCUGCCGUGCUGGUUCAUCGCUGCCGAGUGUCGAAGACGAAGCACCAAGAUCUCACUAGUUCAUCGCUGGUUCAUCACUGCUCAUCUCUGGCUCACUUAGGUAAGUGCUCCUCUGUUUUUGGCUCUGUGUCUCUGGCAUUAAAAUGGGCCAAGAUCGACUAGGAAACUUGUUAUCCUGAAUUGAUAAGGGGACGAAAUCUGAGCUUCCAAUUGCAAACUCUAACUGUUGUAGUAGUUUAGAUUAGGUGUGAUAUAACAUAAGCUUUGUAUUUUAUACACAAGAAGCUCUCUCCAGUUGUGCAGCCUUUAAAAGUUAAGGCCUUGGGGAAAAAUUCCACCUUUUACCCGUUAGAAAGAUUGGCCUCAUGCUUUUGAAUAUACAUGCCGCAUACGUUGAUUGAGCUGAAUGUCUUGGUUUCUGAUCAUUUUUGGGCUAGUUAUUGCUUUAAUUUGAGUGAGAAUCCGGCAAAAUUUUAAUGCCCAUUUACUGUUCGACAAAAUGCUUGAUUGAAAGUUUUAGUUGAAGGGUGAUUGGUCUGCAUUUUUGCACAUGAAAAAUACUGGCCAAGUCGGCCAGUUCACUUCCUCGCAUCUAAGAAUUUUUGGUGUGUUGAUGUCUUACAUUUUUCUGCUCCUUAUGCUUCCGGUCGAGUGAAUUCGAAUUGAUGUUAUGAGAGGGAGUGUUGUGAGUCUCAUUGUUUGUUGGAAUGGUUAGAAAUUGAAGCCAGAUUUCUGGUUGCUGUCUUGCUGAAUGGUAAUUGAUAUUUGCUCGUUGGAGAAGAUGAUCACUUGUCCAAAAUUGCAAUUUCAGUCCCUCCGUUUUCUUUUUGUUUAGUGAUUUGGUCCUGUCUUUUCCUGAGCUUCAUAUUUGCCUCCAACACCAUCAUAAGUCCCUUAAUUAGGUCCCUGCUUUGUUGCAUUUUAAUCCCUCAAGUCCCCCUUGUUCACCGUAGCCUCAAAAUUUGGAAAAAUCAAAUCCAUUUUGCCUUUCUUGAGCUUAAUCCUAUGUUUGCCUAUUUUAUAUGACUUUUUGGGAUAAAUUAAUUCUUGACUUUAGAUCAUAAUUGUGGCUUAAUAUUUUUUGUUAAUUUGUUUAUGUUAUUGGGUUUAGUAUUAUGGUUUAAGUUUUUUGGGUAAUUAUAUUUGAUUAGGCUUGUAAAAAUUCUUUUUCUUUUUCUGCUCCUUCUUAGACCACACUUUGCUGUUUUAAGUUAAUUUAUUCUUUUGGGAAGUUAUGUAACUUUUUUUGUGUUUUUACCUCUAUGCUUUUUGUAGGAAGCCAAGACAAUCAAACAAUUCGACUUGCCAAAGCUUUGAAGAUUUAUGUUUCUAAAUCUAGAUUAGCUCAUUAUUUGGACCUUGUUAAUUUAUGAGACGUAACUUAUUAUGUAUUGUGGAGUAUGUUUAUAUUUUAAAGCCUUUUUCUUUCAUUUGCCGAAUGUAUGACUAUUGUGUGAGCAGGCUGGCCGCUGGUUAAUGACAUGUUAAUGUGUAGGAUAAAUGUCUAGAAAACUUGUUUUUUGAGUGUGUCGUGUGUGGUAUAAGGUUCAGAGGUUUUGCUUGUGGGUUCAAUUCUUUUGCUCUUUCCUCUGUUUAAAAUGACAGCCUGGAAAGAGCCGUUGCAAUUUGCUGUAAAAGGCUCCAGCCUCUGGGAUUGCAUUUUAAUGGUGGUAUUGAGGUCAUCUUUGCUGGGUCAGGUUAGUGACAAGAGUUUUCAACUUCAUUCUUCUAUAUCCUGUCCAAACACUUGUAAUUCUGCUGGACUAUGGUCCAUUUCUGAACCAGGAACAUAUUUUUCUGACAUGUUCUUGUUUAAAGCAGCUUUCUUUAGUUAGUAAUUAGUGAUAUUUGUGGGGAAAAGGAAUUUCUGGAUAGAUCUUGGCAUUGGUUUCUGAAUUGAGCUUGAGGUAGUUGGGAUAUUGUGGCUGUUUGAGAUAAUUGUUUGUCUCUCAAUUUGGUGGCUCAGCUCAUGUUUUGCUGAGUUUUGAAAUUUUGUGGGGAAUUUUGGUUAGUUUGGGUACUUUUGCAGCACACUUAGGAACUAUGAUCCGAGGAAUUAGAAUCAUCCAUAUUUUCUGCUCUUGUGGGCACCUUACCAUUGGUGGGUAAUUGCUGAAUUUGAAAGUUUCAUGUCAAGCAAUCCAGCAAGUGGGAAUUUCCCUUUUUUCUUCUCUAUUCUUCUUUGUGGUGAAUCUGAUUUUUAGGGGUGUUAAAGAUGCUAACUGUGGGAGGUAGAAUGUGGAUACUUUUAGUUGUAUUUGUAUUGAUGAAUCAUGGAUUUUAUGCCUCAUUUACUCCAGCUGAUAGCUACUUGCUUGCCUUUGAUUCUUCCCAAAACAUCACCUUUGAUCUGUUUUUUUCGUCAAAUCGAGUCAAAAAGCUUGAUAAGACUCGACUUGAUAAGGCUCGAUUAAAGAUCGAGCCUUAUCGAGUCGAGUCUCGAGCCUGAGGAAAUUCUUCGAGUCGAUCUUCGAGUAUCGAUUUUCUUGGCUCGAUCGAGCUCGAGUCGAGCUCGAGCCUCUGUGUGUAUGAGUCGAGUCGAGCUCGAGUAUAGUGAUACUCGAGCUCGACUCGGCUCGAUUACAUCCCUAGUUCCAAUAAGUCAUUUCCGUUAAGUUUAACGGAUUCCGUCACUUUUACAAUUUAGUUCAAAGCAUGAGAUGUCGUAUUGUAUAUUUUGAAACUAUAGGGGGCUUUUCUGUGUAUUAGGCUUACCACAGGGGGCUUUUUUAUUUUUAACCCUUUUGGAAUUAUUGAAUUAGUUUAUCAAUAGCAUAAAGUGGUGAUCCAGAAUAAUUAGCUGUUGAUUCUUUUUAAGAUUGAAUAUUACACAAAUAUAUCACAAUAAUUGCGCAACGGAUCUUCUGUCCUACACUCUGUGCCACUUUUUAUUAUAUUGAUAUUUCUCCUGUAUAAACAUCACGUUUUAGUUCUUUUUUGCUUCACCUACUUCCAAAAUAUAUACACAAAAUAUAUGUAAGACAUUUUUAUUUUAUUUUGCUUCGCCUACUUCCCUCCUGCCCAAUGCAAAAAAUUUACUUAAUAUCCGAAUUCUUCACACCCAUUUCUGAUAUGUUAUCAUGCUCAUCUAGGUGUCCAGCCAAACUUGAUGUGCCUCAAAUAUACGUCGUUAACUUUUAAAAUAAAAACAGCCAUAUUUUUACAAAAGAAAAUUGAAAUUGUUCAAAUCGUGCCAAAUUAGUUGUUUUGAUUUCUUGUCAAGAGAUGUAAAAUAAGCUAUCUUUAGAUUUUGUUCCAAAUGUCUAGCAGCCAAAAAGGAUGCCACGAACAAAAAGCUUCAGCAAUUAUCUUAGAAAGCAGUCUUCUGCCCUCCAUGGAGCUGAAUUCCAAACUUCAGCCGCCAAAAUUAAUGAUAUUGCUUCUUGGUUGGAUUUGAUUAUCAUGUUGUGAUUGUAGUCUUGUCCCUUGGCAAGUUCAAAUUUUCAAUUUUCUGACAGCUAACAAGAUUGUUUAAAUCGAUUUUAUAAGGGAUUAUUUCAUAAUGCUUUGCAUAAUAGAUUGCUGUCGUGGCAUUACUCUAAUCCAUCCCAUCACAAGUUAUAAUUACUAUUGCACUAUUCACGAUAACAAGUUUGGUGCCUCCUCAUUUUUUCAGUUCAAAUCUGGUCAGAGAUUAGACCUUCUAUUGCACAGUGCAAUUGCAGCCCUUCUCAGGAAUCAAUCCAACAUUUGUAUCAAGACAAGAAUACAGAAUCUGCAGCAUUCGGCCAUGUGAAGAAUUCAAGAAAGUGGAGAUGGAAUAACAAGAAGAGGAAUUUUGCGACGAACUGCAACGCCAGGGCAUUCUGUCAUAUCCAACUCUUUUCCCUGUGCACCAUCAGGAAAUUGCCAAUCAAACUUGCUUACCAAAUUUGCCAACACAAGUUCAUUGCUGGCAACAGCAAAAGCGAUUCCAGGACAACCCCUCCUACCAGCACCAAAUGGGAUUAACUGGAAAUCAUGCCCUUUGAAAUCUAUAGACGAAUCCAUAAAUCUCUCUGGCAUAAAGUUCACAGGUUCAUCCCAAUAUGCAGGAUCUCUACCUAUUGCCCAAACAUUGAUGAUCACCAUUGUACCAGCUGCAAUAUCAUAUCCCAUUAUUUUGACAUCUUCUCUUGCUUCUCUAGGAACCAGCAACGGAAUUGGAGGAUGUAAGCGAAGAGUUUCCUUGAUCACUGCUUUCAAAUAAUGCAUCUCGGCCAAGUCAUCCUCGGAUAUCUGUUCUUUGCCACCAACAACCGCUCUUAUUUCAGUUUGCAAUUUCUUUAGGAUAAUGGGGUGUCUUAAGAUCUCUGCCAUUGCCCAUUCUGCAACUGUAGCCGUGGUAUCAGUUCCAGCAGAGAAUACAUCCUACAGUCAAAAAGAUAUACACUUAAAAUCAAUGAUUUGUUGAUUGUCCGUGAGAAUGAUCAGAGAUGACGCUUAAUGAAGCUUAAUGAUUUUAUAUUCAGAAAAAAUGAUUUUAUAGAAGCUUAAUGAUUUUAUACUCAGAAAAUGAAGCUUAAUGAUUUUAUUUUCACUGCGCAGAGAAAAUUGUGCUUACCAAUAUUAUAGCUUUGACGCUGUCCCUGUCCAUGGUUACACCCGUUGCGUUAUCUUUAUAGAUUUUCAGCAAAAUAUCAAGAAAGUCUUCCCUGCUUUCACCAUCAAUCGUCUCACCACUUGGCCUGCAGGAAUAUUUUUCCACUGCACCAUCCAACCUUUCUUGGACCACGCCCUCCAAGAACUCAUCUACUUCUCUAGCAACGCGAUCCACUCUGGCAUCGUAACCAUUAACUCGAUUAAUCCAGCUGAGACAGGGCACAGAUUUGACUAAAAUUCCUCCGUUCAGUAACUCCAAGAAUUCGCCCAACAGCAGCUUGAAUUUCUUUCCAGUUUCCCCUGCACCGUAUUUCCUCCCAAAAGCCGAUCUGCAUACAAUAUCAUUAGUCAGCGAAACAAACAUUUCGCUCAAAUUCACAGGUGUUGAAUCCAAAGAAGCGUCUUUAAUCUUCUGCAUCAUAAUCGACGUUUCCUCUUCCCUUAUAUUACGAAACGCCUGAACUUUUUUGUUGCUCAGGAGCUGAAGAACACAAAUACUCUUUAACUGUCUCCAAUACUCGCCAUAGGGUGCUACCGAUAUAUCCUUCAUGUUAUAGAGAAGUUUAUUAGCUGUGCUCGAAAAUGGCCUAUCAGAGAAAAUCAAAUCGUGGGUUUUCAUGAUUAGGCUAGCUCCAUCAGCUGAUGAAACGACAACCGUGGGAACACUACCAAAUUUGAGAAACAUGAUUGGACCAUAUUUUUGGGCUAAGGAGUGGAGAGGAUAGUGAAGCAGUGAGCUUAGCUGAUGAAGAUUUCCAAUAAUCGGAAGUCCUGGUGGCGAUGGUGGCUGAUUCUUUCUCGAAUUUGAAACUAAUUUGAAGAGAAACCACAGUAAGAUUAAAGGAAAAAGCGAAAAAAAGAUUGGAUGAAACAUAUAUACAUCAAUCUUUAGCUCCGAUACCAAGCCUGAUAAGCUUGCCAUUUGCUUUAAUCUCCCCUGUAUUUUGCUCAGGCUACAAGACUCUGAUUUCAGACAAAAAAUUGGAAAACAAGUAUGGACAAGUAUGGACAAGCUUGGCCACUAGCCAUUUGGUCCAGUGGCCAUCACCAUAAAAAGGUGAUGAUGGAGGUGCCAUCACCAUAAAAAGGUGAUGAUGGAGGUCAGGGGUUCAAUCCCUGCCUCCCACAAAUUUGCCACAUUUGUGGCGGUCUUAAUUGACCUUCAUCGAUGGAGUCUGUACUCACAUCGAACCCCAUCCUCUUCCCCUUAGACUAGGCUCGAACCCCAUCCUCUUCCCCUUAGACUAGGCUAGAUUAGGUUAUAGAACAUCUAUCGUUGCGACAAAAAAAAAAAAAAAAGUAUGGACAAGCUUGUGUCAGUUGGCAGGCGUGUGGUAUCUAUAUGGAUAGACUUGCAGAAAAAUGACAAAAGAGGAUGGAAAAAUAAGGACAAAUCUAUAAGGACAAAAUUACACUUUACCCCCUUAUAGUUUAGUAUUUUUGUAUAUAACCCCCCUAUAGUUUCAAAAAUUAUAUAUAACCCCUCAUGGUUUGGAUUAAAGUGUUAAAAUGACGAAAAUGAUCAUUCGUAAUGAAACUUUUUAAAAUAUCAAAAUCACCCUUGUUUAAAAAUUAAAAUGGUUGAAGUAAACCAAAAUAUAAAACAUAAUAUACAUAACACACUAACUCCGCAUGGUUUUAUAUUUAUCAUAUAACCCCCUUAUAGUUUAAUAUUUUAUCAUAUAAUCCCCUUAAAAUUUUUAAAAUAUACACAUAACCCUCCUGUGGUUAAUAAAUACUUUUCAACUUUAUAUAGGGGUAUUUUGACAUUUUAUAUGAAUCCGUUAUGAUAUUUUAAUUCAAAUCAUGAGGAGAUUAUAUAUAACUUUUGAAAUUGUAGAGGGUUAUGUACAAAAAUACUAAACCACAAGGAAUAAAAUGUAAUUGCCCGAAAAAAUAAGGACAAAUCGAAACCUCUUACAACAUGAGAACAUAUGAGAACAACAAGGACUGGUUUUUUUUUUUUUUUUUUUACUACGUGCAUCGAACUAAAGAAUUUCAAACAAAACUACAACUUAAAAUUUAUAACUCUGGGAUAGUAAAAAAAAGGGAGAGAAGCUAAAACAAUUUCACCUGAGUUUUUUAUAUUUUUAUUUCUUGAUUAGCUGUUUGUUUUAUUGAAUCUUGCUCGAUUCCCUUCACAAAUGAAAAAUAUGAUUAAACAACAACUGCAUUAUAAUCAAAAUAAUAGUACAACCCAAUACUAAAGAAUGGAAAUUAACAUACAAAAUGAAUCCAUAUGUCCAUAAUCCAAAAUGAAUUUGGCAAAUAGAGGAACAAAAAUAAAACCACAAUUAUAGGGUAAAAAAGAGGAAAAUAAUUAAUUCUUCCGCAUUUCAGCUUCACGAACAUAAUUUGGCGACGGAAAAACAAAGGGUAAAACAAUACUAUUGGUCCAAAAAGUAAACACCGCGGAUCGUAAGCCCCGUUCUGUUAGCCUCAAUGGACCAAGUGAAUAACUGUUUUUCGGCCAAGGUACUUCUGGACAAGAGUCACAGGGCUCCACACGCGUCUCCGCCCAUCACAUGAAUGUGAUAGCCUCCCAAGUCCAAGAAGUUUGCUUGUUUCCAAGCCUGUAUUUCUAUAGUAAAUGGCCCGAGGACUUUGCAGAGCCUGGCACCACAUAUGUGUUGACCUUGACCCGCUCACUUCGUCCGCGGUGCAAUGCUUCGCUGGACUUCAAAACAUAAAUUAAACAUGGGCAUACUCUUAAGAAUUCACGAUGUGGGCUCUGUUUUCAAACUCGGACCGGACCGGCCGGUCGAACCGGUUGAACCGGGAACCGGCCAGGUAGCCGGUCCGAGUCACAUUAGAAAACCGGAAAUUUAAAACCCGGUCAAAGCCGGUCAAAAACCGGGUUUGACCGGGUUUGACCGGGAAAAAACCGGUUUUUCCGGUUCAACAGUAUUUUUUUAAAAAAAAAAAUUCAAACUUUUUAAUAUUAUGUUUUGACCCCCUAAAUUGUUAAAACUUAUUGAUAUACCUCAAAUAUUUGAUACUUUAUAAAUAUUGUCCUAAAAUUUGAUGUUAUUUUUCAAUUAAAUUCAUAAUUUUAAUUCUAAACUUGUUAAUAUUUAUUAAAUAAUAUAAAUUGCUACUUGAUUGUUCUAAUUUCUUUGUAUUUUCUUGUUAAAUAUAUUUGAAACAUCAAAUAUAUAUGAAUAUGCCUUUAUUAAUAUCAAUAUAUUAUUAGAUAUUAUAUAUAUAACAUUUUAAUUUUAAAAUAAUUUUUAUUUAUGACGUCAUCCGGUUCGACCCCUAUCGACCCCCGGUCGAACCCAUUGACCCCUGACCCCUGACCUCGGCCGAGUCGCUAUCCGGUCCGGUUCUGAAAACAUAGGAUGUGGGAGGAGUUAAUUUCUACUCUUUAGCUAUUGAGCUAGCUAGGUAAUGGAUUCGAAAUCCCUUGCCUGCAUUUCUCAUCCAGAAUUUUUUGAAAUUUUUUCGCAAGUAAUUUUGUUCCCCUCAAGUUUUUAAUAGAUUAAUCGCGUUGAUCCCCACACUAGGCAAAACGUUAAGGUAGAGAAGUAAAAGAGCAGGGAAAACCGGUCUUCUCAUUAAAUUAUUCUAGCAGAAAUUUAAAGAUUGAAGAAUCCGAGGUCCGACGUGAUUGAACUUUCCACUAAAUGCCAAGACAUUGUGGAUGUUGCAAGUGUGCUAAGGAGGAGCAAAGUUUAGGUACUUCCGGAAUGGAUUAUUAUCACUUUACCUCCUUAAAACUAUAUCACUAUUAUUAAUUUACCUCCUAACAUUAUCUUUUAAUCACUUCACUUCUAUAGGUAAUUCAAUUCAACAUGUUAACAAAUUCUGAACAAAAAUACAUUUUUAUUUUAUAGUAUUAUUGCAUUAUUAUUAUCACUUUAUCUCUUGAAAUUAUAUUGAUACAGUCACUUUAAUAUUAUAUAUUUUAUCGAAUUAAGAUUUUUUUGGAUUUGCAGAAUUUUUGUGAAGAGUACACAUGCUUUGGCAUAAUUAGCACAUGCGUUUGGAAGUCGAACGGGUUGGAUCAAGAAUUGACACAAGUAAUUUGUUUAAUUAAUUUUUUUUUUUUUUUUGUAAAUAAGAGAUAUUGAAUUCAUGGCAUUCUACUUAUAAUUUCUCCCAUCUUAUCAUCCAACUCAAUCUUUCCCUCAAAUUAAACUUAUUAGAUAAAUUGUUGAUUAAACUUGCCAUCAAGUUCGAGCAAUAAAAGCGCAAAGCCACCCACAUCCACUUAUUUUUUUCAUGAGAUUUGGGUCGGACAAUCAAUUGGUUCUUCGUUCAAUCAGUUGAACCGGUCCUUCCAGUCCAAUUUUCAAAACACACCGCCUUCAUUCAUGUUCAUGUCCUCUGGUUUCCCUCCAUCAGGCAAUGCAACAUCAUACGUGCCCAAACAUGUUGCUCAAAUGAAGUCAUUAAUGGCAAUGCAAAAGGUCAUUAACGGCCACUAACUACCAAAUAGAAUUGAUCCAAAGCUGAACGUCGAAAAUCAACAUCAAAUGUGGAGAACCUUGCCCUGGAAUUCUUGCUGCUUUUCUCCUCAAUAAUGGAUUUUGCCAACUGCCCAAUAAUUCACAAAUAUUAAUUACAUGGUACGGCUGCAACAGGUCAUGGCCACAACGGAUCUUCUAUCCCACACUCUAUGCCACUCUCUGUCCCACUUUUUAUUAUAUUGCUAUUUCUUCUACAUAAAGAUCAUAUUUUAGUUCUUUUUUGUUUCCUUAAAAUUAAUAACUAUUAAUUGAGUAAUACACAAAAUUUAACAAACUCAAAAAAUUAAAAUGCAUAAAAAAUGAGAUUUUUUAUGAAUUUUUUGCUAUAUUUUUUAAUUUUCUAUUAUAUAUUACUUUUUUUAAGCUGUUGUAUUUAUUUUUCACUCAAUUAAUAGUUAUUAAAUUUUAAGGAAGUAAAAGAACUAAAACAUAUGUUUAUAUAGGAGAAAUAGCAAUAUAAUAAAAAGUGGGAUAGAGAGUGACAUAGAAUGUGCGACAGAAGAUCCGUUGUGGGUCAAGGCCCUUUUCGUUGAUGCUUGGAGCCAAGUUUGACAGGAACCACUAAUGGUGUAGGAACAUGAGCCAUAAAAACGUGGCCCCGUUUGGAUUGAGAUUUUUCUCAGAAAAAUUGUUACGUUUUCCGUGAACACAUUUUUCUAUCACUUUUUUAUCUCAUAUAUAUCAAAUCGCUACAGUAAUUUUUUUACAAAAAAUCCAGAAAAAUACAAUUUAAACGGGGCCAUUUUUCCGUUAUUCAUUUAUAACCCAUAUCAAAAGUCGGCAGCACUGGAUCCAAAGUGGAGCAACUUAAUUAUUAUUAUUAUCAUUAAUCUUUUGUCUCAUAGCUUUUCUAUACUAUUUUGCAAGCCUCUCUCAUGCAAAUGAUUUCAAUUGUACAAUAUAGAAAUUCAAUAUUUUGACCAAAUCCCUAGUCAUUAAGAGUAGGCAUUUAUAAGGAGUACAAGGGCAGAACAAUGGCAAACCGAAGGCACUCAACCUGUACAUAGGUGGUUCUAAGCUUCCUAUGUGUUGACCUACUUGAUAAGUUAUUUAGAUCACUCAAUUGUUUGUUCUAACCAUACUUGUACAUGACAUCAAGUAAACAUAAAACGAUGGAAAUAUGAGAACUUUUAUGACUAGCGUGAACUUCCACUAGAAAUAAGACACAAAAUAAAAAAGAAAGCAUAUGAAUACGAAGCCAUUAACAAAGAUAUGGAGUGGCAAUAGCAUGUAGAGGAUGUUUUCUGUGAACUGUGAUACCAGAUGCUUCAGUCAUGUCCAGAUCCUCUGGCUUCAUUCCAUCAGGCAAUGCAAAAUUAAAUUUGUUGACCAAUUUUGCCAAUGCAAGUUCAUUUACGGAUAUGGCGAAGUUGAUACCCGGGCAAACCCUUCGUCCAGAACCAAAAGGAAUUAACUCAAAGUUAAGACCUCGAAAAUCUAUUUUGGAAUUCAAAAACCUCUCAGGUUGAAAUUCCUCAGGGUUCUCCCAUAGAAUGGGGUCUCUUGCAAUUGCACUAGCAUUCACCAACACUAGUGUGCCUGCUGGUAUAUCACACCCCAUUAUUUUGAUGUCUCGAGUUGAUUCUCGAGGAACCAGUAAUGGAGCAGGAACAUGAAAUCGUAGAGUUUCUUUAAUCACUGCUUUUAAGUAUCUCAUCUUCUCCAAAUCAUCUUGAGUUAUUUCUGGUUUUCCCUGGGUCAGUUCUCUUACCUCAGCCUGUAAUUUCUGCAAGGUUAUAGGUUUCUUUAGCAGUUCUGACAUUGCCCAUUCCAUAACUGACUGUGUUGUGUCAGUUCCAUCGCCAAACAUGUUCUGCAUGACGGAAUGAAAGAAAGUGUUGCUUUAGAACAUGCAUAGAUGCGCCUUUUUUUUUAAUCUAAAUUUCCAAUUUCAAAAAAAAUUGGCACGUUUGCACCCAAGCAAUAAAUUUGUAUCAUACCUUUCCAAGGAAAAAGAAAAAUGAAGACAAAUUAACAAUAUUCAUACUAUCGCAAUAAGCGUUUAAUUACCACAUACAAGACGAAACAUUAUGUUACUUUUCCCUCUAAAAUGUUGAUUAUUAUUGCUCAUUUUUCCUCCAAAAUCUGCAGUUCUGGUAUGCAAUCCAAUUUUAGAAACUCAAUCGUGAAGUGCAAAAGCUGAAGAUUUACGUAGUAGAGUUGAACUUGUCAAAAGAUUAAUAGGUUUAGGUACAUGUAAAUUUAAAAGUUACCAUGUUAUACAUUUAUUUCAGUCAGAAGUUUAAUGCAUGUCAAGUUUUUUGCAUCACUGGACAGAUAACAAAUCCUUAAACCUUAUCGUUUUGGAAACAUUAAAUGGUCUCAAGUUUAAGUGCAUAAAGUUCGGUUAACCCAAGCAACCAUUGAGGAUUUUUUUUUUUUUUGAAAAUUUUUUACAAGAGAAGGUAUUCAAAUGCAAGGGAUGAAUUUUUCUUUUAAUCUGAUAACAAGGGAAGGUAUUCAAAUAUAAGGGACGAAAAUGAGUGUGAUUACAUACAUUCAUAGUAAUUUUGAUAUAAAUUAAAUAUACUAAAGAGUGUAUAUAUAUAGAGUUGUGUGGUAAUUUUAGAAUUUUUAUAGUGAGUCAACCCUUUUUGUAUGUUUAUUUAAUAUCCUUACCUCUUGUUUGGUAUGCAGUAAUGUCCAAAAUAAUAAGGUCUUCUACCCAAAAUGGCAGGGAUAAAUAUUUAUCAUUAUUCAUUCUUCAAUAUUUAGUGUGAUCAAUAUUUAGAUGUUAGAAUAGAAUACAAUUAAUACAUAUUUGACUUAAUUAUCCUAGAUAUGUUUAUGACUUUUAUUUUUUGUUCUAGUAUGUUAAUCUUUUGUUUACAUGGAAUUCGCUCAUUUUUUGCUUCAGAAUCUUUUGUUUACAUGGAAUUUCUACUAUGUAAUCUUUUGUUUUCAUUUUUUUAUGAAAUUCAAAAAAAAAAAAAUUCCAUACAACUGUUGGACAGAAUCAGGUCAAACCUGAUGAAUCCGAAAAGAAAACAAGCCGAAUUUAGGUCACCCACGGGUUGACCUAUUAACCUGUUUAUGAAUUAAAAAUAAUUUAAUAAAUAUAAAAAAAUUUUAUCCAUCUAAACUAAGUUAUUCUUUUUUUUCCAAGGUAUUAACCACUUAAUCCUAAAUAAAUUUGUUAAACUUGUGUGAAUCAUUAUGUUUGGACAAAUGAUGUAUUACAUUAUUUUCUAAUUUUAUAGGGUCUUAAUUUAUUUUAGAUCUGGUUUGGGAUAAAAACACUUUUACGGUAUUUUAAUUUAUUUCAGAUCUGGUUUGAAAUUGUUUUAUCGAGAUUUUUAUUACUUCAUUAUGCAAUUAGUCUUGUGAGAAAUUAGUUCUGUUAAAAACUACAAUGGUAAAUUAGUAAAUUGAAAUUAUGUUUCGGGUCAUUCAGGUGAUCCGCCAACCCGAAAAUUUCGGAUUCAGGUCAAAUAUUCUAACCCGUUGUGAGUUGACGGAUUGUGUUCGGGUCAGCGGAUUGUCUAUUGUACAUGGGUCUCAACCCGACCCGUCUACCCAUAUCUGACCCAACUGCCAUUCACAAGAUUUUAUGUUAAAGCAAGAAAAAAAAUAAAAAAAAUGAGUCAAACUCAAACAUAAACCGAUCAAACCGGACAAACCUGGUAAAACUCCAACUGUUGAACAGGCUAGCCACUAGAAAUUUUUUCCCUUUAUAUAAUUGGUAUUAUUCAAAUUUUCUAAUUAUAACUAAAAUGAGAAAACAUUUAAUUGAAUUAGUGGUUGAACCAUGAAGGCAUGAACAAAAAGCUCAUCCGGUUCAUUCAACCAUCCGAGUUUAAUAAUAUUGAAUUCAGUAAACCUUACAAACCAAAUAGAUUUUGAUCUUGCACAUCGGAGUAAAGGAGGAGGAUGCCAUUUACUAAGUUGUCAUGUCCAAGUCAACUAAACUAAAAACAUUUGUAUGACAGUACCAAACAAAAUCCAAACCUUCCAGCCCAGUGCAAGUCACUACCUUCAAAACUAGUACUAGAUGAUUUAUUACUAAUAAACAAAAUUCUUUUCAGAGUUGAAACUAAUUAUAAAUUCUCAUAGUGCGAUGCAAUUAAAGAGAUGGAGAGAGAUCUAAUUUACCAGGAUGAUGGCUUUCAUAUCAUCACGGCCAAAAGCGAAGCCGAUAGUUCUUUCCUUAUUAACCUCGAUCAGAAUGUCCACAAAGUCUAGGCAUCUUGCCUCAACGGAAUGGUCAUUUUCAGCCUCACCUUUCCUCUUAUUUAUGUGCUCUUCUAUCACACCCUCAAGAAAUUCAUCAAUCAGCUUAACAAAUUUCUCCACUUUCAAGUCCAAACCAUUGAAACGAUUAACCCAUGAAAGCCAAGGAAUGUAGUCUCCUACAUCAAAAACACCCAUUAACUCAACAAAAACCCUCAAAUUUUCCAUAAUUUUCCUCCCUUUUUCUUCCUCACUAUACUUCCUCCCCAGGGCAACCCUACAAAUUAUAUCAUUUGUGAGAGUUACAAAUAUUUCAGUUAAGUUUACAGGUGAAGAAGAACACAUCUGACUGAUCUUUUCGAUCAUGAGUGAAGUCUCUUCUUCUCUAACAUGCUGAUAUGACUGAACCCUUUUGUUACUCAAAAGAUGCAGCACACAAAUGCUUUUGGCUUGUCUCCAAUAGUCACCAUACGGUGUAAAUACUACGUCCUUACUUCCGUAGAAUAGUCUGUCUUUAACGCUCGAUUUAGGCCUGUUUGAAAAAACCAGAUCAUGGGUUUUCAUGAUCUGGCUAGCUGCAUCAGCGGAAGAGGCUACCAGCACUGGCUUGCUUCCAAAAUGAAGUAGCAUGAGUGGGCCAUAUUUUCUUGACAAUGAUUGGAGGGAUCUGUGCGGAAGCAAGCCAAGCUGGUGAAUAUUUCCAAUUAUUGGGAGCUUUGGUGGAGAUGGUGGUAGCUUUGUUUGGGGUUUAGAAACAGCAUGGAACCAUUUCAAAAGGGCUAGAAGGAAUACAACUGAGGAAACUGAGAAAAAUAAAAGAUCAAAAGAGAACGCCAUGGUCUAUAUGAUCUUGGGUUUGCCUAUUAAUGGGCUACUCUUCUUAUAUAAGAUUACAUACUGCUUUUAGAAUUGAAAUCCCAAUAAUACACCAGACAACAUUAGGAUGAUUUAAGCCGCGCGGUAUUGCAUAUAGGAGGGAUGAAUUAGAUAGUGCAGAUAAAGAGAGUGUAGGUGAGAGGUUUUAAAUUUAAAAUUUUUAUCUAAACUUAAAAGAAAAAAGGGGCCCACAUGUUACACAGGACAAAAUUAAUUGAUUGGUCUCUGAUUUAUCUUUUGGAGCUAUGGUUUUUUUGUCUGAUUUAUAUUAUUGGUCUCUGAUUUAUCUUUCCCAACGCUCUUGGACCUAUGGUAUUGGAAUCAUGGAGAAAACUCCUUCGUGAAAAAAUAACCAUUCACAUUUUGCAAAAUUUGAUUCCAAGAAAUAGGAAAAAGACGUUUAGCAUAGCAUAUCUUUUUCUCCUUGGAUGAAGAAAGCCGGAACAUCGAUUAUUCCCUUUCGGCCAUAGUCCACAGCCGGCAGUUGAUUCUCCUUGUUGCCACGCACGUCUUAUCAAAUUAUGUAACAAAAUUUCAACGGUUAGGUACAGAAAUAGGUAACUCCGUCUAGGUUGCCACAAUCAAUUAUAGCUAUCAUUUUGUGUCUUUGAAGAAAAUUUGACAUGCAAUUUUCGUAUUUUCAAGUUUGAACUAAUGUUUGCCAAUCCUAAGACUUACAAGUCUUGGAAAGUUGGGAGGUCAAGGGUUCAACCCUUACCUCCUGUUAAAUUUGCCACUUAAUUGUAACUGUCACUUUCAGGUGGCUUUCUUCGACGGAGUUUCUUGUCGAUUCCUCCUCCCCUUAGACUAAAUUAGAGUAGGUUAUACGACUAUUAUCGUUGCGACAAAAAAAAAAGUUUGAACUAAUGUUUAAUAGUAUAAAUGCACCAUAUGCUUGUGACUUGUGAGUUUGGAUUUUCUUUCGGAAUCUUGAGGAACUAAUAUUUGGAAAUUUUAUUAAUUAACUUUUUCUACCAAGGCACGAUAUUCUUCAACUCUAGAAAUAUUCGAAUAUAAAGUAUUACCUCGUUUGACAAAAAAAAAAAAAAAAAAAAAGAGUAUAGUGUAUUACCUCAUGAAAUGUAUUACCAUGAGCUGAUUAAGCUGUAAUUGGUUUAUGUUCAUAAUACUGGCUUCUGUAGGUGAGUGUGAUGGGACCAUCACAGAUCAAACCACGUGAUUUGAAGAUUAUGAGUUUUAUCUAUAGUAAAUUUGGCAAUUGUUACGCCUUUCAAAAACUAAUGAUUAGUCUAACUCAUUGGAUAAUCAAAAGAUUUUGCUUUACUUGGUUUUAUUUGUUAUACAAUAAAAUUUCUGCUCCAAAACGCUAUAUAUAGCAUUUGAAGCUAUGCUAAGAUGGAAUAGCCCCAUGGCACUCUCUCUGCACUCGUAAUAUCAUAGAGUAAUCAAAUCAUCAAACCAUUCAUAGUUUGCAUAAUAGCCCCCAAGAAACAGGAAAAAAAUGGUUUUGCUGAUAAAAGUAGGUCCUUGACGCAAUUAUGCACUGCAACAUCUUAUCAAAUGAAAGAAGUACAGUUUUCCAAAAUCAAUCAUAGGGAAUUUGAACUGUUAUUCCUUCGAAACGAGGGAUUUAAUUACAAUUUUCUGUUGUUUCAAAUUUUCAACUGUUAGAUACAGAAAGCAUCCUUCUCUCUGAUGUUCCCAAAUUGAUGCAAAUUCUACAUCCAACUCAGAGUUAUCCUGCAGCUGAACUGUUGGAUAGGCAUAAUAAGAGAUAACUCAGUAUACAAACCUUUUUUAAUUAUUGAUCAGUAGCUUAAAUACAAUUUGCCAACACUAGAUAUUUGCUGUCUGGUUAUUUGGAGAAUAGAUCAGUAUAAGGUCCACAUUUAUACUUGAAAAGAUAGGUAAAGAAGGCCUCUAACUUGUUUACCAGUUUUGCCAAUGCAAGCUUGUUGACAGCCACAACAAAGGUAGUACCAGGGCAACCCCUGCGUCCAGCACCAAAUGGAAUUAACUCAGAGUUAAAACCUCUCUGGCUGAAAUUCUGCAGGCUGAAUCCAAGCAAUGGAUCUCGUGCAAUUGCCCAAGCAUUUACCAUUACUGCUGCACCUGCUGGUAUAUCAUACCCCAUUAUCCUAACGUGUUUAGUUGAUUCUCGACGAACGAAAUAAUGAGAUUGAAGUAUGAAGUCGUAAAGUCUCCUUGAACACUGCUUUCAAGUACUGCAUUUUGUCUAAAUCAUCUUCACUGAUUUCUGAUUUUCCUUCAGUUAUUUGUCUUACCUCAGUUUGCAAUUUCUCCAGGAUUUUGGGGUGCCUCAGAAGUUCAGUCAUUGGCCACUCCAUAUUGCAUCAGUCCUGCACCAAACACGUCCUAAUCAUGGGAUUUGAAAAAGAAAAAGGAAAUGCUGUUUUAUUGAAAAAAAUGACAUUCAAAGUUGAAAAAAAAUGACAUUCAAAGUUGAAGAAAAUGACAUUCAAACACAUCUUUUCUAUUUCAAAGUUGACGUGGAUUUAUAUGAUUGUUUAUCUGAAAGUUAACGUUGAAUUGUAUACCAUAACAAAACAAAACUAAUAGGGUAGCAUAAUAAUUUGUUCUCUUUUUUUGAUACUCUGUGAUUGAUUUUAUCUCCUACCCUGCAAUUAAAAAAAUCUAAAAAGUGUGUUAGAUCACCUCUUUAGUUUAGAUGAGCUCGUCUUCCAUCUAACUCCUUAUACAACCCAUUUAGAUUCCCCCUCUCUCCUAGAAUAGGAUAGUAUAAAUGUAGCUAAUUGACAAAAAAAAAAAAAAAAAAAUUCUAAUUACGCAAAACAAAAUGUUUAACUCCAGGUACAAGUAGAAUAGAAUUUUAGUCUUCUACAAAAUACUGUUUAUUACUAAAGCUCUGUAUGGAUUAGAUAUUUUUAGACCUGAUUUUCAUAAAUUUUACUAUAACAGUAUAUAUGAAAAAAUUGUUACUAUAGUUUUUUAUUGAACUGUUUUUAGAAUUUUAAAUAUUAUUGUUGGGAUAUUUGUAAUAUAAAAAUCCCCCCUACCUCCACCCCUGCCCUCCUCCUCUCUUCUCUCUCACUUUUUCUCCCUUUCCUUCCUCCCCUCUCCCUUAACUUCUUCGAAAUUAGGAAAUGGAAGAAAGCCCAAUUUUAUUUUUUCUUUUUUUAAGUGCUAUAAUUGGCUAUUUGCCUAAUCUUGAAGAAGCAUAGGAAUAGUAAGACCAAGAUAAGGAGAAGAGACAAUGAAAAAUCCAAAAUGAACAAAUUAGCAAUGAAAAUGCAAAGGUCCUUGAUAAGCCUCUCGUGGUUAUGGUUGUGUUUAAAUAACAAAUCCAUGCGUGUGGCUUGACUCUUGAAUAUUUCAAACACAUAUUAUUGUACAAAAGUAAUUUUUUUUUUUUUGAGGAGAAACAAAAGAGUAAGUUGUCUUUGUCAAUAAUAAAUCUUGAAGAUUACCAUCGGAAUUGAACCCAAUUAAAGUUUUACUUACACAUAUAUACUCCUUGUUCAAAUUAUGUUUGGUUCAAUAAUGGAAUUACUUCAUACACGUGAACGCAGCAGUAUAAAUAUGUAGUCAUCGAUUAACAAUGGAGAAUUACUUAAAGGUUGGUAUAAUAAGAAUUGAACACUACAAUAGAGAAGGAAAAUAAACUGAACAAAGAAGAAAAAAAAAUAAAGGACAACAAAUUACAAUUAAUAGGAAUUUGGCACCGAUUUUUGUUAUUUUAUUUUCCCAAGUAAUUAAAAAGAUAAAAUUACUAGAUAAAAUAAAAUAAAAUAAAAUAACUAUAGGAUGAGAUAAGGGUUCCUAAUAAACUGAAACUCUUACCCAAACCACCUACUAGUAGGUAGUGCUAGGUUUAGGAUUUUAUUGAAACCUUAACAAGAAAAAUAACACCCUCCUUGCCUUUCUUUCGUCUGCCUCCCUAGAGCAAGAGCCGUCAGAGAAUAGAGAAGGAGAAGCAGGUGACACUGUCAAUCGAUCAGACGACUAGGCACAUAAACCUGUAAGUCCCGAGUUCACGUAAAAUUCCUCUUUUAAGUUUUAAUAGUUGAAUUAAUUGUCCUAGAAAUUUUACGAAUAUGGAUUGUUGCUAUAUAUAUGUAGACAUAUAUAUUUUUAGGAAGAUUUAUAAGUGGAUAUGUAGGAAUAGGGUGUUAGAUUUGAAUCUGUGAGUAAAUAGGUUGCCCAAAUCUGGUGCAGGAAAAACAAAAACAAAACAAAAAAAAGGGAAGAGAAGAGCUGCUGCUCUGUUUUGGCUAGGCGUUGCAGCAACGCCGCACACACAAAAAGGAAAGAGUGGGGGGCCGCCAUCUCUGGCGGCAGAGAAAGAAUUUGCAAAAGUUGGCAUUUCGGCCAACCCAUCACCGAAGCAAAAAAAAAAAAAAAAAAAAAAAAUAUUGAAUAUGAUGUCGCCAGCACUUGCUGGCAACAAUGAACAAAAAGUCAUGGUUCGCCUUUUGGCCAACCAAUGGAAGCAAAGGGUCGCCAGCAAGUCUGGCGACCAUGGUCAGACAACUGGUUGGCCAUGGGUUCAACCCGAGGACGGAGAAAAUUUGGCAAAUUAGACAGGGGCCAAAAUAUAAUAUAAAAUGUAGUAAAUGUGUAAUAAAUUAUAAAUUAUAGCUUAUCGUGGGUAUUAAAAAUUCAGGACCCAAUUUAAAAUAAUUGUUAGAAUUGAAAGGUUAGUCAUGUAAAAUUAUACUUAGUUAAUUACGUAUAAGAUACUUAAAUGGAAAUCUAAAAACAUUAACUCCAUUUGGACUAGCUGAUUUUAAGGGUGUUUUUGAAAAAAUUUACUGUAACAGUGUAUAUGAAAAAUUUUUACUUUAAAAUUUUUUUUGAAGUAUAUUUGAUAUAUUGUAUAGACGAAAUGUUUUUUGAAUUAUUGCAUAUUACUGUAACAUUGUAUUUGAAAAACUUGUUUUUGAAAAAUGGUCAAUCCAAACAGAGCGAUUGUAAUUUAGUCGUAUUAAGCCAAAUUGGACAAGGUGAGAUAAGUUUUAAAUGGCUAAACGAAAUGCUUAAAAUAAUAAUAAUAAUAAUGCUGAUAAUAAUACUAAUAAUAACACUAAUGAUAAUAAUCCUAGUAGUAAAUAAUAAUGUUGACGAUAACACUAAUAAUAACGAUAACAAUAAUAAUGAAUAAUUAUAAAUUAUAAAUAUGUAUAAUAAGAUAAUAGUCAAGAUAAUAAACAUGAUUAGGAAUAAUUAUUUUCUUUUAAAUUAUAAAACUUUACAAAAAGGCAAACUUUCCAAAUUAAGAAACUUUCUAAAAAUAGAAACUUUCCAAAUUAGAAAACUUUCCAAAAAUGGGAAUCGUCCAAUUUAGGGAAAAUGCUGUUAGGGUUCAUACAAUGGUCUAGACACGAAUAUUCGACUUACUCAGAGUUUGUAUGUUAUGUAUUUAUAGGAAAUAACAACUAAUUAGGAAGCUUAUGCAUUUGAUAGGUACGGUACCAGUUUAAGAGAUCUAAGGUAGUUCUACUCGAGCAGUCAAACGAAGGUAGGUGGUACUUACCCUUCUGAGAUUUCAAAGGUGCAAAAAUGAAAGUUUUGUUUUCAAUCUUGUUUUGUUGUGUUGACUCGAAACAUAUUUGAUUAAAUGUUUUACUUGGGUAUUGAUGAAGGUUAUAUUUUUACUAUAUAAAAAUGGACCAUGUGACUUAUUUGAAAUGUUUUGAUAUGUUAUUAUAUACCAAACGAGUUGAAUCUUUUAUGAAAUCAAAGAUUUAUGUAUAUGACGUGUGGAAUGAAUUUUUGACAAGUAAAACUCAAAACAGUCAUGGAAUAGACGGUAGGGGCUAUAGUCCUGCUUAAUCGUCAUGGUAGUCUAGUAUAAAGUCCGACCGAUUGACAAGGUCAUGGUAGUCUGGUAUAGAGUCCGACCGAUUGACAAAACCAUGGUAGCCUGGUAUAAAAUCCGGCCGAUUGGCAAGGUCAUGGUAGCCUGGUAUAAAGUCCGGCCGAUUGACCCAUGUAUGAAAAGAGGCCAAUCGGUAGUCAUGAAAUCUAUUGGUCGCCCACCUAGAAGGGGUUUAAUCUCUAAACUGAGUACUCAAUAGCCGAUCAUCACAUGUACUUGUUAUGAGUUAAUAUGAAAUGAUUUAUGAGUUAAUAUGAAAUGAUUUAUGAGUUGAUAUAGAAUGAUUUAUGAACUGAUCUGAAAUGAGACCUAUAAACUGAUUUGUGAAUUGAUUUAUGAGUGGAUAUGAAGAGACUUGUGAAUUGAGAUGAAAUGAUUUAUGACUUAUGAUUUUCCAUAUUCAUUUAUCAAUAGGGUGCUUUUAAAUUGCUUGCCACUUGUUACUACUGAUUGCUUUAUAAACGACGUUACUUUCAAAAUUAUGGAUGUGAUUGAUGCCCAAAUGAUUUGCUACGUAUCUAUAUGUAUGUAUCUAUAAAAUUACGAGUACAUGGUCCAACAGAGGGGUAGUUAUUACCUACUGGGUGAUUUGUCGCUCAACUCACUUUUUAUCAUUCUUGCAGAUUCUGAAGAGUAUGAGUUGGUUUACGUAGAAGACCCUGAGGACGACUUUUAUUAGCUUUAAGUGAAUAGAAGUUGGCAGGCUAGCUACUUCUAGUUGUUAGUCUUAUUUAUUUUCGAUUCCGCUGUUUCCAUUAAAAAAUAAAUAUACGAACAUAUUGGAUAUUCGUAGAUUACAUUUUUAUGAGAUUUGUACCGCAUUUUAUUUUAGUUAUAUUAUUUCGUACUUUUGAAGUUUAGACUAGUUAAAUGAUGCCUUGUAUUCUUGAGCGGGAUUUGAGAAUACGGCAAGAUGUCACGUGACGGGCACGUGCGGGCUCGGGGCAUGACAUUUUUAGUGGUAUCAAAGCUUAGGUUUUAUGAUCUGGAAGUGUGAGAAAUGAUGUGUGGAUAUUAAUGAUCUUGGAGAUGGAAAGGAGAUGCAAAACAGAUCAAGAGAUUCCUAUGAUAUUUAGUGGUAUUAUAGCUCAAGUUGUGAUAGAAUGAAGUAGGUGUAAAGAUACUGGAGAUAUUUGUGAUUUUGAGAAUUGGAAUGAAAUGGAUAAGGGAUUAAAAGAAAAUUAGUGACUCCAUAACAUUUAAUGGUAUUAGAAUUUUAGGUUACGAAUUUACUGGAAUGACCUCAGGUAUUGAGAUGGUGAUUACUUUUAGUAAGUAAGUGGUGACUAAAUGUAUAUGUUAAGUUGAAAAGGUAACCAAGCCCACUUGCCAAAUAUGAUUGACACUUACAAAAAAUAAUAAUAAUAAUAAAAGGGUAUUUAGGGUGUUCUUUUUGUAAGUUUUGAUCUCUAUAGUACAUUUGAAGUUUAUCAUUUACAUGUCAGAUUUAUGGAUGAUCUUAUGUCUAGUUGAAGUCUAGUAAAGAGAAAACUGAAAAUAUUGAGGAAAUUAGAGUGCACAACGAGAGUAUAAAUGAUCAACAAUAUGAUGUCAUCGAAUGCAAGCAAUAUACGUUGGAUCUUGGAAUUUUGUUGACUUAUUUUGAGGUUUACGAUAAUUAGAUCUAAUGCUCAAGACAUUUAUUAAAUUAGUUGAUAUUAUUAGUUCUGGUAUUAUUACAUCAUGAUCAGGCAAGACAUAUUUUAUAAAUUUCUUACAGUAUAUAACUUUACAUAAUUUUUACCUAAAAAUGAAUAAACGGUGAAACCAAAAUUUUAUUUGCACAAAUAGUUUUUAAUCAGAAUUUUUAAAUAUGUACCUUUACCUUACAGUUGCUUGGUAAGUUUAGUUUAUAAAUAUAUAUGUAUAUAUAUCUAUAAGAAAAAAAUAAAUACAUUGAAUAAUUAUAUCCUACAAUCUUGUGCAAAAUGUUUUUUUUAUACUCACCCAAUCUCAAAAGAGCUUUAGAUAUAUGUAUUCUACAAAAAAAAAAUUUAUCGUAUAGAAAAAUCUAACAAUAAUUCUUGAUAAAUUCUCUUUGUACUCUAAGUUCUAAUAGUAUUAGAAGUACAAUUAGUUGACUUAUGUUUCAAACACUGGUAGGCUUCUAAACUUGUGUGAGUUUGAAAUUCUAUGCAUAGAUAAUACUUUACCAAGGUUAUGAUAAAAUUAUUAAUCUCCUAUAUGAGAAUUUGGUGAUAAUUUUUGUACAAAAUUUUCUAUAUUUUUGUAUGACCAAGAAGUUUGUGAAAUGAUAUUUGAGAUAUUAAUGUUUUCAGAAAUUGAAUUGAGUUAGGAAAAAGAAAAUGACCAAAGGAAAUAAGAUUCCCAUGGCAUUUAGUGGUAAAUAACUCAAGUUAUAGGAUCUGGAAAUAGGAGUGAUGCUAUUUGAGGUAUUAUUGAUCUUUUUGGAAUUUGAAAUGAGGUAAAUAUGAGAUUUGAGGGAAGUAAAGGAUUUGCAUCACCAAUUACAAAUACAGUGGGCAAGAACCCAUAUAUCGAGAUAAGGACUACUUUUGCGAUAGUGGAUAAGUAAGUUGUGAUAGAAUGUGUGACAAAAGAAGAAAUGGUACUGUUAGUGUUUAUGGCAUCCUUUCUAUAGGUUGAUCUCUAUAGAGCGGUAUAAGUCGAUAUUUAAAAUGUUGGAUUUGUGAGAGAUAUUAUGUUCGUCUGCGCUAUAUAACUAUGAAGAUGGGAGGUAUAAGGAAAAAUAAGAGUGCGUAGCAGAAGCUUGAUGGAAUUAAAUAAGGAAAUCCAAUUUAGACAUUAUAGGAAUAAUCUCCAAGAUGUAUUGCAAGAACAUUGGGAAUUUUGUUAACUUAUUUUGAUGUUUAUAUCUUGUAGGUUUCGAGAUGUUUAUAUUUUGUUAACUUAUUUAAAAGGGGGAGAGAAUGUGAUAUCUUGUCUAAAAAUGAAUUAUGAAAGUAGUGUCGAAUUAGGACCCUAAAUUCACGUUUAGAUUUUAGUCGACCUAUCAAGAGAUUAUGGAGACUGAUAUCUAAGACUAAAUACCGUCUUCCACCCUCAGAUGAUGGACAGUCGGAAAAGACCAUACAAACUCUGGAAGACAUGCUCCGAGCCUGUGCACUAGACUUCGCAGAUAGUUGGGAUAGGUUGGUGAAACUAAUGGAGUUCUCGUACAAUAAUAGCUAUCAUAGCAGUAUAGGUAUGGCACCGUUUGAAGCGUUGUAUGGACGAAAGUGUAGAUCCCCCUUAUAUUGGGAUGAAAUAGGUGAGAAACUGAUCACUGGCCCUGAUUUGGUGGAACGAACUUUGGAGAAAAUUAAGAUUAUUCGGAAAAGAUUAAAAGUAGCUCAGGACCAAAACAAGAGUUGGGCGGAUUCAAAAAGGAGACCUUUGCAGUUCCAACAGGGAGAAAAGGUAUAUUUGAAAGUAUCCCUUACCAAGGGAGUGUUGGGAUUUGGACGAAGUGGUAAGUUAAGUCCGAGGUAUGUAGGACCUUACGAAAUACUGGAUAGAAUUAGACCUCUAGUGUAUCGACUGGCUCUCCCACCUGUUUUGUCAAGGAUACAUAAUGUUUUUCAUGUCUCCCAACUGAGGAGGUAUGUAUCAAACCCGAGCCAUAUUUUGGAGGACUAGCCCGUCGAGGUGAGGGAGAACUUAUCAGUGGAGGAAGUUCCUUUAAGAAUCAUGGAUCGGAAGGACCACACCCUAUGUCAAGGUGCAAUGGACGAAUCAUACACCACGAGAGGAAACGUGGGAGUUAGAAGAGGACAUGCGGAAUAGAUACCCAUAUCUUUUUGAUCAAGGUACGUAAGUUUCAAGAACGAAACUUUUUGUAAGCGGGGUAGAAUGUAAAACCCACAAUUUUUGGCACCGAUUUUUGUUAUUUUAUUUUCCCAAGUAAUUAAAAAGAUAAAAUUACUAGAUAAAAUAAAAUAAAAUAAAAUAACUAUAGGAUGAGAUAAGGGUUCCUAAUAAACUGAAACUCUUACCCAAACCACCUACUAGUAGGUAGUGCUAGGUUUAGGAUUUUAUUGAAACCUUAACAAGAAAAAUAACACCCUCCUUGCCUUUCUUUCGUCUGCCUCCCUAGAGCAAGAGCCGUCAGAGAAUAAAGAAGGAGAAGCAGGCGACACCGUCAAUCGAUUAGACGACUAGGCACCUAAACCUGUAAGUCCCGAGUUCACGCAAAAUUCCUCUUUUAAGUUUUAGUAGUUGAAUUAAUUGCCCUAGAAAUUUUACGAAUAUGGAUUGUUGCUAUAUAUAUGUAGAUAUAUAUAUUUUUAGGAAAAUUCAUAGGUGCAUCCGAAUGAAUAGGGUGUUAGAUUUGAAUCUGUGAGUAAAUAGGUUGCCCAAAUCUGGUGCAAGAAAAACAAAAACAAAAACAAAAACAAAAAAAAAGGGAAGAGAAGAGCAGCGGCUGCUGCCGUUGCUUUGUUUUGGCUAGGCGUUGCAGCAACACCGCACACACAAAAAGGGAAGAGUGGGGGGCUGCCAUCUCUGGCGGCAGAGAAAGAAUUUGCAAAAGUUGGCAUUUCGGCCAACCCAACACCGAAGCAAAAAAAAAAAAAAAUUGAAGAGGAUGUCGCCAGCACUUGCUGGCAACAAUGAACAAAAGUCAUGGUUGGCCUUUUGGCCAACCAAUGGAAGCAAAGGGUCGCCAGCAAGUCUGGCGACCAUGGUCAGACAACUGGUUGGCCUUUUGGCCAACCAUGGGUUCAACCCGAGGACGGAGAAAAUUUGGUAAAUUAUACAGGGGCCAAAAUAUAAUAUAAAAUGUAGUAAAUGUGUAAUAAAUUAUAAAUUAUAGUUUAUCAUGGGUAUUAAAAAUUCAGGACCCAAUUUAAAAUAAUUGUUAGAAUUGAAAGGUUAGUCAUGUAAAAUUAUACUUAGUUAAUUACGUAUAGGAUACUUAAAUGAAAAUCUAAAAACAUUGUAAUUUAGUCGUAUUAAGCCAAAUUGGACAAGGUGAGAUAAGUUUUAAAUGGUUAAACGAAAUGCUUAAAAUAUUAAUAAUAAUAAUGCUGAUAAUAAUACUAAUAAUAACACUAAUGAUAAUAAUCCUAGUAGUAAAUAAUAAUGUUGACGAUAACACUAAUCAUAAUGAUAACAAUAAUAAUGAAUAAUUAUAAAUUAUAAAUGUGUAUAAUAAGAUAAUAGUCAAGAUAAUAAACAUGAUUAGGAAUAAUUAUUUUCUUUUAAAUUAUAAAACUUUACAAAAAGGUGAACUUUCCAAAUUAAGAAAUUUUCUAAAAAUAGAAACUUUCCAAAAAUGGAAAUUGUCCAAUUUAGGGAAAAUGCUGUUAGGGUUCAUACAAUGGUCUAGACACGAAUCUUCGACUUACUUAGAGUUUGUAUGUUAUGUAUUUAUAGGAAAUAACAACUAAUUAGGAAGCCUAUGCAUUUGAUGGGUACGAUACCAGUUUAAGAGACCUAUGGUAGUUCCACUCGAGCAGCCAGACGAAGGUAGGUGGUACUUACCCUUUUGAGAUUUCAAAGGUGCAAAAAUGAAAGUUUUGUUUUCAAUCUUGUUUUGUUGUGUUGACUCGAAACAUAUUUGAUUAAAUGUUUUACUUGGGUAUUGAUGAAGGUUAUAUUUUUACUAUACAAAAAUGGACCAUGUGACUUAUUUGAAAUGUUUUGAAAUGUUAUUAUAUACCAAACGAGUUGAAUCUUUUAUGAAAUCAAAGAUUUAUGUAUAUGACGUGUGGAAUGAAUUUUUGAUAAGUAAAGCUCAAAACAGUCAUGGAAUAGACGGUAGGGGCUAUAGUCUUGCUUAAUCGUCAUGGUAGCCUGGUAUAAAAUCCGAUCGAUUGACAAGGUCAUGGUAGCCUGGUAUAGAGUCCGGCCGAUUGACAAAACCAUGGUAACCUGGUAUAAAGUCCGGCCGAUUGAUCCAUGUAUGAAAAGAGGCCAAUCGGUAGUCAUGAAACCUAUUGGUUGCCCACCUAGAAGGGGUUUAAUCUCUAGGCUGAGUAUUCAGUAGCCGAUCAUCACAUGUACUUGUUAUGAGCUAAUAUGAAAUGAUUUAUGAGCUAAUAUGAAAUGAUUUAUGAGUUGAUAUGGAAGAAUUUAUGAACUGAUCUAAAAUGAGACCUAUGAACCGAUUUGUGAAUUGAUUUAUGAGUGGAUAUGAAGAGACUUGUGAAUUGAGAUGAAAUGAUUUAUGACUUAUGAUUUUCCAUAUUCAUUUAUCAAUAGGGUGCUUUUAAAUUGCUUGCCACUUGUUACUACUGAUUGCUUUAUAAACGACGUUACUUUCAAAAUUAUGGAUGUGAUUGAUACGCAAAUGAUUUGCUAUGUAUCUUUAUGUAUGUAUCUAUAAAAUUACGAGUACAUGGUCCAACAGAGGGGUAGUUAUUACCUACUGGGCGAUUUGUCGCUCAACCCACUUUUUACCAUCCUUGCAGAUUCUGAAGAGUAUGAGUUGGUUUACGUAGAAGACCCUGAGGACGACUUUCAUUAGCUUUAAGUGAAUAGAAGUUGACAGGCUAGCUACUUCUAGUUGUUAGUCUUAUUUAUUUUCGAUUCCGCUAUUUCCAUUAGAAAAUAAAUGUACGAACAUAUUGGAUAUUCGUAGACUACUUUUUUAUGAGAUUUGUACCGCACUUUAUUUUAGUUAUAUUAUUUCGUACUUUUGAAGUUUAGACUAGUAAAUGAUGCCUUGUAUUCUUAAGCGGGAUUUGAGAAUACGGCGGAUGUCAUGUGACGGGCACGUGCGGGCUCGGGGCGUGACAUGAACUAUCAUCCGAAAGAAUAUACAACUCAAACUAUUAAUAUUAAGUUAUAAUUCAAAAAGAUAUACAGAAGCUAAAAUGAAUUUGGCUUAAUGCCAUUUCUCACCAGGUAAUUUAAUAUUUUGUCCUUCCUUCCAUGUGAUCGUGGGGGAGGUUUAAGCUUCAAAGGUCAAAGCUCAAAACUCCAAGUUGAUUGACUAUUUCAAAAUUUCAAUUGCAUGCUUUGCAUAUCGAUGCAGAUCAAAUCUAUUUUUUUCUGCAAUUAAAGGUAGAAUAUCAUUCGACUAUUACCAUUAUCAUCAGCAGAUAACAUUCUGAUAAGCAUUGCUUUGUUAAUUGUGCUACCACAACUGAGGAUAAUGCUAAUUGGUGUAUACAAUCAAUGCUUCAUGCCUCCUCAAUAAAACUAGUUACAGGGGGGAGAUGGGAGCAAAGAGCAAAUAACAGAAAUUUAUUGUGGUACCUAAGGAUAAAUUAAUAUACCAAACAUCAAUAUUAGAUAUCCACUGGCUGGAUCUUUACUGAAUAAAUCAGUAUAAGGUCCAUAUUUAUACUGGAAAGGAUAGGUAAAGAGGGUGUCUAACCAGAAUGUGGAAUAGCAACUGCAAACAGAGGAUUUUUUCUAUGGAUAGUGAGACCAGUGGAUUCAGACUUGUCCAAAUCCUUUGGUUCAAUUCCAUCAGGCAAUGCAAAAUCAAACUUGUGUACCAAUUUUGCUAACUCGUUAACGGCCACAGCAAAGGUAGUACCCGGGCAACCCCUUCUUCCAGCUCCAAAUGGAAUUAACUCAAAGUUAAAACCUCGAAAAUCGAUUGUACUGUUCAAGAACCUCUCUGGCUGAAAUUCUUCAGGCUGAUUCCAAAGCGAUGGAUCUCGUGCAAUCGCCCAAGCGUUCACCAUUACUCGUGUCCCUGCCGGUAUAUCAUACCCCAUAAGUUUAACGUGUUGUGUUGAUUCUCGAGGAACGAGUAGUGGGAUUGGCGUAUGAAGUCGUAAAGUCUCCUUGAUCACUGCUUUUAAGUAGUCCAUUUUGUCUAGAUCAUCCUCAGUGAUUUCUGGUUUUCCUUGAGUGAUAGGGUGUUAAUUGCUAGUAAUUUUGUUGUUAAUUUCCCCUUUUAUUCUUGCCAAAUAUUGUUUUAAUUAUUAAUAUUUACUUAUAUUUGGUAUUGGAACUUAAUUUCAGGAACAAAACAGAAAAUUACCAAAAAGGAGGGACUUUUAUGGGAAAUGGAGACUUCUAAGGACCUUGGACUCUUGAAUUGGUGGGGACCACAAGCUAGUGAAAGGCAUUUAGUCAUUUUGGCCUUUCAAAGAAAGCAACGUAGAGAGACUUGGACCAAGAAGUAAUUUGGAGGCUUUGUCCACAUGUGUGGGAACCACAGGAAAUAGCUUUUAGGCUUCUUUCUUUUGGCUUUUUAAGGGAAGACGUACAGAAGCAAAAGGAGAUCUUUUUUUUUUUAGACGGCUCUAGUUUAGCUUUCAGGAUAGCUUUAGUUUUUCUUUCUUCUCACUGGCCUCUGACACACGCCAGGUGUUUGACAAUAUUCCCCAACGGAAAAAACACCAUUUAUCCCUUGUUUUCUGGUAAAAAACCGCAAUGCCUUUGCAAUCCAUUAAUUCGUGUGGUGAUUUAAUUAUGCGGCGUGGUUAAGCCUUCCUUCUAGCCGAGGGAUCAACUGACGAAUUGGUUCAACGUUUACUGUGAGAUCUAAACCGUUUUUAAUUAUUUUCUUCAUUUAUUGGUAUUUAUAUGUUCCCUGAUUUUAAUUGUUAUAGCCUUAUGUAUGAUUGAUUAGUGCGCAAUAAUUGAUUAUUCACGUAGGCUAUUUUGCUAAAUAGAGGUAAUUGAAUCCGUAAUUGUUCGUUAUCUCUACCUUAGUAGCAACUGGCGUAAUUGGGAUUAUGUCAGGGGAGCAUACGAUCUAGCUUAAACAAACCCUCGUAGCGUGUUUGUUAGUUAGGAUUGGGCCUUUCUAAUUAUUAAUGCAAUCUAGAAAUUAAAUCCUACGGUCGUACCUAGGAUUGUUUUUGGGUUAGAGAAAUAGCUAACGGUCGUACCUUAGCUAUCGAUAAAUUAAGGAAGGGUUGGUUGUUUAGCGCGUGCGAGACAACUAUAACCAAUCUAUUAAUAAAUAUUGGAAUUAUCUGUGAUUCGAUGAUCAGUGCAUGAAUCAUUUCUGAAGUGUACCCUUGGCUAGAGUUUCUCCAAUUAUUUCUUCAAAUUAAUUAUUUUCUGCAGUUACUUUAUUUUUAGCAUUUAAUCGUGAAAACCCCCAUUUGUCUUGAUUCGAAAAGGAAUAAAUUUCUCUCCAGUCCCUGAGGAGACGACCCUACUUACCACUGUCUACUAGUUAGUGAAUUCAGUUAAAUAAUUAAUUCAAGUAUAUCGGAUUAAGCAAAUUCUUCGGGAAUAGGGUGAAUCAAGUAACCCAUUGCACACCUAGAGUCCCUGCUCCAGUACUAGAAUUGAUUAUUGACUGCUUCAGGUGGUAGUUAGGUUUUAUUUAUUAUUAUUGCACAGGUUCGGCACCUGUCAAUUUUUGGCGCCGUUGCCGGGGACUGGCGUCUGAAUUAUUUGUUUCUUUUUGAAUUCAGUUUUUUUUAUUUAUUUUGUUUUAUUUUAUUUUUCUUGAUAUUUUUGCUAGUUUAUGCCCCGUUCUUCUCGCACAGGUGAAUUGAUAUACGAUCCUGGGGUUGAGAAGGCAGCGCGUAGGCGAAGACAAGAACCCAAGAGACGAAAAGAAGGGCACUUAUCUUGUGCAAACGAGUCAGUAGAAGACGAAUUUAGCAUGGCCAACACCCAGACAUUAAGGGAGCUGGCUACCACAGACCUGACUCAUCAGCCCUUGUGCAUCACGUUCCCAACUCUGGCUGAAAAUACUUCUUUCGAGCUGAAAUUGGGGUUGAUUCAGCUCCUGCCUUCGUUCCAUGGUCUUUCUGGUGAAGAACCCCACAAACAUGUCAAGGAAUUCGAAAUAGUUUGCUCUAGCAUGAAACCUCCUGGGGUCACUGAGGAGCAAAUAAGACUGAGAGCCUUCCCCUUCUCUCUCAAGGAUGCAGCGAAGGAUUGGCUAUACUACCUACCUGCAGGUAGUAUCACCACGUGGGCACAAUUGAAAAAGAAAUUCCUCGAAAAAUUUUUCCCUGCAUCCCGGGUUGCGAGUUUGAGGAAGGAGAUUUGCAGCAUCAAGCAGUACUCCGGGGAGUCCUUGUACAACUAUUGGGAAAGGUUCAACAAGUUGUGCACUAGAUGUCCACAGCAUCAAAUUAGUGAACAAUUGUUGAUCCAGUAUUUCUAUGAAGGGCUCCAGUCAACUGACAGGAGUAUUAUUGACGCUGUGAGUGGAGGAGCCCUGGCAAAUAAAACACCGAGAGAGGCAUGGGAGCUCAUUGAAGCCAUGGCAGAGAACUCUCAGCAGUUUGGCUACCGUGAGAGUAACCCCCCUCGAAGGGUUAACGAGGUAGAAACGUCAUCCAUACAGCAGCAACUGUCAGAGUUGACGUCUGCUGUCAGGCAAUUAGCCAUGAGGGACACACCGCGAGCGAAGGUGUGUGGCAUCUGCACUAGCAUGGAUCACUGCACGGACACGUGCCCCAUUUUGCAAGAGGACGGGACGGAACAUGUAAACAUGGCCGGAGGCGUGCUCGCGCCCCGCAGGCAGUAUGACCCGUAUUCCAACACAUACAACCCCGGUUGGAGAGACCAUCCCAAUUUCAGUUAUGGGAACCGACCGCAAAAUUCACUCUCAAAUCGCCCACCAGGGUUUCAGCAACCAUGGCAGCAAAAGUCUCAACCUUUGUCCGCAAAUUCAAGUAGCUCUCUGGAGGAUAUUGUCAAGAGUCUGGCUACGACUACCGCCCAGAUCCAGCAAGAGACUAGACAGCUCCAGCAGGAGACUAGGUCAUUGACCACGAAUAUGGCUCAACUCCAGCAAGAAACUAGAGCCUUAACCCUGAGCACCACGCAGUUCCAGCAGGACACCAGAGCAGGCAUGAAGGAUAUGGAUGCUCGAAUAAGCCAAUUGGCCACUGCGAUAAAUCGCCUGGAGUCCCACGCUCAUGGAAAAUUGCCAUCUCAACCCGAGGUGAAUCCUAGGAAUGUAAGUGCUAUGACACUGAGGAGUGGCAAGGAACUGGAAGAGCCUAAAGUGAAAAAUUCAAAAAGCAAAAGUGAGGAGGAGAUAGAAAAGGAAAUUGAAGAGGAAGGAUGUAUCCGAGAAGAUCCUAAGGUAACCUUCACUUCUCCACCCACUACUACAUCUAACUUACCUCCUUUUCCUUCCAGGUUAGCGAAGACAAGGAAAGUAGAGAAGGAAAAACAACUUUUGGAUGUGUUCAGGAAAGUAGAGAUUAACAUCCCCUUACUGGAUGCAAUCAAGCAGAUACCGAAAUAUGCCAAAUUUUUGAAGGACUUGUGCACCCACAAGAGGAAGCUAAGGGGAGAUGAACGAGUGGCGGUGGGAGAAAACGUGUCAGCCAUGCUCCAAAGGAAACUCUCGCCAAAAUGUGGAGACCCAGGUAUGUUCACCAUUCCCUGCAAGAUAGGAGGUGCCUCGAUUAGGAAGGCAAUGUUGGAUUUAGGGGCGUCAAUCAAUGUAAUGCCUAAAACAAUUUAUACGUCCCUUAAUCUUGGUCCAUUAAAAGGCACAGGCAUUAUAAUCCAACUUGCAGACCGUACCAAUGCUUACCCAAAAGGGUUAGUUGAAGAUGUUUUGGUGCAGGUCAAUGAGUUAGUUUUUCCUGUAGAUUUCUAUGUCCUAGACAUGGGGGAUGAAAGGGCACUAAAUCCGUCUCCUAUUUUGUUAGGUAGGCCAUUUUUAAGCACUGUUAGGACGAAAAUAGAUGUAAAUGAGGGUACUUUUUCGAUGGAGUUUGAUGGAAAAAUUGUAAAUUUUAAUAUUUUUGAUGCGAUGAAGUACCCAGAUGAGACUAACUCUGUUUAUGCUUAAAGUGUUGUCGAGCCCCUUGUGCAGAAAAUAUUUGAAUUGGAUGGGGUUGAUGCACUGACAGUGGCAUUAGCCAAACAUCUUGAGUUGGGAGCAACUCCUGAUGUAGAAUUGAGUGAUGAGUUAUACCGGGCUGUUGGAGAACUGCAUUCGCUCCCACCAAUUUCUCCAAGGUAUGAGCUUACUUCUGUCUUUGUACCAGAAACUCAGGCAAGGUUGUUGCCGUCUAUUGUGCAGGCACCUGAAUUGGAGCUCAAACCUCUCCCAAAGCAUCUGAAGUAUGCUUUUCUCGGGGACAAGGAGACACUGCCAGUCAUCAUAUCUGCACAUCUAUCACCAAGGCAAGAAGACAACCUGAUUCGUCUUCUUCGAGAUCAUAAGGAGGCGAUUGGGUGGAGUGUAGCAGAUAUCAAACGAAUUAGCCCCUCCUUAUGCAUGCAUCGGAUCCGGCUUGAGGAUGAUGCAAAGCCAGUUAGACAAGCGCAACGGAGAUUGAACCCACUAAUGAUGGAAGUGGUGAAGAAGGAGAUACUUAAACUCCUAGAGGUGGGGAUCAUCUUCGCCAUCUCAUAUAGUCCUUGGGUGAGCCCCGUGCAAGUAAUCUCGAAAAAGGCGGGAGUAACUGUUGAGGAGAACCAAGAGGGUGAGAUGGUCCCGGUGAGGAAACCCACAGGAUGGCGCCAGUGCAUUGAUUACCGGCGUCUGAAUGCUGUGACAAAGAAGGACCACUUCCCUCUGUCUUUUAUUGAUUAGAUGAUAGAAAGGUUAGCUGGCCGUGUCUAUUAUUAUUUUCUUGACGGUUUCUCUAGUUAUUUUCAGAUCGCAAUAGCACCAGAGGAUCAGGAGAAAACUACCUUCACCGAGGAUCAGGAGAAAACUACCUUCACCUGCCCCUUUGGUACAUUUGUCUACCGGAGGAUGCCUUUCGGCCUCUGCAACGCCCCAGCAACUUUUCAGAGGUGUAUGGUAAGUAUAUUCUCCGAGUACGUAGAAAAGAUUAUUGAGGUGUUUAUGGAUGAUUUUAGUGUGUAUGGAGAUAGUUUUGAUGAAAGCCUUGAUGAUUUAGCUUUAAUUUUGAAAAGAUGCAUUGAGACAAAUUUGGUUCUGAAUUUGGAAAAAUGUCAUUUCAUGAUGGAUCAUGGCAUUGUUUUAGGGCAUGUAGUGUCGGCCAGAGGUAUAGAGGUAGACAAGGCAAAAGUCGAUAUUAUUUCUGCUUUACUUUACCCCGCAAGUGUGCGGGAGGUGCGCUCCUUUUUGGGUCAUGCAGGGUUCUACAGGAGAUUCAUCAAAGAUUUCUCCAAAAUUGGAGCGCCCCUGUUCAAACUGUUGCAAAAAGAUGUAGUAUAUGACUUCACCGAGGAGUGCAAGGUGGCAUUUGACAGAUUAAGGGAGUCAUUGACAUCACCACCUGUUAUCCAACCUCUAGACUGGAGCAUCCCGUUUGAGAUAAUGUGUGACGCGAGUGACUAUGCAGUGGGAGCGGUGCUGGGGCAACGGAUUGGCAGGGCUGCACAUGCAAUCUACUAUGCAUCAAAAGCGUUGAAUGGAGCUCAGCUCAACUACUCUACAACAGAGAAAGAAUUACUUGCUGUGGUUUUUGCAUUAGAAAAAUUUAGACCUUAUUUGUUAGGUGCAAAAGUAAUAGUUUUUUCUGAUCAUGCAGCCUUAAGGUACUUGAUGACGAAGAAGGACGCUAAACCAAGGCUUAUCAGAUGGAUCCUGCUUCUUCAAGAGUUCAACUUGGAGAUUAAGGAUAAAAGUGGGGCAGAAAACUUAGUCGCUGAUCACUUGAGCCGCUUACUUGCUCAUAAGGAGGAGCCACCAUUGAGGGAGGCAUUUCCAGAGGAGCAACUACUUGCCAUUAACUCGUCUACACCCUGGUAUGCUGAUAUAGUAAACUUCUUAGUGACCAAUCAAUUGCCUGCAGGGUGGCCAAAGGCUAAGAGAGACAGGUUGAAGAGUGAUGCUAAAUAUUACAUCUGGGACGACCCGUACCUGUGGAGACAAUGUUCAGAUCAAGUUAUAAGAAGAUGUGUAAAUGCGGGUGAAUUUCACUCUAUUUUGAAUUUCUGUCAUUCAUUUGCAUGUGGGGGGCAUUUUGGGCCCAAGCGAACAGCUCGCAAAGUGUUAGAGAGUGGCUUUUACUGGCCUUCCCUUUUUAAAGAUUCGUAUUUAUUUUGCAAAUCCUGUGAUAGGUGUCAAAGGGUGGGGAAUAUUUUUCGUAGGGACCAAAUGCUUCAAACCCCCAUGUUGUUUGUUGAAUUUUUUGAUGUUUGGGGGAUAGAUUUUAUGGGUCCUUUUCCCUCGUCUUUUGGUUUCCUAUACAUUUUACUUGCUGUAGAUUAUGUCUCUAAAUGGGUGGAAGCCAAAGCCACCUGUACUAAUGAUUCUAGAGUGGUUGCAGAGUUCUUAAAAUCUAAUAUCUUUGUCCGUUUUGGAAUGCCAAGAGCUGUGGUUAGUGAUAGAGGGACACAUUUCUGCAACAAGACUAUCACUGCCUUGUUUCGAAAAUACGGUGUACUCCAUAAGGUAUCCACACCGUAUCACCCGCAGGCAAACGGUCAGGCCGAAGUGUCAAAUAGGGAAAUCAAGUCAAUCUUGGAAAAGAUGGUGCGUCCGGAUAGGAAGGAUUGGAGUUUAAAGCUAGAAGACGCACUAUGGGCGUACAGAACCGCGUAUAAGACGCCGAUUGGGAUGUCUCCGUAUAGACUUGUCUUCGGUAAGGCUUGCCAUCUCCCCGUGGAGUUCGAACACAAGGCGUUUUGGAUAGUGAAACAGUGUAACAUGGGAUUAGACGAAACAGGGGUCCAAAGGAAAUUGCAACUACAAGAGUUAGAGGAGAUAAGAAAUGAAGCGUAUGAGAAUGCCACGAUCUAUAAGGAAAAGAGUAAAAUCUUUCAUGAUCAACAGGUUUCCAGAAAAUCUUUUGUAGUGGGGACAAAAGUCCUCUUGUAUCACUCGAGGCUUAAACUUUUUCCCGGUAAGUUGCGUUCUCGUUGGAUUGGUCCAUUUGUCGUUUCUAAUGUGCUUCAUUAUGGUGCAGUAGAGAUUCAAAGUUUAAAAACGGAGAAAAAGUUCGUGGUGAAUGGCCACCGUCUCAAACCUUGUUAUGAGGGGUUCUCUGUUGAAAAAGUAGAAGUUGAACACCUCCAAGAUCCACUUUAUCAUGCUUGAGGGUUUUGGCCAUGUCUAGCCAAAGACAUUAAAGAAAGGCGCUACUUGGGAGGCAACCCAAGACUAUUUGUUUCAGUUUUCAUGCAUUUUUGAAGUUUUAGUUAAGUAUUAGUGUCAAUUAAUAGUUUGAUGUUUGGUGACAGGGAAUUGGCAGUUAGACGUGCCCACGCCAGGUGGUCACGCCUGAGGGAAGGAAAUUUUCGUUCAGGAUCUGCGGACUCUAUAGCAGUUAGACGUGCCCACGCCAGGUGGUCACGCCUGAGGGAAAGAAAUUUUCGUUCAGGUUCUGCGGACUCUAUAGCAGUUAAGCGUGCCCACGCCAGGUGGUCACGCCUAAGGGGAAGAAAUUUCGUGUAGGUUCUGAGGACUCUAUAGCAGUUGAGCGUGCCCACGCCUGAGACAGGAGUUGCUUGUUUUUAAAAAAAAAAAAAAAAAGGGGUGAAAAGACGAAAUUGCCCUUACCAAAUGUAAAAAAAAAAAAGGCUAAACAAUUUUUCAAAGGGCACGAAACCCUACUCUCUUCUUCUUUCCUCUUUCUUCUUCUUCUUCCUCCUUUUUUUCUCCUUGUCCGCCGCCGCCACCCUGCAAGCCGCCGGAUCGCCGCAAGCCACACGGCCGCCCAUCGCGCCUGCUGCCCAGCCGCGCCUCGCCACCAGCAGAGCUCCAAUAACCAUCAGGCGUUCCUCCUCCCGCGCCGCACGACAGCCGCGCGCCUCCUCCGCGGCCAGCGCGCGACCAUCUGGGCAGGAGCCCCUGCGCGCCUGUUCAUCCUAGCAGCAGCACUAGGUCAGGCCCGCACACCCCAGCCUGCAUUCUGCGCGAUUUCCAGCUUCUGCACUCCAGCGCAGCCCAACACCACAGCCACAGCAGCCCGCGGACGUCGCGCGCCUCCUCCGCGCAACAGGCUAGACGACCUCCAUUUCUGCGCAGUCUGCGCGCGCGAUCCACGUGCGUGACCCAGCCAGCGCGCCAACUCACCCACUCAGCGCGCGACCAGAGGAGCAGCAGCCAGCUAGCUCCCGCGAACCAGCCACGCGCAACGAGGGGCAAUCGCGCGCCGCCUUUCUCCUUCUCUAGCGCCACCUGCGUUCUUUUUCUUUUCCACCCAUAGCAACUACCGGUUAUUCCCCCUGGUGAUUUCUUUCUUUAAUUUUCUGUCACUAUGUAGCUGAGGCCAGAUUACUAGCUUUUAUUAGCUGAUGCCAAAUUUUAAUUUCGUAGCUGAGGCCAGAUUGUUGAUUUGCUAGCUGAGGACAGAAAUUUUGUGCUUGUUUAGGUGUGUGGUAUAUAUAUCUGUGGUUGAUUGCUGACUAAUUGUUAAAUUUUGUCUUCAACCAGUGAUAUUUGGGGGAAGUUCUUAUUUGGGUUGCUAAUUUAAUUAAUUUCUGGGGGAAUUUUGUUGUGUUGCCUAACUAAUUGGUUUUUGAGUUGAAUUGGUAGUGUUUGGGAAAAUUUUGAUGUUUACAGGUUUAAUUAGUUUCUGGAGUGAGUUUAUUGUCCGUUUUUGCACUUGCCUGUGAUUGGAUGCUGUGACUGGGGAUCAUUUGCUUGGGUGGUUGUUUGUUGACAUAUUUUGAACGCCGUUUCUUUGCCUUUGUCUUGUCCACUGAUAUCCAAUGACCAAACCCAGACCCAAAGGCAAGAACAAGCCUUCCACUUCCACCCCUCAGCCUACGGUCCCCUUAGGGGGACCUGCCCCCUCGACUGAGCCAGGAGGGCCCCGUACCCGCCUUGGACGGAAUAGGGAGGUUCAUAUCUCCUCUCCCGCCCACUUUGACGGCAAUUUGACCUUCACCCGGGCUGCCGACAAGGAGCGGUAUGCCUCGGCUUGCACAAGGAAGAUUAUUCCUUGUAAAUACAUCCAUGGCCCUACACUUGAUAUGCUAAACCUGAGGGAUGAGGUCACGCAGCACUUGACUAACGUAGGCUGGACCCGCUAUGCUUCUAUCAUUUUACCUGCCUUCACUGAACUGACGUGGGAAUUUUAUGCUACUUUUGAGUUUAAUAUUCCUGAUGAAUUCUCCGUUACCACUCCUGGGGUAGUGAGGUUUCGAUUGAUGGGUAGGGAGUUUAACCAAUCUAUCACUGAGUUUAAUUUGGCUCUUAGGUUUAUUGAUAUUCCCUACUCCCAGAGUGAGGAGUAUAUGCACAGUGUGUGCGAGUACUCGGAGCCAUUUUUCUCUCAUUACAUUGAUUAUUGGAGAGAGUUGUCGGUUGACCGACACUGCUAUGACCCCAGUCAGUCUAAGGCUUCUUAUCUUAAGAGCGCCGCCUACCGUUAUUUACAUAGAUUCAUGGCCUAUAGUUUCUCAGGUAGGAAGGAUAGCUCGGGUACUAUGACCAAGCCCGAGUUCUUUUUCGUUUGGUGCAUGGUCACUCGGACUAGGGUCAAUUUGGGUAGCUGGUUUGCCCUCCACCUCCGAACUGUGCUAAGUAAGAAAAAUAAGCCAUUAAUCUUAGGCUCAUUUAUCACUCAGUUGGCUGUAAAUCUUGGGGUUUUGGACUUAAAUAAUCAUAACUUGCAUCGUGCUUGUACUAUGGAACCCCUCGAUUUGGUUUGUUUGGAAAAAAUGGGUCUUGUGAGACAGGUGGCGGGCGUUUUUCAGUUUGCUCCCCCGGGGCCAAUCUCCGUUCCUCCAAAGCGCAGAGCUUCCAAAACCGCUGACCCGGAGGCUGGUGGUCCUUCUACGGAUGCCCCCGGACCAUCCUCUUCGGCACCUCUACCAUCUUCCUCCGUCGAUAGCCAGCUUGCAGCUCUUCGAUUCCAGAUGCAGCACAUGGACACUCGCAUGGAGCGGAUGGAGUGUCAAAUAGCCGGCAUGGCUCAGAAUUUAGCAGAAUACCUCCACCACGUGGGUUUCCGCCCACCGUGCCCUCCACAACCUUAGUCCACCUCUGCCCUCCGCCGUAUUAAGGGAAGUGUUGUUGCCUUUCUCGUUUUAUUUUCAUCUUUAUCCGCUUCCAUUGAGGACAAUGAAAGGUUUAGGUGUGGGGGAGGGUUAAUUAUGCAUUAGUUGUGCUUUGAACUGUUUUAUGUGCAUUUUCCUUGCCUUAGUAGUUCCUUUCUUUAAACUGUGAUGACUGCAAUUGAGAUAUGAGUACGAGUAGUAAGUUCAUACCAUUGGGUGCUCUAUUUACCUCGAUGAUGGAUUGAUUGAUGAAUAUGCUGAAUUUGGCAUGAAUUUGAUCACUUAUGCGAUUUUUGGGCCUAAUUUUUCGUUUGUUGAGUGAUUAGUGCACAUGGUUUGUCAUUCUAGAACUUGCUCGAUUAUGCAUGUCAAUACCACAUUUAAAUGAGUUUAAUGCAUUGAAAUGAUAGGGCACCUAGGAAUGAGCCAUUUUUGGACUUUCUUAAAACCAAGCCUUGGAUUAUUUAUCACUAGGGAGCCAAGUUGAGCCUUAACCCUUAUUCUUCGCUUGAGACCCUAGUUUUAGCUGUAAAACCUCUUUUUAGACUUUCUUUUUGAACCUCGUGUGAAGAAGUGCUUUGAUUUCAUUAUACAGAAUUUUGGAGUAUUAUUUGAGAGGCAUUGCACCUAUCUAUGAAAAAAAGGGAAAAUGUGAAAAGAAGACAAAGUGCAGGAAAUCAGCAAGUAAAGUUGAUUUUUAUGGUGCUGGUUGGGAGUUAUAGAAAAAACAAUAAAAAACAAAAAAAAAACAAAAAAACAAAAGAAAAAAAAAAGAAAAAAAGAAAAAAAGAAGGGGAGUAGAUGAAUGAAAAGAUGAGAAAAGGCGAAGGUUGUGGCAAGUGCUAAUUCACUUCACUUGUGUGAUGGUUGAGAUGCCUUUAAGUUUCAAAUGUGCAAGAAUCUAUGUAAUGAAUUUCUGGGCACUUAUUUUAUACUUUUACACCAUUUUGACUCCUUUUUAUCCUACCUUCUCACCCUAACCCCAUUACAACCUUUUAAAGUCCCUUGAUUGCUGCAUUUAAAUUCAUAAGUAAGUGGUGGAGAUAUGAUAUAUGAGCAAGCUUAUGGUAGUGUCAUUCUAUUGUGUUGAUCUGAGAGUUAUCUUAUAUACAUCUCAUAUACAUUUUGGAGUGAUUGAGUGCACUUUAAACGGUGAGAAUUGUUGAUUUGGUAUACUCUGAUUUCGAUGAGGUUAUUGGGGAAUUUGGAAUGCCAUUCUUGGUAUGAACUGCUGUGGUUUGCUUAGUAUCUUUAUUGCAUUUCUGAGUUAAUCAUGCUUGAGGGCAAGCAUGAUUUAGGUGUGGGGGGAAUUGAUAGGGUGUUAAUUGCUAGUAAUUUUGUUGUUAAUUUUCCCUUUUAUUCUUGCCAAAUAUUGUUUUAAUUAUUAAUAUUUACUUAUAUUUGGUAUUGGGACUUAAUUUCAGGAACAAAGCAGAAAAUUACCAAAAAGGAGGGACUUUUAUGGGAAAUGGAGACUUCUAAGGACCUUGGACUCUUGAAUUAGUAGGGACCACAAGCUAGUGAAAGGCAUUUAGUCAUUUUGGCCUUUCAAAGAAAGCAACGUAGAGAGACUUGGACCAAGAAGUAAUUUGGAGGCUUUGUCCACAUGUGUGGGGACCACAGGAAAUAGCUUUUAGGCUUCUUUCUUUUGGCUUUUUAAGGGAAGACGUACAGAAGCAAAAGGAGAUCUUUUUUUUUUAGACGGCUCUAGUUUAGCUUUCAGGAUAGCUUUAGUUUUUCUUUCUUCUCACUGGCCUCUGACACACGCCAGGUGUUUGACAAUAUUUCCCAACGGGAAAAACACCAUUUAUCCCUUGUUUUCUGGUAAAAAACCGCAAUGCCUUUGCAAUCCAUUAAUUCGUGUGAUGAUUUAAUUAUGCGGCGUGGUUAAGCCUUCCUUCUAGCCGAGGGAUCAACUGACGAAUUGGUUCAACGUUUACUGUGAGAUCUAAACCGUUUUUAAUUAUUUUCUUCAUUUAUUGGUAUUUAUAUGUUCCCUGAUUUUAAUUGUUAUAGCCUUAUGUAUGAUUGAUUAGUGCGCAAUAAUUGAUUAUUCACGUAGGCUAUUUUGCUAAAUAGAGGUAAUUGAAUCCGUAAUUGUUCGUUAUCUCUACCUUAGUAGCAACUGGCGUAAUUGGGAUUAUGUCAGGGGAGCAUACGAUCUAGCUUAAACAAACCCUCGUAGCGUGUUUGUUAGUUAGGAUUGGGCCUUUCUAAUUAUUAAUGCAAUCUAAAAAUUAAAUCCUACGGUCGUACCUAUGAUUGUUUUUGGGUUAGAGAAAUAGCUAACGGUCGUACCUUAGCUAUCGAUAAAUUAAGGAAGGGUUGGUUGUUUAGCGCGUGCGAGACAACUAUAACCAAUCUAUUAAUAAAUGUUGGAAUUAUCUGUGAUUCGAUGAUCAGUGCAUGAACCAUUUCUGAAGUGUACCCUUGGCUAGAGUUUCUCCAAUUAUUUCUUCAAAUUAAUUAUUUUCUGCAGUUACUUUAUUUUUAGCAUUUAAUCGUGAAAACCCCCAUUUGUCUUGAUUCGAAAAGGAAUAAAUUUCUCUCCAGUCCCUGAGGAGACGACCCUGCUUACCACUGUCUACUAGUUAGUGAAUUCAGUUAAAUAAUUAAUUCAAGUAUAUCGGAUUAAGCAAACUCUUCGGGAAUAGGUUGAAUCAAGUAACCCAUUGCACACCUAGAGUCCCUGCUCCAGUACUAGAAUUGAUUAUUGACUGCUUCAGGUGGUAGUUAGGUUUUAUUUAUUAUUAUUACACAGGUUCGGCACCUGUCAUUGAGCUACUUGUCUCACCUCAGUCUGCAAUUUCUCCAAGAUUUUUGGGUGCCUCAAGAGUUCGGUCAUUGCCCAAUCCAUAACUGUGUGUGUUGUAUCAGUCCCAGCAGCGAACAUGUUCUAAUCAUAGAAAGUGAAGAAGAAAAACAGAUGUUGUUUAAUUGAAAAAGAAAAUGUCAUUGAAAGUUGAGAAACUAAUAUGAGGAAAACAUUUGUAAGAAGUUUAGCUCAUCAAUGGUGAACAUCAUUAAAUACAGAUAAAACAGUUUGGUUUGGCAUUGUAUCAAUUGAUGUGUUAAAGCUGAAGUAUGUAAUAUUCCUCAGCCUGCUAAUAUACAAAUAAGUGGUGCAUAAUACAUACUGCAUACUGAAUUUUAGUUGUAUACACAGUUCAUCAAAUAGUAUAAUUUUGUUCUACCUUCGAACAAGCUAAAACCUUCAUGGUUGAAAUUUCUGUAGGAAAAGCUCUACUUGUUAAUGCCUAUGAUCCUUUAUCCAAAUGUACUUAUCCGUGGAAUGAAUUACUAUGAAAAACCGUCCAACAUGCAAACCAGUAGAGAGGAAAGUAAUUCAUUGAAAAUUCUUUAGCAGACCCAUCUGCUUGGCAAUAAAUUUACACUUAUUUUCAAAAGUGUGUUCAACUACAUAUUAUUGUUAUUGUACUGGCUUCUAACAUGUAUGUGUGAGAUAGAAAAUAAUUGGAGAACGUAUUUUCAAGAUUAAAUUUGUGAAAACCAUCGCCAUCCAAACUAACCUUUAUUCAUUUAAAAAAGUAGACACAAAUUACACUUUAACUCGCUGUGGUUUAGUACUUUUUUAUAUAACUUCCCUAUAAUUUCGAAAACUAUACAUAACCCCCCUCAUGAUUUGGACUAAAAUGUCAAAGUGACGGAAUUUGUAAUCCAUAACGGAAUCAACUAAAAUAUCAAAAAUACUCCAAUGUAAAGUUAAAAAUUAUUUAUUAACCACAUGAGGGUUAUGUAUAUAUUUUGAAAUCCAUAAGGGGGUUAUAUGGUAAAGUACUAAAGUAUAAUGGGGUUAUAUAAUAAAACAUAAAAUUAUAUGGGGUUAAAGUAUCCUGCAUAUUAUGUUUCUAUAUUUUGAUCAUUUCAACCAUUUUAGUUUUUAAAUGAGGCUAAUUUUGAUAUUUUCAUAGGUUCCGUUAUGAAUGAUAAUUUCUUUCACUUUGACACUUUAAUCAAAAUUAUAAAAAGAGUUAUAUAUAACUUUUAAAACUAUAGGGAGUUAUGUGAAAAAUAACUAUACCGCAUAGGGGCAAACUGUAUUUUGUCCAAAAACUAGUUUGAAUAAUUGGUGCUCAUUAAGAGGGGGUUCAAGUAUUAGUUCUUUUUAAAAUGUGUAGUUAAUUUGAAAAAGUGUCUAAAUGCAAAAAUAUGCAAUAAUUGUGAUUGUGUAAAUUCACAUGAUAAAUUAUUUGUAAUUUAAAUGUAUUAAAUCAAUACUCACUGGACAACCAUUAGAAAAAUCUUUAAAAUUGAAUAAUAAAAUGAAGGUAUUCCAAGUUUAGAUCAGCUAUACACAAAAAGAUUUUCAAGAAAAGAGAGAUGGCAUUAAGCCAGUACGGUAGGAUAGCCUAAUGAGUUUAUGGUUGGAGUACCUAUAAACAAGAUUUCUUACCAAAAUGAUUGCUUUGAGACUGUCAAGUUCGAGUAUAAAGCCUGUCGACUUUUCCCCCUGAAUUUCAAGCAAGAUAUCCACCAAAUCUGAGCCUUUUCCCUCUAUACUAUCAUCAGUGUUAGCCUUUCCAUUUUUCCUAUCUUUGUGCUCCUUAAUGACACCCUCCAGAAAUUCAUCAAGUUGCUUAACAACUUUGUCCACUUUAUCAUCCAAAUCAUUAAGAUGUCUCAACCAUCCAAGCCAUGGAACAAAAUCUCCUAUAUCAAUAGUACCUAACAACUCAACAAAUUCCUUCAUGAUUUGCAUACUUUUGCUUCCAUCUUCCCUAUCACUGUACUUCCUCCCCAAGGCCACCCUACAAAUCACAUCAUUUGUGAGUGUCAUAAGAAGAUCACUCAAGUUUAUGGCUGAUAAAGGUGGCGAAGAAGCCGAAAAAUUUCUAAUUUUUUCAACCAUAAGUGAAGUCUCUUCCUCUCUUACAAAUCGAAAUGAUUGAACCCUCUUAUGACUUAGAAGCUGAAGCACACAAAUACUUCUCACUUGCCUCCAAUACUCACCGUAAGGUGAUGCUGCGAUAACCUUGCUGCCAUAUAGAAGCCUAUCACUCAUGCUUGUUUUAGGCCUGUUAGCAAAGACUAAAUCAUGGGUUCUCAGGAUUUCACAAGCUGCAUCAGCUGAAGAGGCAAUAACCACGGGCUUGCUACCAAAAUGAACCAGCAUGAGGGAACCAUAUUUUCUUGAUAAUGAUUGAAGUUUGCGGUGAGGAUAUAGCCCGAGUUUGAAAAGAUUUCCAACAACUGGAAACUUUGAUGGAGAAGGUGGUAGCCUUUGUUGGGGUUUAGAAGAAGCAUAGAACCGUAAGAAAAGGGCUAGAAGUAGCAAAGCCACGGGAAGAAGAGAGGAAAAUGUAAGAUCCAAAAUAAACGCCAUUACAUGCUACUCGAAAAUUGGAGAAAGGGCCAAAUCAAGAAAGCACAAGUUGAUUGUUGCUGCUACAAUUGGCUAUGUAUAUGCCUACUUGAUUAAGCCGAAAAGGAUCACCAGAACCUGCUUCUGUUCUGAUGAUCCUUGAAAUUUCACUUUGUGACGGUUGCAAAUGCAUCCUCAGUAAAUGAAUCAAAGAGCCACAUUGGAAACAAUAUCUAUAGGGCCUGGCCGAUUAUUUUGACUUUAGUGGCUGUACUGGAAGAACAAAUUUUGGAUGAUAAGUCCUACUCGUAAGCAAAUUCCAAAAAUUGGAUUGGACUUAUAUUCGCACCAUCAUACAUGUUGAAAUUGAUUAAGCACUUGGCAUUUGAGCUAUUAGUUUAGACAUUUUACAUCUAAAGAUUAGGGCAAAUUACACUUUAUCUCCAGUAAUUUAGUAUUUUUUUACAUAACCCCCUAUAGUUUCGAAAGCUAUACAUAAUUCCCUCAUAAUUUGUAUUAAAGUGUCAAAGUGGCGAAAAUGAUUAUUCGUAACGGAAUCAGCUAAAAUGCCAAAAAUAUUCUUAUAUAAAGUUGAAAAUUAUUUAUUAAUCAAGGGGGUUAUGCAUAUAUUUUGAAAAACAUAAGGGUUAUAUGGUAAAAUAUUAAAUCAUAAGGGGGUUAUAUAGUAAAUUAUAAAAUCAUACGGGGUUAGUAUGUCAUGUAUUUAUAAAGGUAAUUUUGACAUUUUUAAAAGUUUCGUUACGAAUGACCAUUACCGUCACUUUGACACUUUAAUUCAAACCAUGAGGGAGUUAUAUAUAGCUUUUAAAACUGUAGGAGAAUUAUGUAAGAAAAUGCUAAAUCACAGAGGGGUAAAGUAUAAUUUGUCCUAAAGAUUAUAUGACGUGGCACUUUGCUAGCAUAAUUUACUCAUUCACAAAAAGUUUGGGGAAAAAAAAAGAUCUCGUGCAAUCUUCAAAUUCCCAUUCAAUCUCCAAAAUCAUGUCAACACAAAUCUCACGGUGAUUAAAGCUAAUACUAAACAGAAAUCUUUGUUCGGAAGUUAACAAAGACUUUGGGGGAUGUAACUUCAGUAUGCAAAUGCGAAAUAUACCAUGAAUGAAUAUGAUUACCAACAUAACUUUUGGAGUCCAGAAGAAGCAUAGGAUUUUUGAAGAGGUCAAGCAUAGGAUUAAAACCAAACGAAGAAUUGAAGAGAGCAAAUUAAAAUAUCCAAAACUAAUGGGAUUUUGCUUCUUGCAAUUAGUGUUACACGAUUCUUCAGUGCCAUUGAUUUGAAAGAUCAGCAAUAAAACUGAAAAGGUUAUUGAUAGGCUUUUAGAUUGUGGUUAUGAAUAAUUUGGACGAGAAGCCCUUAAGUGUGGGCUCACUCUUGACCCGUCAAAAGUUCCAUAUGUCUUUCGGAAGAUGGCAAAGGUUAUCUUAUUGAUUUGCUUUCAUCCAAUUCCACACACCUAGUAUCAUUUAUGAUCUUGAAAUUAGCAGCAAAAAUAACAAAAAAAAAGGGGAAAGGUUUAUUUCCCUCUCGAAUAUUAAUAAUAUCAAUGUCACUGUAAAGCUUAACUAAUACGAUUAAAAUUAAUGCAGGCUAAAUAUAACAGGCAAGACAAUUUACAUAAGUUCUCAACUUGAUCUUGUAAAACUUGCCCUAGGACAUGCUAAACUUCUCUGUGCCAGGAGAGACACUAAGGCGAAUAUGGAGUGGCAACAAGAAGUAUAGGAAGUUUCCUAUGCACAUCGAUGCCACCAGCUUCAGUCAUGUCCAUGUCCUCUGGUUUUCCUCCAUCAGGCAAGGCAUAGUCAAAUUUGUGCAGUAAUUUUGCUAAUGCAAGUUCAUUGAUAGCCAAAUUUGUGCAGUAAUUUUGCUAAUGCAAGUUCAUUGAUAGCCAUGGCAAAGGUCUUACCGGGGCAUCCCCUUCAGCCGGCACCAAAUGGGAUCAACUCAAACCUCGAAAAUCUAUAUAAACCAACAUUCAGAAAUCUCUCUGGCUGAAAUUCCUCGGGCUUCUCCCAAUUGCCGCCCAUCCGUUGACGAUUACUCGUGUUCGAAUCGGUAUAUCAUACCCCAUUACUUUGAUGUCUCGAGGAACUAGAAAUGGAACUGAGAAAUGAAGCCGCAGAGUUUCCUUAAUUACUAGCUUUAAACACUGCAUUUUGUCAAAAUCGUCCUCAGUUAUCUCUGAUUUUCCUUGGCCUACAGCUCUGACCUCAUUUUGCAAUUUCUCCAUGACCUUGGGGUCUCUUAGAAGCUCUACCAUCACCCAUUCGAUGACUGUAUGAGUGGUAUCCGUUCCAGCUCAAACAUGUCCUAAUCAUGCAAAGUAGAAGCCAAUUGUGAAUAAGUUGAUGUAAAGCGCAGUUUUAUAUAUUAUAUGCCUUAAAGAGUGGUGACUCUUACCAUGAUCACGUGGGAUCCUUAAUCCAAUGUUGGACUUAUAUGUGAAUAAUUAUAUAUUAUAAAUUAUCAAAUAAGGUUAAAUCCAAUUAAAAUAAUCAAUUAUGAUUUGGGUUUUAAUAUAUCUAAUAUGAUGUAAGCCUUUAAUGUGUAGUAAUUUAAGGGUAAUUUCUAUUUCUAUGAUGGGUUGAAAUAGAAAUCUAAAAAAUAACAGAAAAGUUAUCUAUAAAUAAGGUUAUGAUCUCUGAGUCACAUGUAUUCUUAUUUGUUAUAUUUUUAGUACCACAAAAUAACUCUUUUCUGAUAUCCCAUCGUUAGGAAAGAUAUCAAAAAGAAAUUAAAGAGCUCUCUCAAGGGAUUAGCGAAUACUUGUUGACCUAGAAGACUAUUUCAAAAUCUCUAAGGAUUCAAGUGGCAGUUAGUCAACAUGAAUCCAGGUACACUUCCACAAUUUUACUGUUAAUUUAUUUCUUAAAAAUUACCAUAAAAAUUUUGGACUUAAUAGGUGAUGGUUUUCAUCAAAAUUUAAUGACAAGUAUCGAGCCUGUGCAAUAAUAAUUACCUGCUCGAAGAAAAUAUAAUUUUUGUGUAUAGCGGUGAGCAGGGUCGAAUCCACAGAGACUGGAGGAGAAUUUGUUUCUUCUAGAGUACGGAAAGCGGGGGAUUUUUAUAAAAUCAAGAAUAAUUAAACAACUCAAACAGAGAUAAAAAUCAAUAAAUAACCAAUUAAUAAAAAUAAUUCACGAAAGUAAGCAGGAAUUAAAUCGAUGGUAGACAAUCUCUAGUCAAAUAUACAACCUCGCAAACACAGUCCAUUUAUCCGAUCAUUGAUGAAAAGAUGGUUUGCUCAAUUCAUUAACAGGUUAGUUAUAGUCGCCAACAAGCUCUGACGACCAACUUUUCCUUAGUUUAUGGAUGACCAAGGUACGACCAUUAAUCACCCCUAACCAAAAAAUAACCCUAAAUAUGACCGUAGAAUUCAAUUUUUCAAUUGCCUUAAGAAUUAGAAAAGCUUAACCCUAAUCAAUAACACACUAAGAGGUUAUUUAAAUUAGAUUGCGUAUUCCCCUAACGUGUGUAAACGCCAGUUACCACUAAUAUUAAUCGACUAAACAAUUACAGAUUUAGUGAUUAAUUUGUCAGUAGAUUAUUAGGUUAUUUUGAAUAUCGGGCUCUAGACAUUCAGUUAACGAAAUAAUCUCUAGAAAUUAAAAUAGAGAAUACACAAAUAUCAAUAAAUUGGAGAAACGAGUUGAGAUUAGUUCGAUCUCACAGAUAUUCAAGAUGACGUCGUUGAGUUGAUCUCUGACUAGAUUAGGAAUUUAGCCACACCCCAUAGAGAAAUUUUCACGCGAAUUAGUAGAAUUCAUGAACAUCCAAUCUUGUUCCUUAAACAAUGUAAUAUGUUUCAUGCAAAAAGAGUAAAGGAACGAAGAAGGAAUUAUCUACUGUCUUGUGGCCUCCAAAAAGGACGAAAAGAGAAUGUCCCUAAUCUAAACAAUGACUAGUCUUUAUUCUCGUCUAUCUCCUCGUCGAAUAAGGAAAAGAAAAAAAAAAGAUAAAGCAACUCCCCAAUGUUCCUUGUUUCUUGUUUCCUAAUACUAGUAAACUACUAGUCACGAAAGGAAAGGAAUUGAUUUAGCACAUCUUGCAGCCGGAUUUGCAAAGAUUCUCGAAGCUUCCUACGUGCACAGCUUGUUAUUAAGAAAGUCUCCCUUUUUAGCAUUUUUCUGCCCCGCCUCCUGUAAUUAGGUCCAAAUACUAAAUAUAAGUAUAACUCAAUAAUUAAAACAAUAUUUGGUGAGGGUAAAAAGGAAAAUUAAUCAUAAAUUUCAUAACAAAUUACGUCCUAUCAGUUAAUAUAAACAAUCACCAUCAAUUAAUAUGAUUGAUUAUUAAAAAAUAAUUUGGUAUUAAUAAUUCAUAGUUUUCAAGUUAUUUUUAAUUAGAAUUAUUUUUGUUUUGAUUGUGCGGUGGUUAACAAUCUUGAAUUGUGGUUUUAAUGUAAUUUGUUUGCUUAUAUUUUCGGUAAAUUUGCACUGUCCAAUUCAUUGCUUUUAGUUACAUAUAAAUCCAUGGGUUUGUCGAAAUUAAUAAGCAUGAUGCACAAUAUUUGUGGUUUUAAGUACAGAUAUUUGCUUUGCUUGUUAUGAUUAGUUGGUACAUGGCUCAAAUACACAUGGUUCCAGGAUCUCGCAUGCUUGUCUUGUUUGAUUGUUGAAUUUUGUGAACCUCUUGAUAUGUUGGCACAAGUCAUAAUAUGUGGAACCCACAUACUUUCCAUGAUAUAAAUUAGGGAUAAUAUCAGAAACCUCCCCUGAGGUUUCUUCAAAUAUCACUUAGCUCCCCCCACAUUUUAGAAAUCUCUCUUACCAUCCCUCAAGUGAUAAUGGGUCAACAGUCAACAAGAAAUCUAAUCAGUUGCCAAUAAUACCCUUUGCUUUGCUGUUAACUUAUUCAGCUGAUAAAAUGCAAAAUAUGACUGAGAGAGCAAGCAUGGAACUGUAUAAAGCCCGGGAAAGCAUUGCCGCCUAGAAGCUGAGUUCUGUACGAAUUGCAUGGCGCCAUUUUGUUCUGAUAAGACAUCUAAUAGCCCGGGAAAUGAAGAGGAAUGAGAUACUACUUAUAACUGUGAUUGUUAUUUGAUAGUAUCUUUCUGGAAAUUGGUCCAUGGAUAUUGCAGAGGAGGAGAAAUAUUGCAAAGUAUUGAAUUGCAUGCGUUCGGUUGGAGUGAAAGUGAUUUUGUCAAAACUGAGCUGCACAACAGGUAAAAAUCUUCCAUUGCUAGUUGAUAUGAUCAACAUGUAGAAGGAGAACUUGUCGAGUGCCAUGAACUGUUCUUCAUCAGUUGCCUAUAAUAUCUCUGUUUUCUUGUGUUUUUUUGUUUUGUUGGACUUGCUCUGGCUGAGUUCUAUUGGUAGUUGAUAUGAUGAACAUGUAACAGGACAAAAUACAGGUGUCAUGAACUGUUCUUCAUGAUUUGCCUUUAAUAUCUCAGUUUUCCUUGUGUUUUUAUGGUUUAUUGGACUUGAUGACCAAGUUUAACAUCCAACCAGAGCCUUUGUAUGUGAUCCUUAUAUUAAGUAUUGUUAAUGUUGGAUGCUGUAAAGAAUGUCUGAUUUGAUGAACUAUGCUUGACCUUUAUUUUAUUGGUUCAAAAAAUUUGAUGAAUAUUGAGUUGAAGCUAAGCUGUAAUACAUAAGAACAGCUUAGCUUUGUAGCUUAACUUUGUAGCUUAGCUUUGCAACCUGAGUUUGACUUUGAUUAAGCAUGCGUGUGUUAUACUAUGUCCCUUGUGAGAAUAUGUGAUCCUUAUAGCUAUUGAUUCAAACUUUUCUUGCGAACACACUGAUAUGUAGGAUAGGAAGAAUUAUUGCACAUGAUAUUCUAGUCCAUUACAUGGGAAACACUGUCAGAAUUCCAAAUGUCGAUCCAAAGAACUACCAAUAUAUUGACCUUCUUGGUGAUGUCACUGAUAAGGCAAUGAAUGAUUUGCCUAGAAAUUUGAACAUGCUUGUGCAUAUGAAAUGUGUGAUUCCUAGGACAACAGGCUUUAUAGACAUCAGUAGUGACAAAUCAGUCCUUGAUAUGUUCAAACUUCAUGAAAAUGAUCUUGUUAUAAACUUGUACUUGCUGCACCUGGAUAUUAUUCCUACUACAGAGUAGAAUAUGGUAGACUAUAGGAAUAACCAACUUAUUGUGGCACAGAAAGACAUAGGAAUCGAAAAUGCUCCCAUUCGUGUAGUUGACAGUGAGGGUGAUGAUAAGAUUUAUGCUUCUAGUUCUGAUGACUCUUGGAAGGAUGACAUAGAUAGCGACUUGGAAGAUGUCGUAGCUAAAGAUAGGGCCUUAAUUUCUAGUAGUGAUAAGGAGGAAAAUGACUUGUCUGAUUAUGAGGAGAUAGAGGAUGCACCAGUUGUCCCUGAUUCAGAAUCUGACUAAGAGACUGAUCCUAUGAGAGCAAUCAUGCAGUCAAAAAUGUGGACUUACAAUCCAAGAGAGGACAUUGAGUUUGAGAAAGGGAUGCUAUUUACCAAUGUGAUGCAUUUAGAGCAGUGUUGAAGGACUAUGCUAUUCAGAAAAGAUUUCCAUUGGUGAGGUUGAAAAAUGAAAGAGCAGGUGCACUGUCAAGUGUGGUGCUGAGGGGUGUAGCUGGAGGAUUCAUGCAUCCCCAGUUUGUGGCGACCCCACUUCCCCCUAAGGCGAACCAGAGGGUUGGCGGGCCGUCUGCCCAACUCUCGCCAGGACUCAUGCAAGCACACUAACCCAAAUCCUUCCGAAGAUUUACCUCAUCUAUUACAAAGACGAUUCUCCCGAAAAAAAAAAUUACUAGGUCCACAUUAGCUCCAAAGAUAACCGUAAUUUAAAAUAGCCAGUCGACGGCUCCUAAACAUCUCACGCGUUACAUCCAAGGAAUAAGGUCGUACAAUUCCGGAUAUACAAUUUCAUACUCCACAAUUACAAACAUACAAGCCAAACAUUCGAACUAGGGUUUACACAUUUUCCAGUUUCAAGUGGCAAUCCAAAACCAAAAGUACGUUGUUUAAAUUGAAGCACAAUAGAAUCCACAAAAGAAGCCAUAAUAUUCAUUUACAUCCCAAAAAGAAACAUAGAUAAGUUUCAAGGCUUUCAAUUGCCAGAACCUGUCAAGGAAAACAAAUAAAUGUGGGGUGAGCUAAAGCUCAGUGGUGCCCCAAAACAUGCAAUUAAAUAAAACAACUAACACGUAUUGAUUUCGGCUGAAGUAAACAACUAGGAAAGCGCAUAACAGUAGAAAGUAGGAUACGGGGACUCUCAGGAGCCAUUUUCCGCGCUUGAUCAAAAUUUACCGUAGUUGACCCUCCGUCAACUCUCACUACUUACGGUCCAUGUAGAACUCCUUAUUUUACUUAACUCCGGCCACCGAUCAUACCCCAACUCCGGGCCCGCACGACAAAAUAAAUGAGAGCGGUAGUACUCGAGUAUACCCCCUGGAUAAACUAGUCGAGGGAUUCACCCAACGACGUCACAAACUAGUCGAGGGAUUUACCCAACGACGUCACAACACUUGAGAUAUUCACGAAAACAUUUCACGCAAGUCACCACUCGAACGGCUAGUGUGAUAAAGUACACACUGCUCACUUCGAUGGAUCAGAAACCAUUUUUGCGAUUACCACAUAUCAAGUCAAGGAAGCACUUUAACCAAAUAAGCAUAGAACAGGACACUUACCAAGAGUGAAGUUACUGAUCAAGCUGGGAAUCAAAGUCUGCGUUCUCGUUAAACCCUAAAAAAAAUACCAAAUUUUAAAACUAUAAGCUGGCUAUACUAGUUCCAGGAUUACGUAGGAAAAAUUAUUCGUAGUAUAGCUAGUUUAUUUUCUUGGAAUAAGUCAACAAACCAUGUAGUUUUAAAACUAGUAAAAUACUUUGUAAAGUUUCCUUAAUAUUACUUUUUCUUGUAAAAGUGUUACUAGAACUAAUUUACUUGAAAUAAGGUUUCUUGCCGAACAAGUUUUCUACGCUUUUAGCUAAAGUCACUACAAUCUCGUAUUUUGGAAAUUUUCCUCUAGAAAACUAGCCAGGGACAAUUUUUUUUUAACGAAAGAAAAGGAAUUAAAGCAAGGCUUGAGUUUUUGAACCGGGUGAAAUCAUUUCCUAAAAGUAGUAAGGCUAAUUUAAGCUUAAGUAGGAAACGUCGAGUCGGCAAGGUUUAGAAAAUCCUUACGCAAGAAUUUCUAACUUAAACGUACGAUACUAAGUUUUAUCGUUUACUGCUAAGCACAACUAUAUUUAAAUAAUUUACUUAAAACAUUCUCGAGUUCACAAGGUCGGAACGAGUUUCACAAUUUCGAUUCCACUUCGAAAUCACAUUAUAACUCAAAUUUGCCAACGCAUCAGAAUCACAUUUCAAUAGCAAGUCACUAGGGCUUCGUCAAUCAUUAGCCCUAGGUUUCAAUAAAUUCAUUUCUGAUCAAGAAUAAAAUAAAUGAUCAAGGGUUCAUCAAUCAUUAGCACUUGGUUUUGGCAAGCUCAUAUCACAUUUCAACUUAAUCAAAAUAAAUAUAAGGCCUCCAAGCAAUUCCAGUCGUUAAAUUUCAUCACACUUUAACACUUGUAUAAAAUCAUUCAAACGGCCAAGGGCUUCAUCAAUCAUUAGCCCUUAACAUCCAACAAUUAUUUCUUAUAACAAUAUAGCCAACAUUUCAACCAAACUUUUAUUGUUCAGAAACAAGGGUAACUUAAACAUUUUCCAGCAAUUGUUAUUCCAAACUAUCAAGAAUUCCAUCUCAACAUUUUAACCAUAGUAUAAUCAAAUUGUUAUCCCAAGGUGUACCUGCAUAACCCUCUUAAUAUUUCUUAAAGUGAAAUCAAUGGGCAUAAAAUAUUUUACAGCUCGAAACAGCAGUUUUAGAACUGAAAUUCGCCAAUGAACUCUGAAAAAUUCCUUUACUACUUCCGUUACUUCAAUUAAUUUUUUUUUCUUGUUUAAACCAAUCAAUUUUCUUCAUACAGAGUUUAAUUAUCUUGUUAUUAACUAGCUGAUCGUGUUUAUAAGUUCAAAACAACAAGGUUAACCAAGUAAAGCUGCGAUAUUCAGGAUCAAGCUCUCGGUAAAUCUAAUUUCUUGCGCACAUCAGAGUUUCUUUUUCUAAAUCACUCAUCCGAAUGCCUAACAUCAACAUGCAUGUUCCUAGAUGGCUUAAUCUUCUUGUUUUUGAUUGGUUAAACACAUAAUUAAGCUCAGAUUGUCACAGGUAAAUAAAUCAAGAGUUGCAUUAUCACUUCCCCUCUCGGCCAAACCCAUUCUCAGCGCACGUAAAAAUUUUCUUUUUUAAAACAUCAUCCGAACACUCAACUUCACAUGCAAGUCCAUAGCUUGCUUAAUCUACCUCUGGUUAACUAAUUUCAGUCCAGAAAAUUACCUCAGAUCGCAGCUCACUCGCGUGACAAGGAAACUGAAAAAAAAUUUUCUUCUCGGCUUUGCGCACAGCUUUGGGUUUGGUUGGUCUGAACUGUAGUGGUUGUUGCAGCUGUAGUGGUGUCGUGGUUGGAAGAUUGUUGCAGCUGGUGGAGGUUGAAGAGAAAACGGAGAGGACUCACUCACGAUCUCUCUCUUUCUUCCUUCAACUCCCGGACAGAACUAGAAAAUUUUUGCAGCUCGCGGUUUCUCCUCUCUCGGUUCCUCUUCUUUCUCUCUUCAAAACUCACGAGGUGGGGUGGAGAGUGAAAUGGUGGUGCGAGGUAAUGGUUAUGGAGAGGAGAGAAAGGGUGCGCGGUUGAGUGUGAGUGAGGUUGUGUGUUGGAGUGGAUAAAAUUUACAUUGGCCGAAUGGUGAGGUGAUUAUAAUGUUGUCCGGGAAAUUGGUUGGGUUUGCAUGAUAGUUUUGUGGUUGUAUGAGGGCAUUUUAGUCUUUCCACUUUUCUUCCUCAUCUCCACUUAAAUCCUCAAUUCUAACUUAAUUCCAAAAAGUAUCCCCAAGUGUGAUUUAAACGCCUGAUUAUACACCAAUCUUGCAAGACUUCAAUUGUCAUAAUUUUUUUUACGUCUUAAGUAUGUUUAGUGUACUUGUAUCAUGUUUAUCUAAAAUUUAUUGACUUCGUCUUAACGUGAAAGUUCUUAUAAGUAUCUAACGUUAUUCACUAAUUAGAAUUAAUUAUUGGAUUUCAAGUAAUUUAUUUUAAGGUAGCAAAAUUAAUCGGCUCAAGUAUCAUUAAUUUAGCAUAAUGGAAACUAAGUAUUCUAACGUUUUAUGUUAAGGCGGAAAAUUGAUCUAACUCUAAAGGUAUUAAUUUAGUCUAUCAAAACAAAACAAAAAAAAAAUUUCAUAGUUUAGAAAAGUUAUAUUAUUUUUCACAUAAAAUUGUUUUUACGUACUUAUUUGCAAACAAGUGAAAGUAAUGCUAAAAUUUAUUAAAGAAUUAAAUGAAAUGCAAAUGAAAUAUGCACUAGGGCUUGUAUAUAUUUUCGGGGUUCUCACACAGUUGGUGAUACAACCACAUUCAUGGUUAAGACAUAUACACCUGAGCAUACAUGUGUCAUGAAUAGGAAAAAUUCAGAAGCAACAUCAGAUUGGAUUGCAAAGAAGUUAAUUUCUGUUAUGAAAGAUCACCCAGAGAUGAAAAGCAAGGUAGUAAAGGCUGAAAUGCAGAAGCAUGGAGUCUUGCCAAGUAGAAUGCAAAUUUACAGGGCAAAAAAGAAAGCCUUGGAACAGAUAGAAGGAUCACACAGUGAGGCCUAUGGAAAAUUACCAAAAUAUGCUGAACUGUUGAGGAUGCACAACCCAGGAAGCAUCAUCAAAAUUCAUUAUGAUAGGCCAAAUGUUCUGGUAAAGCCUAAAUUUCUGAGAUUGUUUGUCUCUUUCAAGGCACAAAGAGAUGGUUUCCUGGCAGGUUGCAGGCCAUUUAUUGGCUUUGAUUGAUGGUUGCCAUUUGAAAGGUGCAUUUGGGGGCAUUCUGUUGACUGCUGUUGCUCUUGAUGGGAACAAUAGUUUGUUUCCAUUAGCUUUUUCUGUUGUAGAGUGUGAAAACAAGGAAGCCUGGAGUUGAUUUUUUUAUUAUUUCCAAGAAUUCUUUGGACCAUUUCCAGCCAAUAUUCCAUUCACCUUUAUGAGUGUAGACAAAAGGUAUGUUUUAUAUUUCUGUAUUUUUCAUGUUCAGAUUUUCUCCAUUGCUAUUAUAGUGGUUGAAUCAAGUAUUUGAAGGAGUUUGUUUUUGAAACUUCUGUAUAGGGACUCAACCUUGCUUAUGAGGAACAAGUGCCUAAAGCUGCUGCACGAUAUUGCUGUUGGCACGUCUACUGCAACUUCAAAGUCAAAUUUAUAGGAUUGCUGCUAAGGAGAUUUUUUUGGCAAGCAGCUAAAAGUUAUGAUUUGAUAGGACACAAUGAGGCUAUGGAAAGAAUAAAAAAUAUUAACAUAGAUGCUUGGAGAUACUUAGCAAACAUUCCUAAGUGUAAUUGGGCAAGGCAUGCAUUUUCUGUUAAAAUUAAGUGUGAUCAUGUCACCAAUAAUUUCACAGAAUCUUUUAAUGCAUGGGGUUGGAGAACUGAGGGAAAAGAAUAUACUUGCUCUGGCUGAAGGACUGAGGCAAAAAUUCAUGAAAAAACUGCAUAAGAGGUAUCAAAAAGGCUGCACAUGGACAUCUAGUGUUACUCCACAUGUUAUUGGCAAGCUGAAGAUAUUGCAGCUGAAUCAAGAAGGUGUUUACUGAUAAUGGCAAGUGACAACACGUUUGAAGUAGCAGACUAUGAUAAGUCCUAUAUAGUCAAGUUGAUUGAAAGGAUAUGUGAAUGCGGGGCUUUCCAGUUGGCUGGCAUUCCUUGCAAGCAUGCUGCACUAGGAGCUAUUUAUAGAAGGGAGAAACUGGAACGCUAAUGUGAUGCAGCCUUUUCCAUUGAUCAAUACUUGAAAACGUAUGCAUUUAUGAUCAACCCAAUUCCACAUAUGAAUAGGUGGCCUCCAAUGGAAAAUGUGACACCGGUAGUAGUUUUGCCACCACCACUUAGAUGAAGCGCUGGUAGACCAAGAAGAAAUAGAAGAAGGGCACUUGAUGAAGGAGCUCCUGCACCUCAACACAAGAGAUCAAUCAGUUUCAGGUGCUCAACGUGCGGCAGGUUUGGACAUAAUAGGAGAACUUGUCAACGAGCUCCUGUUGCUGAGAAAAGAGGCAGCAGUACUUCUACAAAUCAGGUAGCAAGUCGAAGAGGAAAACCAGGAAGAGGCAUUGCCAAUACUGGAUUAGCAGGAUCUGUUCUAUGGGUAAUUGAAGCAAUGUCAAAUUAUAGUAUCUUCAUGUGUAUUAAUUCCUUGCAAAUGAGCUUAGCUUUUUGAUCUGAUUUGUCAGGAACAUGCACAAGGAAAUGUCCCAGUCAUUGUAUCAAGUCAAGGCAGUAAUGGAAGCACUCAAAAUCAUGUUGCUGGAGCUCAUGUUCAACUUAAUCAUUCUGCCUGCACUAGUACUAAUACCAGAAAGGUAUAGUUAAUCAGAAAUUAGAUUCAGCACCUAUUGCUAACUGAUAAGUGACUAAUUUACGUAAUAAUUGUAUGACAUUUUAUAUUACUUUUAGUCACUUUGGUUAUAUUAUUGGAAGAAUAUGAAUCAUUUUGGCUAUAAUUGGUGAAUAAAUGUUUUUAAGUGAUUAAAUGAGGUUUUUAUCACUUUUUACUUGGAUUUUGUGUAUUUUGACAGUUUUUGACACAUUUUCGUAUUUCGGCUAUAACUUGAGUUACAAUGAUCGGAUUGGGAUGAUUCUUGAACCCAUUUGAAGAUAAGAGAUAGAUCUACAACUUUGGUGAAGACAUCUAAAUCCAGUGUGAAGGUUUUCCAGGUCAAAAUGCCGAAUUACAAUAGCAAAUUUCUACUGGUCGAAGCUGGAACAGGGCAAUGAGCAGGUAAGGGUAUUUCAGUCAUAUCUCAGCCUACACAGAUCCAAAUGAGGUGAUUCUUGAUGCAUUAGAAAGAUAACUCAAAAGGCUACAACUUUCGUGUUUUAGACAUGAGCUGGUUCAGCCUCUAACAUCAAGAAAAGAUUGGUUGAAGUUGGGCCAAAAACAGAGCAAGUGAUCCACACUCGGAUCCACUAUUCAUCCGAACCCUCGGUUGUUUCUGGGUUAGUGAUCCGAGCUCGGAUCCAUACGGAUCCGAGGUACUGUAGCAGCUCGGAUCACUGGUCAGAAAAGGCUGCUCUGUACGCGUAAAACUCAAUUUCACCUCCACCAACUCACAUUGGAUGCUAGACAUGUGAGAAACAUUCCCAGCUGUAAAAGGGAGAUGUAAUCCUCAUUUCUUGACCACCUUUCAUCAUUAAAUAGCCAAAUUCAUUGCAAAAAAGGAGAUGGGGAGUUCAUAGCAGAAAAAUAGAGAGACAUACGGGAGAAACUUGAAGUUGCAGAAAUGUAGCUCUUUCAUCUCCCUAGUGUUAGUUUAGCUUAGUAUAGAGUAGUGUAGCUUUCCAUUCUUGUUUAUUAUCUAGAUUAGGAUGAAGAUGGAGGAUGAAGAAGGCAAGGAAGAAAGCUCAUGUGACAAGGGUUGUAUUCCUUCCAAACUCUUUAUCUUUUGUAUUUGAUUCCAAGUUUAGUUAAUAUACAAGUUCUAGAUUUUGUGUUCAUUAUGUGUUUCUAAAGUUUAUACCUUGGGUUUGGUUGAACUUUCUAUGAUUGUUAGUGCUUAUUAUUUGGCUAUUUGACUGCUAUGAUUUGAGCAAGUUAUUUAGCACUUUAGCUCUUGAAAUCAUGAUUAAUCUGGUACCAUUAAUUGUGAUUAUCUAAGGUGUUGUUUCUGCAAUGAAAAUUGAGAUUUAACACUAGUUCAAGAAGUGCUAAACAUAAGGAGUACACUCACGAAAGUAGAGGUGCACUUAUGUGGUUUUUAGUGAUUCAUUUCAUGUAAUUUCAUUGAAGAAAUGAACUUGUAGCUAAUUUCAUAACCAUGAAAAUAGGUAUGGAUUAGUUAUGAGUAUAAUUGAUUCACUACGAAAGUAGGAUUCAAAUGCAUAAGGAAAUUACACCAUAAUUAGCCUAGAUGUAGUAUUCAAUGAUCCAAAUAUAGCACUUGCAUGAGUAGUUAGGGAUACCACAACCUAAGGAGCUUUCAUUUGUUAUUUUGUAUAAUUUCAGUAGGUUUAAAUUUGUUAUAAUUCAUUGAUAGUCUAAAUAAUAGAGAAGCUUUAGUAGUACCGGUAAUUGCAAUCUUCCUUGUGGGAUCGACCCUUAAUACCCUAUACUCGCUCACGAUUCGUAUACUUGCGAUAAAUCGCGUGUGGGGUAUUUAGGAGUUUAUAAAUGUAAAACUUGAUUAGGAUGAGCUUAAUUGUAUAUGUAUACUCCGCGCACGUCAAGUUUUUGGCGCCGUUGCCGGGGAAGAUUUGGCAAUAUCGGUGUGAAGAGUAACUUUAUUAGUUUAGACAUUUUAUUAGUUAUUGUGUGAAUGUUAUUUUCUGUCAUUUUAGUAUUUUUUAUGUGUAUGUGUUUUAUCACCUAUUCUUCUUACUAAUUUUGCUCUUAAGUUGUUUAAAAGCAAUUUUAGGUGAUGAGAAGGGUAGGACAAUUUGGAGGACAAUGCUUGAGAAGUGGAAGAUUGGUAAUGGAUGGUUACCAAGUGCAAAGCUCCUUUAAUAGAGGUAACCAAGAAUUUACUGAAUGUAUGUCUUUUGAAGAUGGUUUAAGGUGCUUAAAGGCUAAAUUUGAUGUUAUGAUGUUACAAGUUCAAAUGGACACCAUGAUGCAUGAAAUUGAGCAGAGGAAGAAUGUUAAUGUUUUUAAUUCUUAUCAUGUGAUUUGUGACUUGUGUGGAGGUUAUCAUGCUACUAAUACAUGUAUGCAAGCACAAAAUAUGGAUUAUUAUGAUGAAUUAGAGCAUUACAAUCCUUGUUUUGAUCGAUAUAGUGCUAAUUUGAGCAAUUCUCCUGCUUAUGGUUGGAAUAAUCAAUGUACUUAUAGUAAUUCUUCAUAUUUUUAUGAUUAUUAGCAAUAGAAAAGCUAGCAAAUGCAACUUCCGAUCGUUUUGAUAGGAUUGAGGAAAGAAUAGAUGAAUUAGCUUCUCACUUUGGUCGAAUACAUGAGCAAUUGAAUGCAUUGUGUGAAGUUAUUUCCUCUAAUAAUGUGCAAAAUGAUCCUAGCAUGAAUGAUGGGAAUGUUGUAUGUGAAAAUGGGUUGCAUUUUGAUGAAAAUGAUGAAUCUCAAUUGUGUUUCAAUGAGCAAAUGUCCAUUUCACAUGAUAAUAUCUUUGGAACUAACUUUGAGCCUCAAGAGGUGAGUUUUAAUGACUCAUUUUUCACCCCUCUUGAGGAGUGCAUUGAAAGUAUAGGUUCUAAAGGUAUUCCUGCCCAAGAUACUCUCAUGACAUUUCCUUUGGUAAGUUCUCAAGUGGUGCAUAUUCAAGGUAAUAUCUAUGGAACACUUGGAAUAUGUAAGUCACUUCCAUCUCUCAGAUCAUUAGUUCAUGUGGCUUUUUCUAUUAAGUCACCUUACAAUGAUCCACCAAGGCCUAAAAUGGUGGAUUAUUCGUUAACUAAGCCUCCUUGAAAAAUGAGGUGAUAUAGUCAAGCUAUUGACUUUAAAGAAGCGCUUAUUGGGAGGCAACCCAAUGCUUGUUUAAGUUGGUGUUACUUUGGAGUGAUUUUAUGUUUAAAGUAUAAGUUUGAGUUAUUUUGUUAUUUUUCAUUUGUAGGUUUUGGAAAAAGAUGCAAAAGUGACCAAAUGAGGUGAAAAAGGCGAAGUUUGAUCAAAGAUCUCAAUACCACAAAUUCAGUAAUUGUGAAUUUUGAUGCAUUAAAGAGGUUUAGAAUGCAUGUUUAGAUCAUUUUACAUGUGCGUGAAUGAUUUAUUUUGACAUAGAAAUGAUCUAGGGUGUAUUUUGAAGAAUUGAGGUCAAACUGAAAAUUGCAAAAAUUCUGCAAUAAGUGCAGAUUCAAUGGAUCCAAGGCCUCGGAUCCAUAUGGAUCCAAGGCCUCGGAUCCACUUCUGCAAUCAGAGAAAAACUUCGAGCUUCUUGAUCCGAGCUCGGAUCCAUAUGGAUCCGAGGCCUCGGAUCCACUUCUGCAAUCAGAAAAAAUUUGAGCUUCUUGAUCCGAGCUCACUUAUCAUGAUCCGACAUCGGAUCCUUUCAAAAACGACCUCGGAUCCUUUCCAAACGAAGCCUCGGACCACUUUUCUUCAUUCUUCCCUCUUUUUCCUCCUUCAACUCCACUUUUCUUCUUGUUGGUUGCAAGCUUUUAUUCUUAAGAAUUGUAUUUUUGUUUUUUUUUCAAGGUGCAUUAAUUGAAGUCUCCAUUCUUUCAAGUAAAGUUGGAAAUUCAUCACAUUGCCAUGGAUUCGGAUCACGCAAGUUCAUUAGGGGAGUAUUACUUUCUCUUAUUUUCGUUAUUUUUCCUUUCUCACAUUGAGGACAAUGUGAAGUUUAAGUGUGGGGGAGGAAAGUAUUGAACUUGCAUUUACUUGCCAUGUGAUGAUAUUUUGUGGAUAUAAAUGCUUAGAAAUAUUGGAGUUAUGUUUGAAUUAUUUGCCAUGUGGAUAAUUUGCCUGAAAUUGGGUUUGUUGGCAGGGAGUUUUCUUCCAUUUAUACGGGGAAACUCCGUCAAAAUUUGUCUAACAUCUUGUCCAAUAUGUCACUAUGGCCCAAAAGUUCUUCAAAUUUUUGCAUUUUCAUUCAAAAAGGGCUAAUUUGUUCCAACUUUAAAUGUUUUUAUUCUUCCAAUUGUUGAAACUUUAUGUGUAUUUUGGAAGGUUUAGUCCUCAUUUAACUUGGAAAUAGUUAUUAUGCAAUUAGAAUUUUUACAUUUUAGAAAGUAUUUUUGGUAAAGUGAGGAAAAUUAUGCCUAUAAUUUUACAUGUUUAAUGAGAUUUCUUCUCUUUACUUAAUUUUGCAAGUAAGUGAUUGACAUAGUUGAUAAAAGGUUAUACUCCUCCUUUGAUUAGUCUUAUAUAUUUUCUAAGAGGGAAUAUCUAUUUAUUGUCCUUUAGUUUAAAAAAUAAAAAAAAAAAAAAAAAAAAAAAAAAAAAAGAGAAGAAAAGAAAGAAAAAAUUAUUCUACUCCAAUGAUUUUUGUACCGAGUAACCGGGGGUUGGCAUCUACAAAUGUCGAUUUUCGCGUAAAAAGCUACUUGAAUUAAGAGUAUGCAUUGCAACUUGAAUAAGUGAAAUGUUGAGUAACCGGGAAUCUUCACCUAAAAGUGUCGAUUUUCGCGUAAAAAGGCAUUCUCACUAAUUAAGUAAAAUUAGUAUGAAUAAAUCCCUCUUAGAUGUAAAAUUUUGAGAAAAGGAUGAUUAUAGGAGGAGGAAGGCUAUAAAUCGACUAUGUGGGUUGCUUAUUUGUGAAAUUAGGUUAGGUUAAGAGAUUAAGUUUAACUUGUUGAAUUUAGGGUAUAAUUAUCUUUCCUUUACUUGAUAUUAUGAGUAUUUAGUGUAAAUUGAAUAAUUAUAUAAUAAUUAUUUUCCAAGUCUUGAGGAAUUAAAUUGGACAAAGUGCAUAUAUUGUUUCACCUCUUGAAUCAUUGCAUUUGAUUAUGUGUGAAUUGCUUGAGGACAAGCAAUGAUUUAAGUGUGGGGGAGUUUGAUAAGUGACUAAUUUACGUAAUAAUUGUAUGACAUUUUAUAUUACUUUUAGUCACUUUGGUUAUAUUAUUGGAAGAAUAUGAAUCAUUUUGGCUAUAAUUGGUGAAUAAAUGUUUUUAAGUGAUUAAAUGAGGUUUUUAUCACUUUUUACUUGGAUUUUGUGUAUUUUGACAGUUUUUGACACAUUUUCGUAUUUCGGCUAUAACUUGAGUUACAAUGAUCGGAUUGGGAUGAUUCUUGAACCCAUUUGAAGAUAAGAGAUAGAUCUACAACUUUGGUGAAGACAUCUAAAUCCAGUUUGAAGGUUUUCCAGGUCAAAAUGCCGAAUUACAAUAGCAAAUUUCUACUGGUCGAAGCUGGAACAGGGCAAUGAGCAGGUAAGGGUAUUUCAGUCAUAUCUCAGCCUACACAGAUCCAAAUGAGGUGAUUCUUGAUGCAUUAGAAAGAUAACUCAAAAGGCUACAACUUUCGUGUUUUAGACAUGAGCUGGUUCAGCCUCUAACAUCAAGAAAAGAUUGGUUGAAGUUGGGCCAAAAACAGAGCAAGUGAUCCACACUCGGAUCCACUAUUCAUCCGAACCCUCGGUUGUUUCUGGGUUAGUGGAUCCGAGGUACUGUAGCAGCUCGGAUCACUGGUCAGAAAAGGCUGCUCUGUACGCGUAAAACUCAAUUUCACCUCCACCAACUCACAUUGGAUGCUAGACAUGUGAGAAACAUUCCCAGCUGUAAAAGGGAGAUGUAAUCCUCAUUUCUUGACCACCUUUCAUCAUAAAAUAGCCAAAUUCAUUGCAAAAAAGGAGAUGGGGAGUUCAUAGCAGAAAAAUAGAGAGACAUACGGGAGAAGCUUGAAGUUGCAGAAAUGUAGCUCUUUCAUCUCCCUAGUGUUAGUUUAGCUUAGUAUAGAGUAGUGUAGCUUUCCAUUCUUGUUUAUUAUCUAGAUUAGGAUGAAGAUGGAGGAUGAAGAAGGCAAGGAAGAAAGCUCAUGUGACAAGGGUUGUAUUCCUUCCAAACUCUUUAUCUUUUGUAUUUGAUUCCAAGUUUAGUUAAUAUACAAGUUCUAGAUUUUGUGUUCAUUAUGUGUUUCUAAAGUUUAUACCUUGGGUUUGGUUGAACUUUCUAUGAUUGUUAGUGCUUAUUAUUUGGCUAUUUGACUGCUAUGAUUUGAGCAAGUUAUUUAGCACUUUAGCUCUUGAAAUCAUGAUUAAUCUGGUACCAUUAAUUGUGAUUAUCUAAGGUGUUGUUUCUGCAAUGAAAAUUGAGAUUUAACACUAGUUCAAGAAGUGCUAAACAUAAGGAGUACACUCACGAAAGUAGAGGUGCACUUAUGUGAUUUUUAGUGAUUCAUUUCAUGUAAUUUCAUUGAAGAAAUGAACUUGUAGCUAAUUUCAUAACCAUGAAAAUAGGUAUGGAUUAGUUAUGAGUAUAAUUGAUUCACUACGAAAGUAGGAUUCAAAUGCAUAAGGAAAUUACACCAUAAUUAGCCUAGAUGUAGUAUUCAAUGAUCCAAAUAUAGCACUUGCAUGAGUAGUUAGGGAUACCACAACCUAAGGAACUUUCAUUUGUUAAUUUCUUGUAUAAGUGCAGUAGGUUAAAUUUCUUAUCAUUAAUUGAUAGUCUAAAUAAUAGAGAAGCUUUAGUAGUACCGGUAAUUGCAAUCUUCCUUGUGGGAUCGACCCUUAAUACCCUAUACUCGCUCACGAUUCGUAUACUUGCGAUAAAUCGCGUGUGGGGUAUUUAGAAGUUUAUAAAUGUAAAACUUGAUUAAGAUGAGCUUAAUUGUAUAUGUAUACUCCGCGCACGUCACUAACUAUUCUAACUGUUGACCAGUCAUUAGUUUAAUAACAUUUGUUGCAUGGCUUCAGAGAGAAGGGCCAAAUGCAGGGGUUGGAACUAUUGUUGCUAACACCAAUAAGAGAGCCUGACCUUCCAUUGUUGUUGGCUCAGAACAAACUCCAGCAGUCACUGCAUCUUCAAUAUCCACUUCUGCUGGUAUGGUAUCUCACAUUGACAAUAGCAGCAUCAGUAUGAGGUUCUAAUUAGUACUAGUAUUAUGAGUUUUGCUUUGGGAGACUAAUCUGGUAUUUUUGUAUACGUAGCAUUCCUCAUCAUCUAGAAUGAUGUUUUUAGAUGAUGUUUUCUGAGAUUCUUGUUGAUUGCUACAUACUUUUGUUUAGUUGUAAAUAUGGAUGCAAGUGGUUAAUUGCAUUCCCAGUCCCAGUGAACGACUUCAAAGACAUAUGUUUUGGUACUUAUGUUUGGGAAUUGCAAUUUACUCUUGCCAAGUAUGCUCUGCUGCUACCCAUAGAUCUUGCAAAUAUGACUUAUUACCUUUAUGUAUGGAAUUUGCAAGCCUUCAAAGAUGUCAUGCUGUUGUUUUUUUUUUUUAACUCUAUGACUCUGAUUCCUCAGGAUUACGUGUGAAACUAGUACUGUUGUUUUCCAAUGAACUUAGCAGGAGAGACACAUUGUACCUAAGGAACUGCACCUGAUAGCUUAAUGCAUUUUUUGUCAAGUAUGACUUUUGGUAUAACACUGAUAGGCAACAAAUAUGGGGGGCAUACGUAUGAAGUAAAACAUAGCUUCAACUCUUUUUCAUAUAGCUUAACAUCAUGUCCAAGUUACACAUGCCUUUUGGUUCUUUCAUUUAUGACCAGUAAGGCUCCAAAUAGCUUGGAACACAUCUACUAUUACUGGAACAAGAAACUGUGAUUGCUUUAACAAUUUGAAUGAAAAGAAAAAUUGCUAAGAGUACAAGAUUGAUGAUGAACAAGAAAGUGAUACAUGCAUUCUGUUGAGGCACAAAAGUUACAUUCCUGAUUUGCUUUCCUCAAUGGAAGCACUGCAGAAUCAGCAUCAUUUCUUGUACGCUGCACUUCUUCACCUUCAUUUCUUUGCCUCUGCAACUCUUCGCCUUCAUUUCCUUCAUACCACUGGAAGUAGUUGCACUUUGAACAACUAAAAUAUAGCUUAUCCGGAUUUCUUUCACUCUCUGAGAUUCGUAAUGUGGCCUUGCGGUUGCAUUUACAAUACCGGUUCUUCAUGCUUAAUGAUAAAGGUGAAUUGUAUGACUGACCUUGGAAGGAUGAACUAGCCAUUUCUUUGCUUACUUUCCUUUUUAAGUUUUGCAGCUAUUUCAUGCGGUUCCCUUACCUUUUAAUACCACUGGAAGUAGCCGUUGCUUUUCCUUCACCUUCAUGCGGUUCACUCAAAAUAGCUGUUGCAUGUCCAACGGCCAUGUAACAGUGCUCAUACCAGAAAAUUUAUCUCCAAUUCAUAUUUUCCACCUACUGCAACUUUGAUAUGUCACAGGAUUCAGUCAAACUAAGGGUAUGAAGGGAAUUAAAAUACUCUCCCUCUUCCAAAACCAAUAUUCUAAUGUUACUUUUGCUCAGAGGGGCUGACAUUGUUAAGAAAAUGUCAAUUCAAAGGGUGGUAAGAGAGAUUUCUAAAAUGUAAAGGGAGCUAAGUGAUAUUUGAAGAAACCUCAGGGGAGGUUUCUGAUAUUAUCCCUAUAAAUUAACUUGAUUUCUGGUUUCGGGAAGUUGUUCGUUUUUUCCCUAUUUCAACAGAAAGCCUUGCGGCUUGUUUUGUUAGUUUAUUCAUUCAAGAGUUUUGAUUAACAUAAUAUUUAGUAGGGCCUGCAUGAUAUGUAACUUAUUAAUAUGUUAAGGAAAUUAGGGUUUCUCUAAUUUGUGUGAACCCUAAUAAAGUUAAACAACACAUUUAAGCCUUUGAAAAAAAAAAGUCCAUAAGAUUGGUUCACUAAGUAUAUAGUCUUAUAAGACAUUUAUGGAUUUCAAGAAAAUUUUGAAUUUGAAUGAUAAAUUUGGGUUAAGUUAUAGAUAUGGACUUUUAAUCCAAUAAAUCUUGAUCCAUUUGACUGGUUUGACUAGAAUUUGGCUUGUUUGACUAUAUUUGACCAGAAUUGAUUAGUUUGACAAGAUUUGACCAAUUUGACUGGUUUGACCACGUUUUGAUCAAAAUUGACUAAAGUUGAUUUUGAUCAAAAUUUUUGUGUAUUUCGUGUAAUUUUAAAUUUGAAUAUUGGUAUGAUUAUAUAUAUUUUAGAAUAAAUUAAUUGAAACAAUAUGUAACUAAAGUGACAUCUUUUGUGAUUUAAUUUAUUUUAAAAUAUACCUAGUUAGGUACUUGUAAUUUUGUUAAUAUUGACUCAAAGGAAGGUCAAUAUUUAACAAAAUUGCAUGUGCAAUUGUAGUAAUAAACACGUGAUGAUUAUUCAAAUUUUUUCGUGUGAAUUAUAAAUUGGCCCAAAGAAAAAUUUAUUUUUGACAUGUUAUUAUUGUCAGUGUUUAUUAUUGCAUCAAGAUAUCAUUUAGAAGUUAAUAUUUUUAUUCAAAAAUAAAAUAUUAAUGAAAUAUUGGUAUCUUGAGAUGGGGUUACCUUUAUUUAAAUUUAUUAUUAUUUUUUGGUGAAUGUGAGUUUGAUUUAACUAUUUUAUGUUUUCUGCUCAGUUUCGAAUGAUCUUACAAAUAUUACUACCAAUAUCAAUAAUAUUUCUAUGCUGAAUGGCUUUCUUUUGGACCCUUUUAAGGCAGCUCCCAAACCACCGGAUUGUGACGCAGCUGCAACCGCAAUCACUAGCAGCAGUUCGUACUCAUUAAAUGAUCACUUUAAUUAAUUGGGGACUGGUUAUUUUUUUUUUUGCUUUUUUUUAACGUAUGUGCAUCAUCGAACUAAAGAAUUUUAGACAAAACUACGAGUUAAAAUUUGUAACUUUGGAAGAGUUAAAAAAGGGAGAGAAGCUAAAACAAUUUCACUUGAGUUUUUAUUUUAUUUUUAUAUCUUGAUUAGCCGUUUGUUUUAUUGAAUCUUGCCCAAUUCCCGUCACAAAUAAAAAAAAAUAUGAUUAAACAACAACUGAAUUGUAAUCAAAAUAAUAGUACAACCCAUACUAAAGAAUGGAAAUUAACAUACAAAAUGAAUCUAUAUAUCCAUAAUCCAAAAUGAAUUUGGCAAAUAGAGAGAACAAAAAUAAAACCACAAUUUUAGGGUAAAAAAGAGGAAAAUAAUUAAUUCUUCAACAUUUCAGCUACAGGGCCAUAAUUUGGCGACGGAAAAACAAAGGGAAACCAAUAAAACAACUCUAUUGGUCCAAAAAGCAAACACCACGGAACGGAAGCCCCGUUCUGUUAGCCUCAAUGGACCAAGUGAAUAACUGUUUUUCGGCCUAGGUACUUCUGGACAAAAGUCACAGGGCUCCACACGCGUCUCAGCCCAGCACAUGAAUGUGAUAGACUCGCAAGUCCAAGAAGUUUGCUUGUUUUCAAGCCUGUAUCUCUACAGAAAAUGGCCCGGGGACUUUCCUGGGCCUGGCCCCACAUAGGUGUUGACCUUGACCAUCUCACUUCGUCCGCGGUGCGACGGUUCGACCGACUUCGAAGCAUAAAUUAUACUUGGGCAUACUUCUUAAGAAUUCACGAUGUGGGAGGAGUUAAUUUCUACUCUUAAGCUAUUGAGCUAGCUAGGUAAGGGAUUCGAAAUCCCUUGCCUGCAUUUCUCAUUCAGAAUUUUUUGAAAUUUUUUCGCAAGUAUAGUUUCCCUCAAGUUUUUAAUAGAUUAAUCGCGUUGAUCCCCACACUAGGCAAACCCUUAAGGUAGAGAAGGAAAAGAGCAGGGAAAACCGGUCUUCUCAGUAAAUUAUUCUAGCUGAAAUUCAAAGAUUGAAGAAUCCGAGGUCUGACGUGAUUGAACUUACCACAAAAUGCCAAGACAUUGAGGAUGCUGCAACUGUGCUAAGGAGGAGCAAAGUUUAGGUACUUCCAAAAUGAGUUAUUAUCACUUUAUCCCCUUAAAAUUAUAUCAUUAUUAUCAAUUUACCCCCUAAUAUUAUCUUUUAUUCAUUUCACUCCUAUUGGUAAUUCAAUUUAGCAUGUUAACAAAUUCUGAAUAAAAAUAUCUUUUUAUUUUAUAGUAUUAUUACAUUAUUAUUAUCACUUUAUCUCUUUAAAUUAUAUUGAUACAGUCACUUUAAUAUUGUAUAUUUUAUCGAAUUAAGAUUUUUUUGGAUUUGCAGAAUUUUAGUGAAGAGUACACAUGCUUUGGCAUAAUUAGCACAUGCGUUUGGAAGUCGAACCAGUACGAGUUGGAUCAAGAAUUGACACAAGUAAUUUGUUUAAUUAAUUUUUUUUGUAAGUAAGAGAUAUUAAAUUCAUGACAUUCUACUUAUAAUUUCUCCCGCUUUGCCAUCCAACUCAAUCUUCCCCUCAAAUUAAACUUAUUAGAUAAAUUGUUGAUUAAACUUGCCAUCAAGUUCGAGCAAUAAAAGCGCAAAGCCACCCACAUCCACCUUUUUUUCAUGAGAUUUGGGUCGGACAAUCAAUUGGUUCUUCGUUCAAUCAGUUGAACCGGUCCUUCCGGUCCAAUUUUCAAAACACACCGCCUUCAUUCAUGUCCGUGUCCUCUGGUUUCCCUCCAUCAGGCAAUACAACAUCAAACUUGCCCAAACAUGUUGCUCGAAUGAAGUCAUUAAUGGCAAUGCAAAAGGUCAUUAACAGCCACUAACUGCCAAAUAGAGUUGAUCCAAAGCUGAACGUCGAAAACCAACAUCAAAUGUGGAGAACCUUAAUAAUGGAUUUUGCGGCUUUUCUUCUCAAUAAUGGAUUUUGCCAACUGCCCAACAAUUCUCAAAUAGUAAUAACAUGGUAAGGCUGCGACAGGUCAUGGCCCUUUUCGUUGAUGCUUCGAGCCAAGUCUGACAGGAACCAAUAAUGGAGUAGGAACAUGAGCCAUGAAAACGUUAAUUUUUUCCGUUAUUCAUUUAUAACCCAUACCAAAACUCGGCAGUACUGGAUCCAAAGUGGGGCAACUUAAUUUUUAUUAUUAUCAUUAAUCUUUUGUCUCAUAGCUUUUCUAUACUAUUUUGCAAAUGAUUUGUCUCAUGGCCUCUCUCAUGCAAAUGAUUUCAAUUCUACAAUAUAGAAAUUCAAUAUUUUGGGCAAAUCCCUAGUCAUUAAGUAGGCAUUUAUAUGGAGUACAAGAGCAGAACAAUGGCAAACCGAAGGCACUCAACCUGUACAUGGGUGGUUCUAAGCUUCCCAUGUGUUGACCUACUUGAUAAGUUAUUUAGAUCACUCAAAUGGUUAAUAAAAUUGGAGAUUGGAGAAUACAUAUAUAUAUAUAUACUAGGAGAGGAAUGCCUGCGCAUCGCGCGGGUGUUUGGUGCCAGUGAUUAAAAAAGAUUUUACGGUAGUUCAAGCGAAUAUCAAAAAACUCACGCACAUUAAGUAACACUAUGAAGUAACAAAAUAUCUAAUGUAUACUGUGAGAUAGAGAAGGAAAUUAUGCAUGCUAUCUUGCUUGGUUCAUAUAUUUUGUAACAAACACUUGUAUAUGAGCUUUUCAUUAAUAAGACUAAAUGAACUUUAAAUAGAUACCCUAACGAUUCAGAGAAUGACAAUAAACAAAGUGAUUAUCCACUUAAAGAUGCAUCUACACAACAUUCUUGUUGAUGAAAGUAGCCAACUUUUUUAGCAACGACAAAGUCUAACCUCGAAAGGUUUGGUUCCAUCAGAGGAUUCAACAAUGGAUCAUCAACCCCCGUAGAUUUUGGGUAAACAUAAUGCCAAAUGCCCUUAACAUAGGCGUUCGCCUGUAAUUUCAUUAACUCAAUACUGAUUAGAUUUUUUCCCAAAAAAUAAGGACAAUUGAGAAAAAUCACAUCAAAAUCAAAGUCGUCUAGUAUCUCCAACCAAACCCUUGAUGCCAUGUGUAUGUUCUAAAUUACCACCAGCAUUAUACCCACCAAAAAACACCCUAUCAAAGCCAGCAUAAUCCCUAAGCCAUACCUCAGGACCCUCACCAUUUGAAUGAGGGGCAAUCCAUUUGACUGCAAUCUAAGAAUCUUCAUAAGCAAUAGGCAAAGGAUGCUCAGGGCGAGCUGAUAGUUAAUUGAAAUUGCUACAACACUAACUUCUGCAACUACUACAUUAAGGUGCGCGUGAUAUGUAGGAGAGAAGGCAUAUUUGAUCAAAAAGCCUCCACCAUGUAAGUAGACCAAAAAAGGAAGUUUUGUAUCUCCAAACCUAUUCCAACAAAACCACACCAUUUAAAUUGUAUAGAACAACCAACUUUGUGGGGAAACAAUAAUAUCAACAUUAAAUUGUGCUAACAGACUAUCCAAUUUUGGAAUGAAAGCAUUUAGCUAACAAUAGAAAUUAUGAUUUUACAAAGCAAAUCAUACCAUUAAAAAAAAUGAAACCUCACCUCAAGUUGAACCACCAAGAAUAGCUUCACCAGAGAACCAUAUUGAAAUCCAGAGUAUAAUUACAAUACAAAUAAGUAUUUACCGGAAGACGAAAGGAACAUGACGGAAGAAUGUGAAGGGGAUAUUUGAAGAAUUGAAGUUGAAACUAAUGCUCAAUCAUAAAUUCCUUAAUAAACCACAUUGCCCUUGCUUUAAUUGAGAUGAAAAUGACGUUUGAAGUUCUUCAAGUUAUAAUAGCAAAGUAAAAUUAAUAAUUGAUACAAACCAUAAUGAAUGUCUCUGCAAGGACAUUUAAGUAAUUACGUCAAUAAAGAAGCUUUAUGGGUUGUACCCAUUGUAGAAAAGAUGACCAAAUAAUCUCACAUUCCCAAACUACCCAAACCUUUGAACAAAUCAUCACUGCAUCUUUUAGAAUAUAAGGACAUUUCAGUAAACACAAUAAUAGACAUGUUAUCUAAAGUAGUACCCAAUACUAUAACUACACUCAAAACAACCUCACAAUCCCAAAAUAUCCCUACUCUUACAGUUGAAAUUCAAAGCCAUUCUUUGACCCAAACUCAUUCUUAUAUAGUAUAAGGAUUUAUAUAUAUAUAUAUAUAGUUCCUUCCAAUCUAACUACACUUGUACAUGACAUCAAGUAAACAUAAAACGGUGGAAAUAUGAGAACUUUCAUCACAAUGGAAAAUGUGGUCUCCCACUCCUUAUUACGAGUCACCAGCGUGAACUUCCACUAGAAAUAAGACCACAAAAAUAAAAAAGAAAGCAUACGAAUACAAAGCCAUUAACAAAGAUAUGGAGUGGCAAUAGCAUGUAGAGGAUGUUUUCUGUGAACUGUGAUACCAGAUGCUUCAGUCAUGUCCAAAUCCUCUGGCUUCAUUCCAUCAGGCAAUGCAAAAUUAAAUUUGUUGACCAAUUUUGCCAAUGCAAGUUCAUUUACGGAUAUGGCAAAGUUGAUACCCGGGCAAACCCUUCGUCCGGAACCAAAAGGAAUUAACUCAAAGUUAAAACCUCGAAAAUCUAUAUUGGAAUUCAGAAACCUCUCAGGUUGAAAUUCCUCAGGGUUCUCCCACAACAUGGGGUCUCUUGCAAUUGCACUAGCAUUCACCAACACUAGUGUGCCUGCUGGUAUAUCACACCCCAUUAUUUUGAUGUCUCGAGUUGAUUCCCGAGGAACCAGUAAUGGAACAGGAACGUGAUAUCGUAGAGUUUCUUUAAUCACUGCUUUUAAGUAUCUCAUCUUCUGCAAAUCUAGUUGAGUUAUUUCUGGUUUUCCCUGGGUCACUUCUCUUACCUCAGCCUGCAAUUUCUGCAAGGUUAUAGGUUUCUUUAGAAGUUCUGACAUUGCCCAUUCCAUAACUGAAUGUGUUGUGUCAGUUCCACCGCCAAACACGUCCUGCAUGACGGAAUGAAGGAAAGUGUUGCUUUAGAACAUGCAUAGAUGCUUUUUUUUUUUAAUCUAAAUUUUCAAUUUCAAAAAAAAAUGGGCACCUGUCCAAAGAAAAAGAAAAAUGAAGACAGAUUAACAAUAUUCAUACUAUCGCAAUAAGCGUUUAAUUACCACAUACAAGACGAAACAUUAUGUUUAGGUACAUGUAAAUUUAAAAGUUACAAAAGUUUAAGUGCAUAAAGUUCGGUUAACCCAAGCAACCAUUGAGGUUUUUUUUUUUUUAACAUUUUUUACAAGAGAAGGUAUUCAAAUGCAAUGGAUGAAUUUUCUUUUAAUCUGAUAACAAGGGAAGGUAUUCAAAUACAAGGGACGAAAAUGAGUUUGAUUACAUACAUUCAUAGUAAUUUUGAUAUAACUUAAAUAUAUUAUAGAGUGUAUAUAUUCAGAGUUGUGUGGUAAUUUUAGAAUUUUUAUAGUGAGUCAACCCUUUUUGUUGUUUAUUUAAUAUCCUUACCCCUUGUUUGCAGUUUUGUCCAAAAUAAAAAGAUCUUUCUACCCAAAAUGGCAGUGAUAAAUAUUUAUCAUUAUUCAUUCUUCAAUAUUUAGUGUGAUCAAUAUUUUGUUGUCCGAAAAGAAUACAAUUAAUACGUAUUUGACUUAAUUAUCCUAGAUAUGUUUAUGACUUUUAUUUUUUGUUCUAGUAUGUUAAUCUUUUGUUUACAUGGAAUUUUCACAUUUUUUGCUUUCAGAAUCUUUUGUUUACAUGGAAUUUCUACUAUGUAAUCUUUUGUUUUCAUUUUUUAUAUGAAAUUCAAAAAAAAUUCUGCACAACUAUUCAAAAGUCAAAGAAUAAAGUAUCUCAAAACAUUUGUUUGCUUGAAAAAAAAGAAAAUUUUAUUUUACAUAAAAGAAAAUUUUUUAUUAAGCUCACAAAUGUCUUAAGAUAUGGUGAUACAGUGAAAAGAUUUUGAUAAAUUUGAUAUCCUGCUAUAUUAGGCAUUCUAAGAUGAAAUUGGAAAGAACUUUCUUUAAAUUUUUUGAGGAAUAGAAUUUGAGAAAAAAAAGUUGGAAUAAACAUUUCAAAGGGAAAGGAAUUUCCCUUUAAAUGAUUUAUACCAAACUUAGCAUGUAAUGAAUAAGUUAUAAAGGCUUUUUUCGAGUCUAUUCCUACCUACAAAACAUAGUGUUAACGUAUGGAAUGGAAUCGAUGUUUCCAAACUAUUACUAGACUGACCUAGCUAGACUGAUUGAUUGAACCAAGGACCAACUCUAUCACAAGAUUCUAUGUUAAAGCAAGAAAAAAAAAUAAACAAUGAGUCAACCUUAAACAUAAACUGAUCAAACCGGACAAACCUGGUAAAACUCCAACAGUUGAAUAGGCUAGCCACUAGAAAUUUUUUCCCUUUAUAUAAUUUGGUAUUAUUCAAAUUUUCUAAUUAUAACUAAAGUAAGAAAACAUUUAAUUGAACUAGUGGUUGAACCAUGAAGGCAUGAACCAAAAGCUCUUUCAUUGAACCAUCCGAGUUUAAUAAUAUUGAAUUCAGUAAACCUUACAAACCAAAUAGAUUUUGAUCUUGCACAUCGGAGUAAAGGAGGAGGAUGCCAUCUAAUAGGUUGUCAUGUCCAAGUCAACUAAACAAGAAACAUUUGUAUGACAGUACCAAACAAAAUCUAAACCUUCCAGCCUAGUGCAAGUCACUACCUGCAAAACUAGUACUAGAUGAUCUAUUACCAAUAAACAUAAUUCUUUUCAGAGUUGAAAUCAAUUAUAAAUUCUCAUAGUACGAUGUAAUUAAAGAGAUGGAGAGAGAUCCAAUUUACCAGGAUGAUAGCUUUCAUAUCAUCACGGCCAAGAGCAAAGCCGAUAGUGCUUUCCUUAUUAACCUCGAUCAGAAUGUCCACAAAGUCUAGGCAUCUUGCCUCAACGGAAUAGUCAUUUUCAGCCUCACCUUUCCUCUUAUUUAUGUGCUCUUCUAUUACACCCUCAAGAAAUUCAUCAAUCAGUUUAACAAAUUUCUCUACUUUCAAGUCCAAACCAUUGAAACGAUUAACCCAUGCAAGCCAAGGAAUGUAGUCUCCUACAUCAAAAACACCCAUUAACUCAACAAAAACCCUCAAAUUUUCCAUAAUUUUUCCUCCCUUUUUCUUCCUCACUAUACUUCCUCCCCAGGGCAACCCUACAAAUUAUAUCAUUUGUGAGAGUUACAAAUAUUUCAGUUAAGUUUACAGGUGAAGAAGAACACAUCUGAUUGAUCUUUUCGAUCAUGAGUGAAGUCUCUUCUUCUCUAACAUGCUGAUAUGACUGAACCCUUUGGUUACUCAAAAGAUGCAGCACACAAAUGCUUUUGGCUUGUCUCCAAUACUCACCAUACGGUGUAAAUGCUACGUCCUUACUUCCGUAGAAUAGUCUAUCUUUAACGCUCGAUUUAGGCCUGUUUGAAAAAACCAGAUCAUGGGUUUUCAUGAUCUGGCUAGCUGCAUCAGAUGAAGAGACAACCAGCACUGGCUUGCUUCCAAAACGAAGUAGCAUGAGUGGGCCAUAUUUUCUUGACAAUGAUUGGAGGGAUCUGUGUGGAAGCAAGCCAAGCUGGUGAAUAUUUCCAAUAAUUGGGAGCUUUGGUGGAGAUGGUGGUAGCUCUUUUUGGGGUUUAGAAGCAGCAUAGAACCAUUUCAAAAGGGCUAGAAGGAAUACAACUGAGGAAACUGAGAAGAAUAAAAGAUCAAAAGAGAACGCCAUGAUCUAUAUGAUCUUGUGUUUGCCUAUUAAUGGGCUACUCUUCUUAUAUAAGAUUACAGGCUGCUUUUAGAAUUGAAAUCCCAAUAAUACACCUUACAACAAUAGGACCAGAAAUGUAUAUUUAAUUAUUUAGCACAAGGGAUGAUUUGAGCCCGCAAGUUACACGGGGAGGAAUGAGUUGGGUUGUGCAAAGAAAAGGAGUAUAAGUAAAAGGUUUGGAUGCUAACUCACUUACACUAAAAAGAAAAAAAAAAGGAGCGCAUACGUUACACAAGACAAAACUAUUGGUCUCUGAUUUAUGUUUUGGAGCUAUGGUAUUUUUGUCUGAUUUAUGUGAUUGGUCUCUGAUUUAUCUUUUGGAGCUAUGGUAUUGGAAUCAUGGAGAAAACUCCUUUGUGAAAGAAUAUCCAUUCACAUUUCGCAAAAUUUGACCCCAAGAAAUAGAAAAAGACUAGCUUCUGAUGGGAUCGGUGCAUCAGAAAAAAGACGUUUAUUUUUUUGUUCCUUGGAUGAAGGAAGCCGGAGCAUCAAACAUGCCCUUUCGGCCAUAGGCCAUAGCCCACAGCCGACAGUUGAUUCUCCUUUUUGCCACGGACGUCUUAUCAAAUUAUGUAACAAAAUUUCAACGGUUAGGUACAAAAAUAGGUAACUCCGUCUAGGUUGCCCAAUCAAUUAUGACUAUCAUUUUGUGUCUUUGAAGAAAAUUUGGCAUGCAAUUUUCCUAUGGGAUAAUUUCACAAACCUCCCCUGUAGUGUAUGACAAUUUCACUCGACUCCCCUCAAAUUUUACAAAUUACACUGACCUCCCUUAUUACAAUAAAAUGACUAUAAUGACCUUCACUUAAUAAAUAAUUCAUAGUAUAAUGAAAUGAGAUUAAAAAAAAAAUAAAAAGAAACCUGACUUCUUUGACUAUAUUAUUUAUAAGUUAUAAUCAACGACGAUUCUAUGUCACUUACUGUCACUCCGUUCUCAUCCAUCAACCCCUUCCUCUUAUAACUCGCUUUUAAAUUACUACCAACCAUUGCCUAUAACUACAGCCAAUUACAUCACAAGUGAUCUCUCAAACUCUAUUAUAUAUUUCUACUCCUCCUUUCUUCUCUUUGGAAUUGCCAAAUCACAAGUUUAGUUGAGGAAUUAGAUUUGAUGGUUGAAACAAAAUCCGAUUUCAUGGUCAAACUAAAAGGAGAUGAAGAGCCACACAAUAACAAUGGAACAAAUAAUGCUGUCAUUGGCCAAAAGAGAAAGAGAGACUGAAAUUGAUAAAUUUGCUAACCUAUCUAUCAUCUAUCAAAAAAACUUUUUAACACGUUAAUAAGUACAUUUAUAUUUCUUUUUAUGCUUGACAAUUGCUGGUUGUGAUUCGCUAUGGAGAUAGAGUUUCUUCUCUGUAUUUAAAAUGUUAACAUAUUUGGGGAUUUGAUGGUAGGCUAGAUUAUUUUAUUUUGAGAAGCUGUGAGCAUUGGGUUUGAAAUUUAGGGUGUGAUUAGUUGUAAAUAUAAAUUUGAUUUCGGGCAAAAUGAAUUUCUUGAAGAUCUGUAUAAUAAUAAUGAUGCCUUCCUUCUCUUAAACUUGAUUACUCCAAUCCAUACCUAAAUCUCCCCUAAGGAUUUUCUUCAAGACCAUAAUGUGGCUCAUAUAGUAGGAGUUAGGGUUGCAUACGAACAGAGUCGAGUCAAACUUUGGUCUAAUCGAGCCGAACCUUAACUUAGUUUUAUUGAAUUUAAACUCAAACUCGAGCUCAAGGAGCUGACAAUUUUGAAACUGGAGCUCGAGCUCAAAAAAUAAAAACAAUUAUUUUAUUUUUUAAAAAAUAAAUAAAAUAAUAUUUUUUCUUAAUAAAUAUUAAAAUAUUAAUGAUAUAUAUGUAAUUUUACUAUUAAAAUAAAAAAAUAUAUAUGUACUUGAUUUGAGCUCGAGUUCGAGCUCGAUUUCGACUCGGCCAACUUGAGUUCAAUAUUGAUCGAGCUUGAGUCGAGCUUGACUCGAGCGGCUCGUGAACAGUUCGAUUCGUUUGCACCCCUAGUAGGAGCUGAGCUACUUAGAUGGAAUCAAAUCAUGGCAUCCUAUGUUGAAAAUUAUGCAAAUAUAAGGGUAGUUGAUUGUGAUUUAUCAUUCCAUGAAAUCAUACAGUAAGAAUAUUUCUGAAAGAUGGAACGAAUCUUCAAAAUUGAAUGCAUGCUUUGGGAGAAGCAAUUUUAUGACUAUGAUGAUGGAAUUUCUUGAAUUUAGAAAUUGGAAUUAGACUAUUUGUUAGGCUAGUUUGUUAGUAUAGUGGGUUUUGUUGAAAUAUGGAAGAAAUCAAUCGGCAAAAUAAUUUUUGUUUUAUUUUUUGAUAAAAAGGGUAGUUUAGGAUUUUUGAGAAAAAUAUAGGCUUUUGGACCUAUAUUGUUAUAUAAAUAGUAAAAGCAAUGGAUAUAGGUGUAAUUUAAUAAACUUGAGAGGAGCUCUCUGCAAUUGUCAGAAUCUUAGGGGAGGUUUAUGAAAUUAUCCCUUUUCGUAUUCUUAAGUUUGAACUAAUGUUUAAUAGUAUAAAUGCACCAUAUGCUUGUGAGUUUGAAUUUUCUUUCGAAAUUUUGAGGAACUAAUAUUUGGAAAGUUUAUUAAUCAACUUUUUCUACCAAGGCACAAUAUUCUUCAACUCUAGAAAUAUUCGAAUAUAAAUUAUUACCUCAUGAAAUGUUUUAUCAGGAGCUGAUUAAGAUGUAAUUGGUCUAUGUCCAUAAUACACUGGCUUCGGUAGGUGAGUGUGAUGAGAUCAUCAAUGAUCUUACCACGUGAUUUGAAGAUUAUAAGUAUUAUCUAUAGUAAAUCUGACAAUUGUUAGGCCUCUUAAAACUAAUGAUUAGUCUAAGACCCUAUUUGAUAACUCAGUUCAGCAUUUAAAUUUAAUGGAUUCAAAUCUUAAUAUAUUCAAACCGUUGAUAACAAAAAAUUGAACAUUUGAAUAAUUAAAUGACACUGAAUUUUUUAGACAAAAUUUGCUCCCAAAAUUAAGUGAUAAACUAUUCACUUAUCACUGAAUGUGAUAUACACUCAAAUGUAUUAUAUUUAAUAUUUAAGAAUUCAUUAAUUUAAUAGAUUCAGACUUUAAAUUUUAGAUUUCAGAUUUCAGUUUUAUCAAACAACUCAUUGGAUGAUCAAAAGAUUUUGCUUUUACUUUGUUUUAUGGGAUAAUAACAUAAAACUCCCCUAAGGUUUCUCUUAAUAUCAUCUAACACCUCUAAAGUUUUAAAAAAUAUUACUUACAUCCAUUUUGUUAUUUGUGUUACAAAAUUAUUGAAAAAUCUAAACUGUCCUUUCGCUUGCUAAAUAAAAAUGCUCUUAAGCCACUUUGUUUAUUCCAAGAAAGCCAUCACCUAAAAAACAAUUUGUAGUAGUACCACUGCAUCACAAUGCUACAGUCCAUAAAAUAUAAAUUUAAAAAACAAAAAAGAUAUUUACAAAGAAAAACAUUAGCAUAAUUUAACUCUAUAUGCUCAAAAUUAAUUUCUUAUAAACCAUUGUUUAUUCCAAGAAAAUCAUCACCUAAAAACAAUCUAUAGUAGUACUACCACAUCACAAUGCUACAGUCCAUAAAAAUAUAAAUUUGAAAAGCAAAAAAGAUAUUUACAAAGAAAUACAUUAGUGUAAUUUAACUCUAUAUGCUCAAAAUUAAUUUCUUAUAAACCUUAGAUUUUCUUCCAACUUAUUGUCAAUCCAUGUCCAAGCCUUUAAAUUAUACUGAUCAUUAUAAAAAUCAAUUCAAAAUAAUCAAAGAAAUCAUACCCCCACUCUAUCACAAUCACAAAAUUUAAAAGAUAAAUAAAAUUGAAUUUACUAUUACUUAUAAAUAAAAAAAUCAUAUAGUCAUCCAAAAAAAAAAAGAAUAAGAAAGAAUGUUGGAGAAAGAAGAAAUAGAAGAAAGUGACUUGUGUUACCUUUUUUUUAAAAUUUUUUGAGCUCCAUUUAUUUGAUAUGUGAAUUACGUAUUGAGAGUUAAUCUAGUUUUUUUUUUUUUUUUGCAAUUAUUAGGGGACAUAAGUGAUAUUUUCAAAACCUUUGGAGUGCCAAGUGAUAUUAGUAGAAAUCUCAAGGAAGAUUUUUGAUAUUAUCCCUUGUCAUGUUUGUUAUACAAUAAAAUUUCUGCUCCAAAAAGCCAUACAGGGCAUUUGAAGCUAUGCUGUUGCUGAGAUGGUAUAGUCCCUUGGCCACUCUCUCUGCACUCUUAAUAUCGGCCCUCCAAUAUCAUAGAGUAAUCAAAUUAUCACAAACCAUUCACAUUCAAAAAAAAGAAGUUUUGCGGAUAAAGCAGUUCCUUGGCGCAACUAUGCACCGCAACAUCCUAUCAGAUGAAAGUACAGUUUUCCAAAAUCAAUCGUAGGGAAUUUGGACUGUUAUUCCUUCGAAACGAGGGAUUUAAUUACAAGUGUCCGUUGUUACAAAUUUUCAGCUGUUCCCGAAUUGGUGCAAAUUCUACAUCGAACUCAUAGUUAUCCUGCAACUCCCAUGUACCAAUUGCGUAGUCCUAUGCUAUGAAUUGUUGUAUAGGCAUAAUAAGAUAUAACUCAGAAUACAAACCUUUUUUUGAAUUAUUGAUCAGUAGCUUAAAUACAAUUUGCCAACACUAGAUAUUUGCUGUCUGGUUAUUUGGAGAAUAGAUCAGUAUAAGGUCCACAUUUAUACUUGAAAAGAUAGGUAAAGAAGGCCUCUAACUAGAAUGUGGAAUAGCUACUGCAAAUACAGGAUUUUUUCUGUGGUUGGUGAGACCAGUGGCUUCAGACAUGUACAAAUCGUGUGGUUUAGCUCCAUCAGUCCAUGCAAAAUCAAACUUGUAUACCAAUUUUGCCAAUGCAAGCUCGUUGACAGCCACAACAAAGGUAGUACCAGGGCAACCCCUGCUUCCAGCUCCAAAUGGAAUCAACUCAGAGUUAAAACCUCGAAAAUCGAUCGUACUAUUCAAGAACCUCUCUGGUUAAAAUUCGGCAGGCUGAUUCCAAGCAAUGGAUCUCGUAAAAUUGCCCAAGCAAUUACCAUUACUGCUGCACCUGCUGGUAUAUCAUACACCAUUAUCCUAACGUGUUUAGUUGAUUCUCGACGAAUGAAAUAAUGAGAUUGGAGUAUGAAGUCGUAAAGUCUCCUUGAUCACUGCUUUCAAGUACUCCAUUUUGUGUAAAUCAUCUUCAGUGAUUUCCGAUUUUCCUUCAGUUAAUUGUCUUACCUCAGUUUGCAAUUUCUCCAGGCCCCAGAAGUUCAGACAUUGGCCACUCCAUAUUGAAUCAGUCCUGCAGCAAACACGUCCUAAUCAUGGCAUUUGAAAAAGAAAAAGGAAAUGCUGUUUUAUUGAAAAAAAAUGACAUUCAAAGUUGAAAAACUUAUAGGAUAAGAAGAUAACCCUUAUUAACGUCAAACACAUCUUUUCUAUUUCAAAGUUGACGUGGAUUAUAUGAUUGUUUAUCUGAAAGUUGAAUUGUAUACCAUAACAAAACAAAACUAUAGGGUAGCAUAAUAAUUUGUUCUAUUUUUUGAUACUCUGACAUUGAUUUUAUCUCUCACUUACAAUUAAAAAAAUCUAAAAAGUGUGUCAAAUCAUGUCUCUAGUUUAGGUGGGGUGCUUACCUUUUCCUUAGGUGUAUAGACUUCAAUUUUGAAGGUUCUUGAUAAUAUCAAGGAAAGGUUUAUUUCCUUAGCUAAGGGAAAUGUUUAUUUCCCUCUCCAAUAUUAAUAAUAUCAAGGUCACUGUAAAGCUUAACUAAUACGAUUAAAAUUAAUGACAAUUAUUUGUUAAUUAGUGCAAAGCUUAACUUAUACGAUUGCUUAGUGCCUUAGUUGUCUUUUGAUUUUCUUAUUGAGCAAUAAGAACGCAAACCAACCUGCUAGUGAAACAUGAAUUCACGAGUAACACUCUAAUAUUAAAGUGAUAGACCAUAAAAAUAGUGAGUGUAGGCAACACUAAUAUCAUCACCCAACCACAUAGCUACCAUCUCAAUGUUACAUAUUUCAGGGAGAAUUUCCAAGAGCUACAUGCAGGCUAAAUAUAACAGGCAAGACAAUUUACAUAAGUUCUCAACUUGAUCUUGUAAACCUUGCCCUAGGACAUGCUAAACUUCUCUGUUCUCUGUGCCAGGAGAGAAACUAAGGAGAAUAUGGAGUGGCAACAACAAGUAUAGGAAGUUUUCUAUGCACAUCGAUGCCACCAGCUUCAGUCAUGUCCAUGUCCUCUAGUUUUCCUCCAUCAAGCAAGGCAAAGGCAAAUUUGCGCCGUAAUUUUGCUAAUGCAAGUUCAUUGAUAGCCAUGGCAAAGGUCUUACUGGGGCAUCCCCUUCAGCCGGCAACAAAUGGGAUCAACUCAAACUUUGAAAAUCUAGACCAACAUUCAGAAAUCUCUCUGGCUGAAAUUCCUCGGGCUUCUCCCAAAGCAAAGGGUCUCUUCCAAUUGCCGCCCAUGCGUUAACGAUUAGUCGUGUUCGAAUUGGUAUGUCAUACCCCAUUACGUUGAUGUCUCGAGUUGAUUCUCGAGGAACUAGAAAUGGAACUGGGAAAUGAAGCCGCAGAGUUUCCUUAAUUACUAGCUUUAAACACUGCAUUUUGUCAAAAUCAUCCUCAGUUAUCUCUGAUUUUCCUUGGCCUAUAGCUCUGACCUCAUUUUGCAAUUUCUCCAUGACCUUGGGGUCUCUUAGAAGCUCUAACAUCACCCAUUCCAUGACUGUAUGAGUGGUAUCAGUUCCAGCUGCAAACAUGUCCUAAUCAUGCAAAAUAGAAGCCAAUUGUUAAUAAGUUGAUGUAAAGUGCAGUUUUAUAUAUUAUAUGCCUUAAAGAGUGGUGAUUUUUACCAUGAUCACGUGGGAUCUUUAAUCCAAAGUUGGACUUAUAUGUGAAUAAUUAUGUAUUAUAAACUAUUAAAUAAGGUUAAAUUCAAUUAAAAUAAUUAAUUAUGGUUUGGGUUUUAAUAUAUCUAAUAGGAUGUAAGCCUUUAAUGUGUAGAAAUUUAAGGGUAAUUUCUAUUUCUAUGAUGGGCUGAAAUAGAAAUCUAAAAAAUAACAGAAAAGUUAUCUAUAAAUAGGGUUAUGAUCUCUAGAUCACACGUGUUCUUAUUUGUCGUAUUUUUAGUCCCUCAAAAUAACUCUUUUCUAAUAUCCCAUCGUUAGAAAAGAUUGGUGGCUGUCAAACUACAAAAAAUAAAAUUUAUAUGAAGACCUACUCCCAAAACCGAGCGAAUAUAGUGGUGAGUAGGGUCUCCUCAGGGAACUGGUAGAUUUAUCACACACAGAGAAUUUGGGGGGUUUUAGAAAGGAAGAUAAAGAACAAAUUAAAGAUGUAAGGUUACUGAAUUUUCAACUGCAAGAAGUGCAGUAACUACAGAAUACAAUAAACAAUUAAUUGAUACAACCUAGUUAAGGAGAUAAUUUCGGCACCGGCACACGCAAUUGAUCAUAGAUACCUGAAUCAAUUCACACGUUCGCAAAUAAAUUGGUUAAAGCAAUUUAACAACUUCCAAACUACCAAUCUCUUCUUAAUUAUAUGGUGGUUCACAGAUGCUCAUAAACCACUCCCUUAUAAAAUAGACAACCCCAAAGACGCUUGUGGGAUUUAAUCUAUUCACAACUUUAGGAAUUAGAGAGACCCGAUUCUAAUUAACAAACACAUGUGGGAGUUCAUUUAAACUAGAUUAACUAUUCCGAUGAUCCAGAUUAAAUUACUUGCGAGGCAAUGAAAUUGUGCCGUUUGCCACUAAUUUUAAGACGAUCAAGUGAUACGCUCCCCCGUCUUAAUUGGCAGUAUACUAUUCAGACAAUUGAAUAAUUGGCCACAUUAAUCCAAUAGAUCCAAACAAUAAUAGCCUAUUGAAACAAAAAAUAAUUAAAUACCCACGAACACAGAAUUCAAAAUAGCGCAAAAUAAUUAAAAAGAUCUCACAAUUGUCUGUGCACCGAACUUUGAUUAUUCCUCAACUAGAUAAAGGAGUUUAGCCUUGCCUCAUGAUGAAGACACAAUCCAAAGCUUUAAUGUAAUUUUUGUUCAUGAAAAAAGUAAAGCAACUCGAAAUCCCAACUCACGUUAGGAAGAAAAGAAAAAGAUGACAAGUCCGUCUACUAGUCGGUUGCUUUUGCUCUUUUAAAGUAAUUUCGCUGUCGCCGUCGCCGCUCUUUCCUUAUUUUUCUCCUUGAGUUGUUGCCAAAAGAGUCUCUGAAGAUGUUUCCUAAUCCUACGUAGCUUCAGAACGUAUCUCCCAACAGUAGUGGCGGCUUCCAAGAAUAAGUCUGCGGUCCGUCCUUUUCACACAACUCUGCGGUCUUUGACAUAGGUACGCUUUGGAACGACUAGUCUUCUGGAAUUUGGCCUCUUUUCAUCACUUUUGACACCAAUCAUCUGCAACUAACACAAAUACCAAUUACGAGUAGAAACCCAUUACUUUACAUAAUAAAUGGCUAAAAUUGAGAUCAAAUAUCAUCAAAUAAAAUACACAAUUGUCUCACUAUCAAAUCCCCCCACACUAAGACAAUGCUUGUCCUCAAUGGAGUAAAGAAAAAUAGAAAUAAAAAAGAAAGGAAUGGGAGCUUCCUUAAAGGCCAAACAAGUGCACGAAAGCAUUAUGGGGGAGGAGGGUGAGGCGAUUGAAAGCUAAUGUGGGCAAAGAAGGCUACCAAAUUUUCUAUCUAAAUAGUAGAACGGACCUGCAAGGCUGCGAGGCAAUCAUCCAAACGCUCAACUCGGUCGCCCAACUCAUGAAUGGAAUUCUGCAGAGUACAGAAUUGGGUGUCCCAAGAGAAUGGAGCAGUGGAGAAGGAAGGACCUUCCUGACCAGUCUCUGAGGUGGGCUCAAUAAGAGGGACCCGGGGUUGGGGCACACUAUCUCCUGGAGGUGUUAUCUGAUAGGCAUCACCCACCUUGCGAAUAACACCAUUCGCUCCAAACUGUACAGGUCCAAAGGCUCAAGCUCGCGAGCCAAGGUGAGCUUGUGGUCCUUAUCAAGGUCCAGCACACCCAAAUGGACCGCCAAAUGCAUGAUGAGCGAACCCAUAAUCAAGGGCUUAUGGCGCUUGUGAAGGAUGAACUGCAACUGAGAGGCCACCUAACAGCCAAAGUUGACCGGCACCUUAUUACGCAUACACCAGAGGAAAUAGAGAAAAUAGAAUUCCGCUUUGGCGAGAGUGCCAGAGGAAUCCUUCCAUCCCGAGAAGUUAUAGGCCAGAAACCUGUGAAUGACUUUCAGCACUGGAUUUUUGAGAUACAAGGCCCUAGACUGACUCAGGUCGUAGAACUGAGUGUCUGUGGACCACUCCCUCCAUAUUUCGAUAUAGUUGCUCGCAAAGGGUUAAGUGAAGUCACAAGCGCUAUUGAUAUAAGUCCCAGAGGUAAGGGUGUCCUCACUCACAAACCCCAAAAUCAAGUUAAACUCAUUAAUGGAAUGCUCUUGUGGGGUACCCCGCAGCCUAUAUUUGAUCACCCCCGGUGUGUCUAAAGCUAGAAAAUCAAACUUCUUAAAUUGGAAGGUGGUGUAAAAUUCAUAACAAAGUUACUCAUACGAAGGAUAGUUAAUAUCCAGGUAUUGAUCCCACCAAAUGGCAGAAAGCAACUGCUCUACUUCCCUAGCAAUGUUCAACUAGUCGAGAGUCGGGGGAUGGAAACACUUACAUGGGGUGAAUGGACGCACCACUAAGGAGCUCAAUCAUUCCUUCUGCUUCGGGGUGAGAUCCUUUAGAGGUUUCUCCCACACCCCAGGAGACAAAGUACUCCUAGACAGUCCUAAUUGGGACCUAGUGGGAGGUUGAAUCGGGGCCCGCUUCUUCCGAGAGUUGGAACCUGAUGCAUCAGAAGGGGUGGCUUUUUUUGAAGCCAUAUAAGGGCAAAGAUGUCUAUUACACAAGCACAGAGCCGACAAGAAAACACCAAAUAGAGAGAAGAGACCACAAAUGACAACACCCACAGUCAACGAACAAUUGAUGGAGAAGAAACAAAGAUACCCCACUAGCGUCACCAAGGCAAAUAAAAGUGAUAAAGGCAGACACGGAACGCUCCCGAAAUAUAGUCAACAAUCAAAUUCACCCAAUCACAACCAACAAAUAUCCCCAACCCAAUAAGAGGAUGAAAUUAAACAGGAGAAACUCUAUUUUUGAGUCACUAGUUGGAAAAAAGAAGAGUAGAUAAGGGUACCACUCUGCAAAGCCGCGGAGAUCAGCUACAGCGAGCGGAUUCCAGCGACGGUCGGGGCGGCAGUUGGAGAUGGCAGCGGCGGAUGUCCGUGGGUUGCGUGUAGGAAAUCGAGAGGCAGGGUGGCAAAAGGAUGGCGGUGGCACGCUCAAAGAUAAUGGGUUGCGUUGUGGGUGAGGCGGUAGUGUGCGCGAGGAGGAAGUGAGCAGUGGCGGAUGUUGGUAGUGGCGGAGGGCCGCAGUCGCGCUUGAGAGAGAGAAUCAGGCAGUGACGGAGCGGCGAUAGCAUCGACAUCAAUCGCACAAGAAAGAAAGAGACGCGUGCAGUGGCGGCGAUGGCGAUGGCGACGAUGGUAUGCUGCGAAAAUGGGGGGAACCAGGGAAGACAAAAGGAGAAAAGACAAGAAAAGAAAAGAAAAAAAUAGAAAAAUAGGGUUUAGAGUGGGUCCAGUCACUUUUUACUUUUGUUGUCGCAAUGAUUGGAAGGCGCGGGCAUGCUCUGGAAGCCGAAGUCAUCUGCCUCCCUUGUUGUAACAGGACCAAUGCGAUUCAUUGUGCGGCGUGGGCACGCCUUAGAAGCUUAAGUCUUCUAUUCAUCAAUGUUUAAACGCACCCAUUUGCAUUUAACACAAUGUGUGAGCACGUCUUGGAAGGGAAAGUCUUCUGCCCAAGAAUAUUGCCUCUAAUCUAAAAUUAAACUUCACAGGACAUAUCCAUGACCUGAAAUAAAGAAUUUCUGUCAAUAGGAACCCAAACACCCUAAUUUUGAACACAUAAAUAUGAAAUAAAAACACAAACAUGACUAAAAAUUGAAACUUUUGGAUUGCCUUCCAAGCAGUGCCUCUAUUUAACGUCUGUGGCUAGACCAAAAGUAAUUUAACAAAUUAAUUAGAAUAGGGGUCGAGCAAAUGGACCUCCUCCAUAGUGCCAAUUUCUGAAACAUCAAUAAACGGCUUGAGAUGAUGACCAUUAAUCUUAAAACUUUUGCCAGUCUCUAAGUUUCUAAUUUCAACUACACCACUAGAAAAAACGUUGGCAAUCACAUAUGGUCCAAUCCAUCGGGACUGCAACUUACAUGGCAUGAAUUUCAACCGAGAGUUUGUGCGUUCUUUGUAAAAUCGUGCAUUGUCGCAAGCCUCCAAGCAGAUCUCCUCCUACUCUUGAAGUUAGAGCUUUCUUUUCUUGCCGUCUCUAUCCGUGUUCAAAUUACACUGUUUAACUACUCAAAAUGCACAAUGUUCAAUUGCAACAGGUAAAUUACACAUCUUAUCAUAAACCAACCUAUAUGGAGACAUUCCGAUUGGUAUUUUAUACGCCGUGCAAUAUGCCCACAAUAUAUUAUCCAGUCGGGUACUCCAAUCCUUGCGAUUUUGGUUGAUCAUUUUCUCCAAAAUACUUUUAAUCUCGUGAUUAGAGACCUCCGCAUGCCCCUUGGUCUGCGGGUAGUAGGUAGUACUAACUUGAUGGUAAACUCCAUACUUACGCAUCAAUACUUCAAUGGUGCGAUUGCAGAAAUAAGUAUCUUGAUCACUGAUAAUCGCUCUUGGCACACCAAACCUACUAAAGAUAUUGGAUUUAAGAAAUCUUGCAACGACUCGUGAGUCAUUAGUUCGGGUAACCUUUGUUUCUACCCAUUUUGAUACAUAGUCUACUGUUAACAUAAUAAAAAGAAUACCAAAAGAACUGGAAAACGGUCCCAUAAAAUCCAUACUCCAAACAUCAAAGAUUUCACAAAAUAACAUAGGAACCUGAGGCAUUUCAUCUUUGUGGGAUAAACUCCUAAACUUUUGGCAUUUUUCACAUCUUUUUGCAAAACAAGUAAGCAUCAUGAAACAAGAUUUGCCAAUAAAAGUCAUAAUCAAGUAUUUUUUGAGUAGUUCUUAUAGGACCAAAGUGACCGCCACAAGCAUAAUUAUGACAAUGAGUAAGUAUAGAUUGAAUUUUUUCAUUUGAAACACAUCGACGAAUAAUCUGGUCAGAGUUUAUUUUUCACAAAUAGGGCUCAUUCCAAUUGUAAUAUCGAGAGUCCAAUAUUAUUUUAUCCUUCUUAUUCUUACUCAUACCACUUGAAAAUUUGUGACUAACCAGAAAGUUAACAAUAUCAGCAUAAUAGGGUUCCUCACCUCUAAAUUGAAACAAGUGUUCGUCUAAAAAUAUCUCAAAUAUGGGCACUCUCCCUUCUUCUCGAAUCAAUCGGCUCAAAUGGUCUGCCACUGAAUUAUCUACCCUCUUUCGAUCUUUGAUCUCCCAAUCAUAUUCUUGCAGCAGGAGUAUCCAACGAAUGAGUCUUGGUUUGGACUCCUUCUUUGCCAAAAGGUAUUUCAAGGUUGCAUGAUCAGAGAAAACUGUUACUUUCGAUCCUAAUAAAUACGAUCGAAAUUUCUCAAAAGCAAAAAUAAGUGCUAAAAGCUCCUUCUCUAUGGUGGUGAAGUUGCAUUGAGUCGGCGACAAUGUUUUUUACGCAUAGCAAAUGACAUGCCUACACUUUUCACUUCGCUGACCGAGCACAGCUCCCACUGCAUACUGACUAGCAUCACACAUAAGCUAGAAUAACAUGCUCCAGUCCGGAGGUUGAAUGAUUGGUGUCGUGGUCAACAUACUUUUUAGUGUAUCAAACGACAUUUUACACGUAUCUCCAAAAUCAAAUGGUGCCUCCUUUUGAAGUAGUCGGGACAAUGGUUGUGCAAUUCAUGAGAAAUCCUUGAUGAAUCAUUUGUAGAAUCCUGCAUGCCCAAAAAAACUACGAAUCUCCUUGAUAUUAGUAAGGUAAGGUAAGCUAGUAAUCAAAUCAACCUUUGCUUUAUCAAUUUCGAUACUCCUAAACGAAAUGAACAUGACCUAAGACUAUACAUUCCUUAACCAUAAAAUGACAUUUUUCAUAAUUAAGAACCAAAUUUGUUUCAAUGCAUCGCUGUAAAACUUUUGUUAAAUGAUACAAGUAUUGAUCAAACGAAUCACCGUAGACUGUGAAAUCAUCCAAUGAAUAUGUCAAUAUAAUUUUCAAUCAUGUCAGAAAAAAUACUCAUCAUGCAUCUUUGAAAUAUUCCUGGAGCAUUACACAACUCAAAAGGCAUAUGGCGAUGGGCAAAAGUGCCAAAUGGGCAAGUGAAAGUGGUUUUGUGCUGGUCCUCCUGGGUAACAGUGAUUUGAUAAUACCCAGAAUAGCCAUCAAGGAAGCAAAAAAAAAAACACUUACUUGCCAAUCGCUCAAGCAUCUCAUUGAUGAAUGGUAAUGGGAAAUGAUCCUUCCUUGUGACCGCAUUCAACUUCCUGAAGUCUAUACACAUUCUCCACCCAUUUUAGAGUCUCAUUGGCACCAACUCAUUCUUCUCAUUCCGCAAAAGUGUAAUUCUAAUCUUUUUAAGGACGACAUGCACUGGACUUACCCACUCGCUAUCGGAGAUAGGAAAAAUAAUUCCUAACUCCAAUAGUUUGAGAAUCUCCUUCAUUACCACCUCUUUCAUGGCUGGGUUAAGUUUCCUCUAAUGUUCCCUUACCGAUUUUGCAUCUGGUUCAAGUAGAAUAUGGUGCAUGCAAAUGGAUGGAUUUAUACCUUUGAUAUCUGCCAACAUCUAUCCAAUUGCAGGUUUAAAUUCUCGCAACACUCUUAAGAGUUUUUCUUCUUGUACUGCUGUCAGAUCACUUGCAACGAUGACCGACAGAGUGUUAUGAUCUCUCAGAAAAGCAUACUUCAAAUGCUUUGACAAUUCUUUUAAUUCCAACUUGGGUGCCUGUUCAACAGAGGGUAAAAUUCUCUCAUUAGAAAUAGGUAAUGGUAAAAAUAAGUCUACUGACCUGUUGGAAAAUGCAGGAAGUGAAUGAAGUGAUAUAAUUGCUUCUAUGGUAUCCCCAUCAUCUGCUCUUUUCACUUCCUCAUUCGUCUUGCUCUAUUAUAACACAAAUUUCAGCUUGUUUUUCACGAGAUUCUGUUCAAAAUAAUCUUGCACAAUGGAAUUAGUGACACAAACACAAUUAACAGACUCAGUAUCAUCCGGGUAUUUCAUUGCAUCAAAAAUGUUAAAAGUGACUGUUUCCCCGUUCAAAUUCUACCGAUAGGGUACCUUCGUGCACAUUUAUCUUUGUUCUAACAGUACUCAUGAAUGGUCUACCUAGAAGAAGUACAGCUGAAUUGGCUGAGUUAUCAUCAUUCAUGUUAACAAUAUAGAAAUUCGCAGGAAAGAUAAACUCAUUAACUUUCACUAGAACGUCUUCAACUACACCGUCAAGGUAAACUUUGACCUAUCGGUUAAUUGAAUUAUUACCCUUGUAUCCUUUAAAGGUCCUAAGUUUAAGGCCCUAAUUAUGGACAAAGGCAUGACAUUGAUAGAUGCCUUUAGAUCAAGCAUACCUUUUUCUAUCCUCUUCUGACCUAUGAUGCAGGGUAUAGUGAACAUACCUGGAUCCUUGCAUUUGUGCGACAACUUCUUUGGAAGAACUGCUGACACAUUCUCACCUACCUUCACUUUGUCUUGAAAAUUCAACUUGUUCCGAUUAGCAUAGUUAUUAAACCCAACUCGACCCGGUGGUCGAACCAGUCAAACCAGUGAAUCGGCCAUUGGACCGGACCAGAUUUCAAAAUCACAUCGUUUGGGCAAGGGGACCGUUGACUAGUCGACGACCCGGCGGUCCGACCGAAUUAAAUUGAAAACCCGGCCAAUUUUGUCAACAAAUCCAAUUUUGUGGAAAAAUUUUAAUGCCUUCUUUGGAAUUUGAAUCUUAGACCUCUGCCCAACACUACAACAUACUUACCACCAGGCUACUUCGAAAUAUGCUAAGAGAAUAGCUUUAUUAUAAUAUAUAAAUAUUUUUUUAAUUCUAUCUUUUUUUUCUCUAAAACAAAUAUAUUGGAAUCUUUUAAUAAAAACUUAUUACCCUCCAAACUCUAUAAGUUAUAAAAUGGAUUUAAAAAAUAACAUAUUACAUAAUUCAUUUUAAAGACAAAUAUUAUUUUUAAUAAUUUUUUACACUUAAAAUUCAUAAAUAAGCUAGAUAAUUGCACUAAAUAUAGAUAAAAUUUUACACUUGAAAUUUGGUAUUUACUAAAUAAUUUUAUAUUUGAUUGAUUCUUAUAUGAAUUAAUUAUUUUAUAGCAAAUUAAAUUAAAUGAGCUUUUGCUAUUGCAUUAUUUAUUCCAAUUUAUAUCAUAUAUCUUAUAUAAAAAAUUAUGAAAUAAAUAUUUAAAUAUAUUAAGUAACCCACCGGUUCAACCACUCAUCCACCGGUUGAAUCAGUAACUCGUUGACCCAGCUCCUUCGCCGGAUUCCUUCCCAAAUUGGGUUUAAUAACUAUGCCGAUUAGUACACAAUCCCUUCAAAAACUUCGCAUAUUUAGGCAACUGCCUAAUGGCAUCAAGCAAAGGGAUGUUGAUUUUCACUUUCCUAAAGGUAUCUAAAAUCUCCUUCUCAGACUCCUCUUUCUUGGCUUUAGCCAACUUACCAGGAAAAGGAAGGUUAAUAUUAAAUGUCUUAGGAGCAUUUUACUGGUGACUUACCUUUUUCUCUUCACGCUCCCCAGACACUUGUUCAUCUUCAACUCCUACUGCUUCCGAUUCUGAGGACUGCACCUCCUUGCCACUUUAUAGAAGCACUGCACUGACAUUCUUCUUUGGAUUGGGAAUUACCUAAGAUUGUAGCUUCCCUUUGUCAUUCUCAACGCUGCUCAUUGAAGAUGCCAGUUGUGACAUUUGCGUCUCCAAAUUCUGAAUGCUAACGCGAGUCUCUUGUUGAAAUCUCUGCGAGUCCUCCUGCAUUUGACAAGUGCUAUUAGCUAGAGAUUUGACCAUAUCUUCAAAGGACAUACCUGAAUUAAAUGCAGAUGAUUGUUGUACUAGUGGUCUCUGCAGGAAUGAACCAAGGGACUGCGGCGUGAGCAGCCGAGGCGGCCGUGGACUGCGGCGAGCUUCGGGCAGCAGCGGCGCGCUGCGGUGGGUGGCGUGCGGUGCGAGACGGCAGCGCGCGCGAGGGAGAUGGGCUGGUGGAGCGCGCGGCGGCAGUGAUGGAGAUCUGCUGGUUGGCAACAGAGGAAGCGUGGGUUGCGACUGAUGGUUGCGAAUCGAAGAGAGAGGGAGAGAGCUCGCGGCGGGAGCGGAGAUGGUGGGAGGGCGGCGCGGCUCUCGGUCGGCGUGCGCAGAGAGAAGGGGAGCAGCGGGGAAGAAAGAAAGAAAAGAAAAAGAGAAAAGAAGAAAGAAAGAAAAGAAGAAAAGAAAGAAAAGAAAAGAAAAAAGAAAAAGAGAGAAAUUGAUGUUUUUUUUUUUAAAUGUUUCUUUUCUUUUCCUUCCAAUUAUGAGGCUCUUUGAGCCACGGAAAUAAAUUUUUUAAAAUUUGGAAACUAAAGCUACGGUGAUAAGAAAUGUUUAUUCAAAUUUUUUUUUUUUUUUUGAAUCCCUACCUUUCCCGCGAACGUGACGCGGGCACGUCAUGAGGGCAAGAGAGCUCCCAGAAGUUUCAGAAGUUUCAGAAGUUUCUGAUCGUGAGCUUCCUGCACAUCUCCACGCGGGCGCGUCAUGAGGGCAAGAGAGCUCCCAGAAGUUUCAGAAGUUUCUGAUCGUGAGCUUCCUGCACAUCACCACGCGGGCACGUUAUGACUGAAGGGCACCUAUAGAUCAGCAAAAACGCAAAUUGAAACCCAAAAUCAGUCUAAUUCAGGGAGAACACAUCUAAACUAUCACACGAAAUUGAACAAACAAUGAAAAGGAACAAUUGGGUUGCCUCCCAAUGAGCGUCUUUCUUUAAUGUCUUUGGCUAGACAUCGUCCAAAACUUUGCUUAAACUAAGCAAAUCGAGUCUUCCAAGUGCACCAUCUCCACCCGUUCAAUUGCAACCCCUUCAUAAUACGGCUUGAGACGAUGACCAUUCACUACAAAUUUCUUCUCAGUCUUCAAACUUUGGAUCUCUACUGCACCAUAAUGAAAGACAUUAGUCACAACAAAAGGACCAAUCCAACGAGAACGUAACUUACCUGGAAAUAACUUCAAUUUGGAGUGGUACAGGAGAACUUUUUGCCCACACUCGAAUGUCCUCCUCGAGAUCUGUUGGUCAUGAAAAAUCUUAUUUUUCUCCUUAUAAAUUACCGCAUUCUCAUAGGCCUCAUUGCGAAUCUCCUCCAACUCCUGUAAAUCCAAUUUCCGUCGGGCACCGGCCUCUUCUAAGUUCAUGUUGCAUUGCUUUAUCGCCCAAAAAGCCUUGUGCUCGAACUCCACUGGAAGAUGGCAAGGCUUACCAAAUACUAACCUAUAGGGAGACAUCCCUAUAGGCGUCUUGUAAGCGGUCCUGUAUGCCCACAAAGCAUCUUCCAACCUUGAACUCCAAUCUUUCCUAUCGGGGCGCACCAUUUUCUCCAGAAUAGACUUAAUCUCCCGGUUUGAUACCUCCGCUUGACCAUUGGUCUGAGGGUGGUACGAUGUCGAGACCCUGUGGAGUACACCAUACUUGCGAAACAACGCAGCUAUGGUUUUGUUGCAGAAGUGCGUCCCCCUAUCACUGACAAUGGCUUUUGGCAUUCCAAAUCGUACAAAAAUAUUAGACCUAAUAAAAUCUGCAACUACCUUCGAGUCAUUAGUCCGAGUGGCCUUAGCCUCCACCCAUUUGGACACAUAAUCAACUGCCAGCAAAAUAUACAGAAAACCAAAUGAAGUAGGAAAAGGCCCCAUGAAAUCUAUACCCCAGACAUCAAAAAUUUCUACAAAAAUCAUCGGGACUUGGGGCAUAUGAUCCCUACGGGUUAUAUUACCUACCCUUUGACAGCGAUCACAUGACUUACAAAACACAUAGGCAUCCUUAAACAAUGAAGGCCAAUAAAACCCACUUUCUAAAAUCUUAUGAGCAGUCCUCUUGGGUCCAAAAUGACCUCCACAGGCAAAAGUAUGACAAAAAGCUAGAAUCGAUUGAAAUUCCAUUUCACUUACACAUCUCCUCAUUACCUGAUCUGCACACCUCUUCCACAAGUACGGGUCAUCCCAGAUAAAAUACUUGGCGUCGCUCUUCAAUUUAUCCCUCUUCGAUUUUGGCCAACCUGCAGGAAAAUUACCAGUUACCAAAUAAUUGACCAGGUCAGCAUACCAAGGCAAUUUAGAAUGUAAGGAAAAUAAAUGCUCUUCAGGGAAUGCAUCCUUCAAUGGCUCAUUGUCCUCCCCGACUGGUAUGCGACUCAAAUGGUCUGCUACUAGAUUUUCUGAGCCUUUUUUGUCCCUUAUCUCAAGGUCAAAUUCAUGUAGUAGCAAUAUCCACCUGAUGAGUCUCGGUUUGGCAUCCUUCUUGGUCAUUAGGUACCUUAACGCUGCAUGAUCAGAAAAUACAAUUACUUUAGCUCCUAACAAAUAUGACCUGAAUUUUUCUAAAGCAAAAAUAACCGCAAGAAGCUCCUUCUCAGUGGUGGAAUAAUUCAACUGGGCUCCAUUCAAGGCCCGAGAUACGUAAUAGAUGACAUGAGCCGCCUUUCCUACUCUUUGCCCCAGGACAGCCCCAACAGCAUGAUCACUGGCAUCGCACAUGAUUUCAAAUGGCAAACCCCAAUCGGGGGGCUGGAUGAUUGGGGGUGAAGUCAACAAUUCCUUCAGCUUGUCAAAGGCUCUCUCACACUUGUCAUCAAACUCGAAGGCUACAUCUUUUUGCAAGAGUUGGAACAAUGGGGCCCCAAUUUUUGAAAAAUCCUUGAUGAACCUUCGAUAAAAACCUGCAUAACCAAGAAAAGAACGUACCUCCCGCACACUAGCGGGGUAACGCAAAGCAGAUAUAAUAUCUAUUUUAGCCCUGUCAACCUCGAUGCCCUUAGACGAUACAAUAUGACCCAGGACUAUCCCGUGCUCAACCAUAAAAUGACAUUUUUCCCAAUUAAGCACAAGAUUAGUCUCUAUACACCUUAUCAGGAUCAAUUUCAGGUUAUCUGGACAUGUAUCAAAACUAUCACCAUACACACUGAAAUCAUCAAUGAAAACUUCAAUUAUCUUCUCCAUAUAUUCAGAAAAAAUACUUACCAUACACCUCUGAAAUGUUGCAGGUGCAUUGCACAACCCGAAUGGCAUUCGUCUAUAGGCAAAGGUCCCGAACGGGCACGUGAAGGUUGUCUUCUCUUGAUCCUCCGGUGCAAUUGCUAUCUGAAAAUAUCCUGAAAAUCCAUCCAAAAAGUAAUAGUAAGCCCUACAAGCUAGACGUUCAACCAUCUGAUCAAUGAAAGGGAGAGGGAAAUGGUCCUUUUUAGUGACGGCGUUUAGCCUACGGUAGUCUAUACACUGCCUCCAUCCAGUGGGUUUGCGCACUGGCACGAGCUCACCCGUUUGGUUAGCCUCUACCGUCACUCCUGCCUUCUUUGGGACUACCUGGACCGGACUCACCCAAGAGUUAUCAGAUAUUGCAAAGAUGAUCCCCACAUCUAGCAAAUUUAAAAUCUCUUUCUUUACAACUUCCAUCAUGAGGGGAUUGAGCUUCCUUUGAGCCUGCCUAACAGGUUUGGCAUCCUCAUCUAGUCUAAUCCGGUGCAUACAGAUGGCCGGGCUGAUUCCCUUAAUGUCCGCAAUUGUCCAACCUAUCGUCUCUUUAUGCUCUCUAAGGACCCGGAUCAGUUUCUCCUCCUGGGUUUUUGACAGUGCCGAUGAGAUAAUCACCGGGAGUGUCUCAUUAUCACCCAGAUAUGCAUAUUUCAGGUGCUCUGGUAGAGGUUUCAACUCCAGUACAGGUGCCUGCACCACAGAUGGCAAUACCCUCUGGUGAGGUUCGGGAGUAAAAAUAGGUAAGACUUCAUACCUUUCGUGGUGGUCUACAAUGAGUGUAAUGCACCUAUUGUGCAUUUUUUAUCUUCACUCCACUCCACCUCAGGAGUUGUUUCCAACUCGAGGUGCUUGGUCAAAACUACCUCCAACUCAUCCCUGCCAACAGUUUCAAAUACUUCCUGCACCGCAGGGUCAAUAGCACUCACAGAGAAAACUGAGCUAAAGUUGGAGUUUGAGGGAUAUUUCAUAGUAUCAAAGAUAUUAAAGUGCACAAUUUCCCCAUCAAAUUCCAUGGAUAAGGUACCCUUAUUAACAUCAAUUUUUGUUUGUGCUGUGCUCAUAAAGGGUCUACCUAACAACAAAGGUGAGGGAUCGGGGGAGUGAUCAUCAUCCAUAUCAAGUACAUAAAAAUCAGCUGGAAACACCAAAUCAUUAACUUUCACCAACACAUCUUCAACCAACCCAUCAGGAUAUGCAUUAGUGCGGUCAGCUAAUUGAAUGAUUAUUCCAGUUUCUUUUAAUGGACCUAGCUUUAGAGAAGCAUAUAUAGAUUUAGGCAUGACAUUAAUUGAUGCUCCCAAGUCCAACAUGGCCCUUCUAAUCACAGUGUUCCCUAUCUUACAGGGGAUAGUAAACAUACCUGGGUCCCCGCACUUGGGUGGAAGCUUUCUCUGCAGGACCGCUGACACAUUCUCCCCAACAAUAACCCGUUCAUCUCCCCUCAAUCGCCUUCGGUUGACACACAAGUCCCUUAGGAAUUUGGCAUAUUUUGGUACUUGUUUGAUUGCGUCUAAGAGAGGGAUGUUUAUCUCAACCUUGCGAAAAACCUCCAAAAUCUCCUUUUCCAUAUCCUGCUUCUUCGAUUUUUCCAACCUGCUAGGGAAAGGAGGCGGGUUAGUUUUAGCUGUAAUUAUUGGGUCAGGAAGUACCUUUGGAUCUGCACCAUUGCUGUCCUCCCUUUCAAGCUCAUUUUCGAUCUUUUCCUCAUCCUUAUCCUUAGGGAUCACAGGUUCAGACCCCUGAAUUUCCUUCCCGCUCCUCAGGGUCAUGGCGCUCACAUUCUUCAGGUUCAACUCAGGUUGAGAUGGCAGCUUCCCUUGGUUCUGGGAAUCCAAACGGUUGAUUGUUGUGGCCAUUUGACUUAUCUGAUUCCUUAUAUCCUGCAUUUCGGAGUCCGUCCUUUGCUGAAUUUGCACCAUGGUUGUCAUCAUUUGUUGAUUUUGCGCCAUGGUUGUCAUCAUUUGUUUCAUCAUCUCCUCCAAAGAUGGACCAGAGCUUGGGGGCGGAGGUGGUCGAGGUUGGUAUUGCUGCUGGUACCCCGGUGGCUUAUUUGGCACAAAGUUAGACUGCCUGUUCGGUGUAAAGUUGGGUUGCCUAUUCCCUCCAUAACUGAGGUUGGGAUGAUCUUUCCACCCGGGGUUGUAGGUGCUUGAGUAAGUGUCGUACUGCUUCCUUGGCGCGGGCGCGUGGUCAGCCAUGUUCACCUGUUCUGCAGUUUCUUCCUGAAUCAUUGGGCACAUAUCUGCAGAGUGACCUAUACCAGUGCAAAUCCCGCAUACCCUGGCUUGUGAUGCAUUUCUCACAGCCUGUUGCCUAACAAACGCGGUCAACUCAGUUAGCUGCUGCUGCAUGGAGGGUGUCUCUACCUCAUUCACCCUGCGUAUUGGACAAUCCUCUCUCGUACCGAAUUGUUGUGAAUUCUCUGCCACACUCUCAAUCAACUCUCGUGCUUCUUGAGGGGUUUUGUUCACCAGUGCCCCUCCACUUGCAGCAUCAAUUAUGCUCCUGUCCCCAAAAAGGAGCCCCUCAUAAAAAUACUGAAUGAGCAACUGCUCACUUAUCUGGUGCUGGGGACACUUGUGCAACAAGAAGUUGAACCGUUCCCAAUACUCAUAGAGUGACUCCCCUGGGUGCUGCUUGAUCCCACAAAUUUCUUUCCUCAGACUUGCAGCCCUGGACGCAGGAAAAUAUUUAUCCAAAAUUUUUUUCUUCAAUUGGUCCCACGUGGUGAUGCUACCUGGUGACAGGUAGUACAGCCAGUCCUUCGCAGAAUCUGUCAAGGAGAAGGGAAAUGCCCUCAUUUUUAUCUGCUCUUCUGUAAUGCCCGGGGGCUUCAUACUGUUGCACACGACAUCAAACUCCUGCAGAUGCUUAUACGGCUCCUUACCUGGUAAACCAUGAAAAGAGGGUAAAAGAGAAAUCAAACCAGAUUUUAACUCAAAUGAAGUGUUUUCACUCAAACUCGGGAAAGUAAUGCACAAAGGCUGCUGAUUUAAAUUAGGGGUAGCCAACUCCCUUAAUGUUCGUGCAUUAGCCAUGGGAAUUUCUUCUUGCUCCGAGUCACUCGAAGUGUCACCAAAUGAAUCUGUUGGUUCAACUCCUGACUCAGGUCUCUGAGAUGUAGCACUGGAGUGCUCCUCUCUGAGCUGUCUGGUUUCCUUCCUCGUUCUACGCGCGGUCUUCUCUACUUCAGGGUCAAAAAUCAAUUCACCUGUACGAAAAGAUCGAGGCAUACACUAGAAGAAAACCAGAAAAUUAGGACAAAAAAUGAAUUUAAAAAGAAACAAAUAAUAACGCCAGUCCCCGGCAACGGCGCCAAAAAUUGACAGGUUGUCAGCCUGUGCAAUAAUGAAACCUGCUCAAACUAAAAGUAAUUUCUGUAGACAGCGGUAAGCAGGGUCGAAUCCACAGGGAUUGGGAGUAAUUGUUUCUUUUCAAACUCACAGUGACAAAAGGGGGGUGUUUUUGUGGAUAGGCAACUAAAAAUAAUUAAACAAUCCAACUAAAAAUAAAUAAUUAACUAGCACAAGUUUAGCAGGAAUUAAAUCAAGAAUAAAUAAAUUCUAGCCAAGGACGCAACUACUCUGGCACAGUCCAAUCAUCCGAUCAUUGAUGUAAGAGAUGUUCACUUAAUGUAUUAAUAGGCUAGUUAUAGUCUGACGACCAAUUUUUCCUUAAAUUAUUGAUAACAAAGGUACGACCGUUGAUUACCCCUAAUCAGCAAAUACUCCUAGGUACGACCAUAGGAAGUAAUUUUCCAAUUGCAUUAAUAACUAGAAAAACCUAGCCCUAAUCAAUAACACGCUACGAGGAUUAUUUAAAUUAGAUCACACGUUCCCCUAAUGUGUAAACACACCAGUUGCCACUAAUAUUAAUCAAUCAAACAAUUACGGAUUUAAUUGACUAAAUUGGCACGAGAUUAAUAAAUCACAUUGAACACCGGGCCCUUGACAUCCAAUUAAUAAAAUAAUCCCAUGAAAAUUCAAGCAGACAACGUGCAAAUAUUAAUAAAUUAAGGAACACGUGAAAAUUAAUUAGAUCUCACAGAUUUUCGGGACUGCGCCGUCGAGUUGACCCUUGACUAGAUGGAAGGCUUAGCCACGCCGCAUAAUGAAAUCACCACACGAAUUAAUAAAUUGAAAAGGCAUUGCGUUUUCUAUUAGGAAGUAAGGAAUAAAAGGUGUUUUUCCCGUUGGGGAAUAUUGUCGAACACCUGGCGUGUGUCAGAGGCCAGUCAGGAGAAGGAAAGAAAAACUAAAGACUAGGCUAAAAACUAAACUAAAAGAUAAACUAAAAACUAGCCAUGUCUUCUUUCCCUACGUUCCCUAUUUAAGAAACAAAAGAAAGAUAGACUAAAGCUAUCUAGGUGGUCCCCACACAUGUGGACAAAGCCUCCCAAGUACUUCUUGUUCCAAGUCUCUUUUACGUAGCUUUCUUUGAAGAGCCCAAAUGACUUAUAGCUUUGUGGUCCCCACCAAUCCAAGGGCCCAAGGAUUGAAUCCCUUAGAAGUCUCCAUAUUCUUCAUAAAAUCCCUCCUUUUUGGUAGUUUUCUGUUUCAUUCCUGAAAUUAAGUCCAGAUACCAAAUAUGAGUAGAUAUCAGCAAUUAACACAAUAUUUAUCAGGGGUAAAAGGGGAAAUUAAUAAUAAAAUUACUAACAAAUUAUACCCUAUCAGUCUCUGCAGGAAUGGUUGUUGAAAGCCUGAGGGAUUUGGAGCAUAGCUGAAGUUGGGGUGGUUCUGCCACCUCGGAUUAUAUGUGGGCGCAUAUGGGUCAUUUCUCCUUUGGGAUGGUCCAGGCAAACCUCCCAUGGCACUGGUUUGCUCGUGAGGGUCUUCUUAGAGGGUCGGGCACAUAUCGGUCGCAUGUUCAGGGGCAGCACAUAUCCCACAUGCUUUAGUUGCAUGUACUUGCCCUAUAGCCAUUUGACGAACUAAUGUAGUUAGCUCCGUUAAUCUAUUUGCGAGGUCAGAAUGAUUUACCUUAUUGACCCUUCUAGUCACUGCCUCAAAUCUGACUCCAAACUGUUGAGAAUUCUCAGCCAUGUUCGAGAUAAGGCGUUUGGCUUCAUCUGUUGUCUUAUUUACUAAAGCACUGCCACUCGCUGCAUCUACCAUACUUCUAUCCAUGGGUAGCAGUCCCUCGUAAAAAUACUAGAUCAGCAAUUGGUCAGGGAUCUGAUGGUGCAGGCAACUAGCACACAACUGUUUGAACCGCUUCCAAUAUUCAUAGAGAAUUUCUCCAUUAGCCUGCCUAACUUCACAUAUUUCCUUCCUGAUGUUGAUGGCCCUAGAGACUGGGAAGAACUUCUCAAGGAAUUGCCAUUUCAAUCUUUCCCACGUAGUGAUGGACCCCAAUGGCAAGUAAAAUAACCAGUCCUUAGCCUUGUCUACUAGGAAGAAAGGAAACGCGCGCAGCUUGAUUUGUUCUUCCAUAACUCCAUGAGGUUUCAUGGUUGAACAUACUACAUGGAAUUCCUUCAAGUGCUUGUGUGAGUUCUCACCUGCAACACCGCGAAAAGUAGGUAACAAAUGAAUCAAUCUUAAUUUUAAUUCAAAAGCCUACUCAGUGUCAGGAUACGUAAUGCACAGAGGCUGUUGGUUAACAUUUGGGGUUGCAAGUUCCCUCAAAAUCCUUUGGGCUACCAUUGUUUCGUUGGGUCCAAUCAAGUCUGCUUCCAAUUCAACGGAUGAAUCACUUAAGUCAGAAUUUUGUUCCAGUCCGAGAAGUAUUGCCGCUGAAACUUGUUGCUUUUGCAACUUAGUCUCCCUCCUUGCUGCUUUCUCGAUCUCUGGUUCAAAUUCGAGUGUUCCUGUACAGGAAGAUCGAGGCAUAAAACAUGGGCUAAACAAAGCCUGUGCAAUAAAUAACUUCAAACACCAGAUCCCUGACAACGGUGCCAAAAUUUGGUAGCUGUCAAACUAUCAAAAAUAAAAUUUAUAUUAAGACCUACUCCCAAAAUUGAACGAACAUAGUGGUGAGUAGGGUCAUCUCCUCAGGAAACUGGUAGAUUUAUCACACACAGAUAAUUUGGAGGGUUUUAGAAAGGAAGAUAAAAAGAACAAAUUAAAGACGUAAGGUUACUGAAUUUUCAACUGCAAGAAGUGUAGUAACUACAGAAUAUAAUAAACAAUUAAUUGACACAAUCCAAUUAAGGAAAUAAUUUUGACACCGGCUCACACAAUUGAUUAUAGAUACCUGAAUUAAUUCACACGUUCGCAAAUAAAUUGGUUAAAACAAUUCAACAACCGCCAAACUACUAAUCUCUCCUUAAUUAUAUGGUGGUUCAGAGACGCUCGUAAACCACUCUCUUGUAAAAUAGACAACCCCAGAGACGCUCGUGAAAUUUAAUCUAUUCACAGUUUUAGGAAUUGGAGAGAUCUAAUUCUAGUUAACAAACACACAUGCGGGCUCAUUUAGAUUAGAUUAACUAUUCCUACGAUACAAAUUAAAUUACUUGCAAGGCAAUGAAAUUGUGCCGUUUGUCACUAAUUUUAAGACGAUCAAAUGAUACGCACCCCCGUUUUAAUUGGCAGUAUACUAUUCAGACAAUUGAAUAACUUGCCACAUUAAUCCAAUAGAUACAAACACUAAUAGCCUAUUAUAACAAAGAAUAAUUAAAUACCCACGAACGCAGAAUUCAAAAUAGCGCAAAACAAUUAAAAAGAUCUCACAAUUAUCUGUGCACCGGACCGUGAUUAUUUCUUAACAAGAUAAAGGAGUUUAGCCUUGCCUCAUCACGAAGACGCAAUCCAAAGCUUUAAUGUAAUUUUUGUUCAUGAAAAAAGUAAAGCAACUAAUCUAGCAACCUCGAAAUCCCAACUCACGUUAGGAAGAAAAGAAAAAGAUGACAAGUCUGUGUACUAGUCGGUUGCUUUUGCUCUUUUAAAGUAAUUCCGCUGCCACCUCUCUAGCCAAUCAAGUGGUUUGUAUCUAUAAGGGAUCCAUUUCCUUAUUUUUCUCCUUGAGUUGUUGCCAAAAGAGUCUCUGAAGAUGUUUCCUAAUCUUACGCAGCUUCAUAACGUAUCUCCCAACAAUAGUGGCGGCUUCCAAGGAUAAGUCCGUGGUCUGUCUUUUUUACACAACUCUGUGGUCUCUGACGUGGGCACGAUCUAGAAUGACUAGUCUUCUAGAAUUUGGCCUCUUUUCAUCACUUUUGACACUAAUCGUUUGCAACUGACACAAAUACCAAUUACGAGUAGAAACCCAUUACUUUGCAUAAUAAGUGGCUAAAAUUGAGACUAAAUACCAUCAAAUAAAAUACACAAUUGUCUCAUAAUCAAAGAUAUCAGAAAGAAAUUAAAGAGAUCUCUUAAGUGAUUAGCGAAUACUUGUUGACUUAGAAAAUCACUCCAAUAUCUCUGAGGAUUCAAGUGUCAGUUAGUCAACAUGAAUCCAGGUACACUUCCGUAAUUUUACUGUUAAUUUAUUUCUUAAUAAUCACCAUAAAGAUUUUGGACUUCAUAGGUAAUAGUUUUCAUCAAAACUUAAUAUAAACAACCACCAUCAAGUGGUAUCAGAGCAGGAUAUGGUUGAUUAUUAGGAAAUAAUUUGGUAUUAAUAAUUCAUAGUUUUCAAGUUAUUUUUAACUAGAAUUAUUUUUGUUUUGAUUGUGCGCUAGUUGACAAUCUUGAAUUGUGGUUUUAAUGUAAUUUGUUUGCUUAUAUUUUCGGUAAAUUUGCACUAUCCAAUUCAUUGCUUUUGGUUGCAUAUAAAUCAAUGGCUUUGUCGAAAUCAAUAAGCAUGACGCACAAUCAAGUAUAGAUAUUUGCUUUGUUUGUUAUGAUUAGUUGGCACAUGGUUCAAAUGCACGUGGUUCCAGGAUUACAUGUGCUUGUCUUGUUUGAUUGUUGAAUUUUGUGAACCUCAUGAUAUGUUGGCACGAGUCAUAAUAUGUGGGACCCACAUACUUUCCAUGAUAUAAGUUAACUUGGGGCUUGUUUGGAAGUGAAGUUUUUGGCCAAGUUUUUUAGCUACUAGUUUUUUAACAACUUUUGCUACAGGAACCCCAAAAAACUUAUCAAAAUUUUUUACCUACACACUUUAAAAUAAUAUACAAAAAAUUUCCCUUCAAUUUUUCUUCUUUUUCCUCCCCACCCAACCGGCCACAACCUCCACCACCGCUUCCGGUGCCGGUAAUGAAAUCUCAACACCCCAAGCUAAAAAUUGCACCCCGUCCACUUUUUUCUUGCGGGUUUUUUCGCAACUGUACUCAAACAGUGCUCAGUCCGACCACCACCACUUCUCCAACACUCCCUUUCCCGGCCACCUCUGAUCAGUCAACGCCAAAACCAACAUCACCACCACCACCACCACCACCACCACCACCUCCUCCUCCUCCUCCUCUCCCUCCUCCACCGUCUUCCUCUCAUCCACCACAUGCACCGACCAAACCCGAUUCGGAAUCAUCCUCAUCUUCCUCAAACACCUCCCAGAGCUUCACCCAAUUGAGGUUCCCACUGACUAACUCCCUCAUCUCUCACCAUUUUAUACACCCGUAUCAGCAAACUCAAGAAAAGCCAAAGAUUUCGGAGCCCACCCCACCAAGAAAAGCGCCUGAUUCUCUGCCGCCGCCGCAACUAUCUGCUACCAAGUUGGAAGAAACUUUUCAUGUUGCGGAGCUUCAUUUCAGCUCUGGAUCCGACGAAGACAAGCUCGGCGCGCUACACCUGCUAGAAAAGUCACUCGUUCCAAACCCACGCGCAGUCGCGGACGGUGGAGAUGCAGGGGCAUGCCCGGCUACGGUCAUGAAAUGGGUAGUGGGCUGUCUAAAAGAAAGGGUCAUGGCUAAGUCGGCGCAGUCGAAGCCGAGGCAGUUGGGGUUGUGGUGGACGCAAUGGCGGAUUUGGAGGGUGCGGUGGCAGAAAGGUCGUUGGCAGUAUUGGAGUGGGGGAACUUUUGCAGGGGUGGGGAAGGGGGGUGGCGGGCAGAGGGAGAGAGAGGGAGAGCUUUUGCAGGGGUGGGGGAGGGGGGUUGCGGGCAGAGGGGAGCGACGGGGGAGCUUUUGCAGGGGGCGGCGGAGGUAACGGGGAAGAAGAAGAAGAAGAAGAAGAAAAGAAAAAGAAAAAGAAAGAGAAAGAGAAAAAAAAAGAAAAGGAAAAAAAAUUUCACCUUCACCUUACAAAAAUUUCUACAAAAUUUUUUCAAAAACUUCUACAGUACACUACAGUAAAGUUUUAGACAAACUCCCAAAAAACUCAGGUUCCAAAUAGGCCCUUGAUUUCUGGUUUUGGUAAGUUGUUCGUUUUUUCCCUAUUUCAACAAAAAGCCUUGCGGCUUGUUUUCUUAGUUUAUUCAUUCAAGAGUUUUGAUUAACAUAAUAUUUAGUAGGGCCUGCAUGAUAUGUAACUUAUUAAUAUGUUAAGGAAAUUUGGGUUUCUCUAAUUUGUGUCUAAUUUGUGUGAACCCUAAUAAAGUUAAACAACACGUUUAAACUUUUGAAAAAAAAGUCCAUAAGAUUGGUUCACUAGGUAUAUAGUCUUAUAAGACAUUUAUGGAUUUCAAGAAAAUUUUGGAUUUGAAUGAUAAAUUUGGGACAAGUUAUAGAUAUGGACUUUUAAUCCAAUAAAUCUUGAUCCAUUUGACUGGUUUGACCAGAAUUUGGCUGGUUUGAAUACAUUUGACCGGAAUUGAUUAGUUUGACAAGAUUUGACUGAUUUGACCACAUUUUGAUCAGAAUUAACUAAAGUUGAUUUUGAUCGAAAAUUUUGUGUACAUCGUGUAAUUUUAAAUUUGAAUAUUUGUAUGAUUAUAUAUAUAUAAGAAUAAAUUAAUUGAAACAAUAUGCCACGAAAAUGACCUCUUUUGUGAAAAUUAAUUAAUUUUAAAAUAGAACUAGUUGGGUGCUUGUAAUUUUGUUAAUAUUGAUCAGCCCAAAUGAAGGUCAAUAUUUAAUAAAAUUGCAUAUGCACUUGUAGUAAUAAACACGUGAUGAUUAUUCGAAUUUUUUCAUGUGAAUUAUAAAUUGACCCAAAGGAAAAUUUAUGUUUAACAUGUUAUUAUUAUCAGUGUUUAUUAUUGCGCCAAGAUAUCAGUUAGAAGUUAAUAUUUUUAUUCAAAGACAAAAUAUUAAUGAAAUAUUGGUAUCUUGAAAUGGGGUUACCUUUAUUUAAAUUUAUUAUUAUUUUUUGGUGUAUGUAAGUUUGUUUUAACUAUUUUAUGUUUUCUGUUCAGUUGCGAAUGAUCUUACAAAUAUUACUACCAAUAUCAAUAAUAUUUCUAUGCUGAAUGGCACAAAUUUCAAGUUCUAAAAAGAAAAUCUCUUAAUUGUUCUUGGAGUAAUGGAUCUCGACUUUGCGUUAAGGGAUGAUUUUCCUCCACCUCUUAUAGAUUAGAGUACAUUUGAUGAAAAGAGGAAUAAGGAAAGGUGGGAGAGAUCAAAUCGCCUGUGUUUGAUGAUCAUUAAAAAGGACGUUCCAAAAGCAUUCAGAGAAACAAUAUCAGAAACGACAAUUAUGGCAAAGGCGUUCCUCCAGGACGUUAAAAAAAAGUUUGUCAAGAACAAAAAGUUUAACAAAUAAUAUAUCUCAAUAAUCACUUAACUAAUACGAUUAAAAUUAAUAUAUCUCAAUAAUUGCUUCACCUACUUCCAAAAUAUAUACACAAAAUAUAUUUAAGACACUUUUUUCUUUUUUUUUUCUUUUUAUUUUUUUCCUUCGCCUACUUCCCUCCAGUCCAAUGCAAAAAAUUUACUAAAUAUCCUAAUUCUUCACACCCAUUUCUGAUAUGUUAUCAUGCUCAUCUAGGAGUCCAGGCAAACUUGAUGUGCCUCGAAUAUAAGUCGUUAACUUUUAAAAUAAAAACAGCCAUAUUUUUAUAAAGGAAAAUUGAAAUAAUUGAAAUCGUGCUCAUUUGAUUUACUCCAAUUAAUCUAAGGCACAAACAAAAUUAUGUAAUCGAAAGUGCCAAUUGCAGAAGUCCUUAUUCCUUGCCGUACAACUCCAUGUAUCCCAAUUGCUAAACUCGUAGAUACAAGAUGACUUGUAAUGAACUCUAUUUGUCCGUGUAGUUGACUUGAUUGUAUUGGAUGUUUUAUUCUUUAAGACGUGAUGCUGUUGCAAAAAUUCAAUAUAUAUAUAUAUAUAUAUGUAUAUAUAUCUAUCUUAGGUCCCUUUUCAUUAACUGUAAGGGCAAAGGGGGCCUUUUGAUCAUCAUUUCGAUUACUAAAUUAGUUUUUUGAUUUCUUGUCAAGAGAUGUAAAAUAAGCUAUCUUUAGAUUUUGUUCCCAAUGUCUAGCAGCCAAAAAUGAUGCCACGGACAAAAAGCUUCAGCAAUUAUCUCAGAAAGCAAUAUUCAGCCCUCCGUAGAGCUGAAUUCCAAGCUUCAGUGGCCAAAAUUAAUGAUAUUGCUUUUUGGUUGGAUUUGUAGUCUUGUUCCUUGGCAAUUUCAAAUUUUCAAUUUUCUGACGGCUAACAAGAUUGUUUAAAUCGAUUUUAUAAGGGAUUAUUUCAUAAUGUUUUGCAUAAUAGAGUGCUGUGGUCGAUUGGAAGUUGGCAUUACUCUAAUCCAUCCCAUCACAAGUUAUAAUUACUAUUGUACUAUUCACGAUAACAAGUUUGGUAAACUUGUAAUAAAAACAAAAAAGCUUCGGGACUGAUCUAAAAUGUUUGGACUGAAUUGGUAAUUCCUCAAUGUACCUACUUAACUACAACCCAAGAAAAAACUAAGGGCUUUUGGUUUAGCGAUUUUUCAUAUAACUUCUCUAUAAUUUCAAAAACUAUAUAUAACCCUCUCAUAAUUUAUACUAAAGUAUAAAAAUGAUGGAAAUGACUAAAGUGACUAAAAUAUAUAAGCGAAAUAUGUAUGACACUUUAACUCCGUAUGGUUAUAUAUCAAAAUUAUCAAAAUUACCAUUGUUUAAAAAUUAAAUUUACUAAAGUGACUAAAAUAUAUAAACAUAAUAUGUAUAAUAAUUUAAUCCUGUAUGGUUUUAUUUUUUACUAAAUAAUCCCCUUAUGAUUUAAUGUUUUGCCAGAUAACUCCCUUAUAUUUUUUUAAAUAUAUACAUAAUCCCCCGUGGUUAAUAAAUAUUUUUGAACUGUACAUAGGUGUACUUUUGACAUUUUAAUUGACUAUAUUGUACAAUGUAGAUUCCAUUAUUUUGACAUUUUAAUUCAAACCAUAAGUAAAUUAUGUACAGCUUUCGAAAUCAUAGAGGAUUAUGUGAAAAGACGCUAAACCAUAAGGGGAAAAAUUUUACCCAAAAAUCAAUGAUGUGAUUGUGAAGACAAUAGCAGUCAUCCAUCUUCUCAUCGAACCAAAUGAUUAACCAAAUUUGCUGUCAUCUUUAGAUUAGUAUUUCUAAACAGAUAUUCUACUCGAAUUGAUGUACCAAUUGUAGAUCCAGGAGUCCUAAAGAGUCAUUAAGCAUGAUUGUUCUAUACUUCAACUGUGAACAACGGGCUUAAGGAUCGAAGGCUCUAAUUGUGAUCUGUAAUUUAUAUGAUCAAACAAUUAUUAUAUACUCAACAAACAACAUGUCUAUGCAGUAACACAACUGAUCUGCAUGGGGGUAUCAUUCAAUUGCAGAUUUCACCAUGAAUGUUAUGUUUUCGCUCAAAAUUUAUUUCAACCAUUCAAAAUUGAAAUGGGGUGAUCUCAACCAUCAAUCUUACCCUAAUUUCAAAAUCCCAUCAUUCUUCCGGCGUACACUUAUUCCCUUUUUUUAAAAAAUAAAAAUAAAAAUCGAAGGUUAUGAGUUGCUACCAAACUAAUUUUAACAAUUAUAAGAAAACGAAAAGGAAAGCUUAGUUCUACCCACUGUAUACCUCCAAUUAGGUCCAUUUGUUAAUAAACACCAGCAUAUAGCCACUCUAUGCCUCUAAUUUUAGUCUAAAUUUUUUGUUUUAACUUGGUCCUUUAUGCCUUUGUACAUUGUCCUAAAAUAAGGAGCCUGUCAUUUUCUAUACUACAAUUUUUUGAAGAUGAAAUGAAGUAGGAUUACUGCAUAAACUAUGUAGUUGAGCCGGAAACUUUCAGUUCAAUUGGUUGGUUUGGCUUAUAGAGCCAACGAGACUUUGAUCUGGUAACUAAAACAAAAAAGAUUGAAGUCCCAAGAAAAAUGAUUCCGGUCUUUGGCAUUCGAACAAUGUGAUUACCCUAUCAAUAGUCCUUUUCCGUGGAACAAAAUUAUAGCAGAGAUGAAAGAUUUUCUUUAUUUUCUGUACUGUAACGGGGAAAUUUGCUAAGGCCAUAAUUACAUAAAUUUACUAGUUUUUAUUACAAGAAAGAAGCGGCCUGGAGAAAGAGCACGAAGAGUAAGAAUCAAGGUUUUGGAACAUCUGUAACCACACUGUGCAAUGGACGGUCUCAGAUCGAGUCGAAGGAGGCCGACUAAGUUUGCCAGUUUGGGAGGUUGAUGAAAAAAUGUUCCAGACUUACCACGGCUCCUAGGCCAAAGAUGAGACCUUGUAUUGCACAGUGCGAUUGCAACCCUUCUCAAGAAUCAAUCCAACACUUGUAUCAAGACAAGAAUACAGAAUCUGCAGCAUUCGGCCAUGUUAAGAAUUCAAGGAAGUGGGGAUGGAAUAACAAGAAGAGGAAUUUUGCGACGAACUGCAACGUCAGGGCAUUCUGUCAUAUCCAACUCUUUUCCCUGUGCUCCGGGAAAUUGCCAAUCAAACUUGCUUACCAAAUUUGCCAACACAAGUUCAUUACUAGCAACAGCAAAAGCGAUUCCAGGACAACCCCUCCUACCAGCACCAAAUGGGAUUAACUGGAAAUCAUGCCCUUUAAAAUCCACAGAGGAAUCCAAAAAUCUCUCUGGCUUAAAGUUCUCAGGUUCAUCCCAAUACGCGGGAUCUCUACCUAUUGCCCAAGCAUUGAUGAUCACCAUUGUACCAGCUGCAAUAUCAUAUCCCAUUAUUUUGACAUCUUCUCUUGCCUCUCUAGGAACCAGCAACGGAAUUGGAGGAUGUAAGCGAAGAGUUUCCUUGGUCACUGCUUUUAAAUAAUGCAUCUUUUCUAAGUCAGCCUCAGAUAUCUCUUCCUUGAGACCAACAACCUCUCUAAUUUCAGUUUGCAGUUUCUUUAGGACGAUGGGGUGUCUUAAGACCUCUUGUCAUUGUCCAUUCUGCAACUGUUGCCGUGGUAUCAGUUCCAGCAGAGAAUACAUCCUACAGCUAAAAAAUGUGCACUUGUACAGUAAUUUUGUUGAUUCUCUUGACCAAAGCCCAAAGCUUUUUGGCAAUAGUUUUACAGUAAUUUUGUUGAUUGCCCGUGAGAAUGAUCAGAGAUGACGCAAUGAGUUAUGACUGAGAAAAUGAAGCUUAAUGAUUUUAUAUUCACUGCAGAGAAAAUUGUGCUUACCAAUAUUAUAGCUUUGACGCUGUCCCUGUCCAUGGUUACACCUGUUGCGUUAUCUUUAUAGAUUUUCAGCAAAAUAUCAAGAAAGUCUUCUCUGCUUUCACCAUCAAUCGUCUCACCACUUGGCCUGCAGGAAUAUUUUUCCACUGCACCAUCCAACCUUUCUUGGACCACGCCCUCCAAGAACUCAUCUACUUCUCUAGCAACGCGAUCCACUCUGGCAUCGUAACCAUUAACUCGAUUAAUCCAGCGGAGACAGGGCACAGAUUUGACUAAACUUCCUCCGUUCAGUAACUCCAAGAAUUGGCCCAACAGCAGCUUGAAUUUCUUUCCAGUUUCCCCUCCACCGUAUUUCCUCCCAAAGCCGAUCUGCAUACAAUAUCAUUAGUCAGCGAAACAAACAUUUCGCUCAAAUUCACAGGUGUCGAAUCCAAAGAAGCGUCUUUAAUCUUCUGCAUCAUAAUCGACGUUUCCUCUUCCCUUAUAUUACGAAACGCCUGAACUUUUUUGUUGCUCAGGAGCUGAAGAACACAAAUACUCUUUUAACUGUCUCCAAUACUCGCCAUAGGGUGCUACCGAUAUAUCCUUCAUGUUAUAGAGAAGUUUAUUAGCUGUGCUCGAAAAUGGCCUAUCAGAGAAAAUCAAAUCGUGGGUUUUCAUGAUUAGGCUAGCUCCAUCAGCUGAUGAAACUACAACCGUUGGAACACUACCAAAUUUGAGAAACAUGAUUGGACCAUAUUUUUGGGCUAAGGAGUGGAGAGGAUAGUGAAGCAGUGAGCUUAGCUGAUGAAGAUUUCCAAUAAUCGGAAGUCCUGGUGGCGAUGGUGGCUGAUUCUUUCUCGAAUUUGAAACUAAUUUGAAGAGAAACCACAGUAAGAUUAAAGGAAAAAGCGAAAAAAAGAUUGGAUGAAACAUAUAUACAUCAAUCUUUAGCUCCGAUACCAAGCCUGAGGAGCUUGCCAUUUGCUUUCAUCUCCCCUGUAUUUUGCUCAGGCUACAAGACUCUGAUUUCAGACAAAAAAUUGGAAAACAAGAACGGACAAGCUUGUGUCAGUUGGCAGGCGUGUGGUAUCUAUAUGGAUAGACUUGCAGAAAAAUGACAAAAGAGGAAGAGGAUGGAAAAAUAAGGACAAAUCUAUAAGGAGAAAAUUACACUUUACUCCCAUAUAGUUUAGUAUUUUUGUAUAUAAUUCUCUUAUAGUUUCAAAAAUUAUAUAUAACCCCUUUUACUUUGGAUUAAAGUGUCAAAAUGACGAAAAUAGUCAUUCGUAAUGAAACCUUUUAAAAUGUCAAAAUAACCAUUGUUUAAAAAUUAAAAUGAUUGAAGUAACCAAAAUAUAAAACAUAAUAUACAUAAUACGUUAACUCCACAUGGUUUUAUAUUUAUCAUAUAACCCCCUUAUGGUUUAAUAUUUUAUCAUAUAAUCCCUUUAAGAUUUUCAAAAUAUACACAUAACCCUCCUGUGGUUAAUAAAUAAUUUUUCAACUUUAUAUAGGGGUAUUUUGACAUUUUAUAUGAAUUCGUUAUGACAUUUUAAUUCAAAUCAUGAGGAGAUUAUAUAUAACUUUUGAAACCGUAGGGGGUUAUGUACAAAAAUACUAAACCACAAGGAAUAAAAUGUAAUUGCCUGAAAAAUAAGGACAAAUCGAAACCUCUUACAACAUGAGAACAUAUGAGAACAACAAGGACUGGUUUUUUUUUUUUAUUUUUUUACUACGUGCAUUGAACUAUAGAAUUUCAGACAAAACUACAACUUAAAAUUUAUAACUUUGGGAUAGUAAAAAAAGAAAGGGAGAGAAGCUAAAACAAUUUCACCUGAGUUUUUUAUAUUUUUAUAUCUUGAUUAACUGUUUGUAUUCUGAAUCUUGCUCAAUUCCCGUCACAAAUGAAAAAUAUGAUUAAACAACAACUGCAUUAUAAUCAAAAUAAUAGUACGACCCAAUAUCCAUAUAUUGGGAACAAAAAUACAAAAUGAAUCCACAUAUCCAUAAUCCAAAAUGUAUGGAAAUCAACAUACAAAAUGAAUCCAUAUAUCCAUAAUCCAAAAUGAAUUUGGCAAAUAAAGGGAACAAAAAUAAAACCACAAUUAUAGGGUAAAAAAGAGGAAAAUAAUUAAUUCUUCCGCAUUGACGUUUAAAAUGAAUUCCGGUCUAGAAAAGCCAGGAACAUAAUUUGGCAACGGAAAAACAAAGGGAAACCAAUAAACAAUACUAUUGGUCCAAAAAGUAAACACCACGGAUCGUAAGCCCCGUUCUAUUAGCCUCAAUGGACCAAGUGAAUAACUGUUUUUCGGCCAAGGUACUUCUGGACAAGAAUCACAGGGCUCCACACGCGUCUCAGCCCAUCACAUAAAUGUGAUUGACUCCCAAGUCCAAGAAGUUUGCUUGUUUCCAAGCCUGUAUCUCUACAGUAAAUGGCCCGUGGACUUUCCUGGGCCUGGCCCCACAUAGGUGUUGACCUUGACCCGGUCACUUCGUCCGCGGUGCAAUGCUUCGAUGGACUUCAAAACAUAAAUUAAACAUGGGCAUACUUCUUAAGAAUUCACGAUGUGGGCGGAGAUAAUUUCUACUCUUAAGCUAUUGAGCUAGACCCCUAGGCAAAACCUUAAGGUAGAGAAGUAAAAGAGCAGGGGAGGGAAAACCGGCCUUCUCAGUCAAUUAUUCUAGCAGAAAUUCAAAGAUUGAAGAAUCCGAGGAUGCUGCAAAAUGCUAAGGAGGAGCAAAGUUUAGGUACUUCCAGGAUGCGUUAUUAUCACUUUAUCCCCUUAAAACUAUAUUACUAUUAUCAAUUUACUUCUUAAUAUUAUCUUUUAGUCACUUCACUCUUAUAAGUAAUUCAAUUCAACAUUUUUUAUAUACAAAAAAAUUAAACAAAAUACCUUUUUAUUUUUUUAUAUUAUUACAUUAUUAUUAUCACUUAUUAAUAGUACGAGAACUUCCACUAGAAAUAAGACCACAAAAAUAAAAAAGAAAGCAUAUGAAUACGAAGCCAUUAACAAAGAUAUGGGGUGGCAAUAGCAUGUAGAGGAUGUUUUCUGUGAACUGUGAUACCAGCUGCUUCAGUCAUGUCCAGAUCCUCAGGCUUGAUUCCAUCAGGCAACGCAAAAUUAAAUUUGUUGACCAAUUUUGCCAAUGCAAGUUCAUUUACGGAUAUGGCGAAGUUGAUACCCGGGCAAACCCUUCGUCCGGCACCAAAAGGAAUUAACUCAAAGUUAAAACCUCGAAAAUCUAUAUUGGAAUUCAGAAACCUCUCAGGUUGAAAUUCCUCAGGGUUCUCCCACAACAGGGGGUCUCUUGCAAUUGCACUAGCAUUCACCAACACUAGUGUGCCUGCUGGUAUAUCACACCCCAUUAUUUUGAUGUCUUGAGUUGAUUCUCGAGGAACCAGUAAUGGAACAGGAACAUGAAAUCGUAGAGUUUCUUUAAUCACUGCUUUUAAGUAUCUCAUCUUCUCCAAAUCAUCUUGAGUUAUUUCUGGUUUUCCCUGGGUCACUUCUCUUACCUCAGCCUGUAAUUUCUGCAAGGUUAUAGGUUUCUUUAGAAGUUCUGACAUUGCCCAUUCCACAACUGACUCUGUUGUGUCAGUUCCAUCGACAAGCAUGUUCUGCAUGACGGAAUGAAAGAAAGUGUUGCUUUAGAACAUGCAUAGAUGUUUUUUUUUUAAAAAAAAAAAAUCUAAAUUUCCAAUUUCAAAAAUAAUUGGCACGUUUGCACCCAAGUAAUAAAUUUGUAUCACACCUUUCCAAAGAAAAAGAAAAAUGAAGACAAAUUAACAAUAUUCAUACUAUCGCAAUAAGCGUUUAAUUGCCACAUACAAGACGAAACACUAUGUUGCUUUUCCCUCUAAAAUGUUGAUUAUUAUUGCUCUUUUUUCCUCCAAAAUCUGCAGUUCUGGUAUGCAAUCCAAUUUUAGAAACUCAAUCGUGAAGUGCAAAAACUGAAGAUUUACGUAGUAGAGUUGAACUUGUCAAAAGAUUAAUAGGGUUAGGUACAUGUAAAUUUAAAAGUUACCAUGUUAUACAUUUAUUUCAAGUUUUCUGCAUCACUGGACAGAUAACAAAUCCUUAAACCUUAUCGUUUUGGAAACAUUAAAUGGUCUCAAGUUUAAGUGCAUAAAGUUCGGUUAACCCAAGCAACAAUUGAGGAUUUUUUUUUUUUUUUUGAAAAUUGUUUACAAGAGAAGGUAUUCAAAUGCAAGGGAUGAAUUUUUCUUUUAAUCUGAUAACAAGGGAAGGUAUUCAAAUAUAAGGGACGAAAAUGAGUGUGAUUACAUACAUUCAUAGUAAUUUUGAUAUAAAUUAAAUAUACUAAAGAGUGUAUAUAUAUAGAGUUGUGUGGUAAUUUUAGAAUUUUGAUAGUGAGUCAACCCUUUUUGUAUGUUUACUUAAUAUCCUUACCUCUUGUUUGGUAUGCAGUAAUGUCCAAAAUAAAAAGGUCUUCUACCCAAAAUGGUAGGGAUAAAUAUUUAUCAUUAUUCAUUCUUCAAUAUUUAGUGUGAUCAAUAUUUAGAUGUCAGAAUAGAAUACAAUUAAUAAAUAUUUGACUUAAUUAUCCUAGAUAUGUUUAUGACUUUUAUUUUUUGUUCAAGUAUGUUAAUCUUUUGUUUACAUGGAAUUCGCACAUUUUUUGCUUUCAGAAUCUUUUGUUUACAUGGAAUUUCUACUAUGUAAUCUUUUGUUUUCAUUUUUUUUAUGAAAUUCAAAAAAAAAAAUUCCAUACAACUGUUGGACAGAAUCAGGUCAAACCUGAUGAAUCCGAAAAAAAAACAGGUCAAAUUUAGGUCACCCAUAGGUUGACCUAUUAACCCGUUUAUGAACUAAAAAUAAUUUAAUAAAUAUAAAAAUAUUUUAUCUAACUAAACUAAGUUAUUCUUUUUUUUUUCCAAAGGCAUUAACCACUUAAUCCUAAAUGAAUUUGUUAAACUUGUGUGAAGUUGGAAUCAUUAUGUUUGGACAAAUGAUGUAUUACAUUAUUUUCUACUUUUAUAGUGUCUUAAUUUAUUUUAGAUCUGGUUUGGGAUAAAAACACUUUUACAGUAUUUUAAUUUAUUUCAGAUUUGGUUUGAAAUUAUUUUAUCGAGAUUUUUAUUACUUCAUAUGUAAUUAGUCUUAUGUGAAAUUAGUUCUGUUAAAAACUACAGUGGUAAAUUAGUAAAUUGAAAUUAUGUUUGGAGUCAUUCGGGUGACCUGCCAACCCGAAAAUUUCGGGUUCAGGUCAGGUAUCCUGACCCGUUACGAGUUGACGGGUUGUAUUCGGGUCAGCAGAUUGUCUAUUGUACAUGGGUCUCAACCCGAUCCGUCAACUCAUAUCCGACCCGAUUGCCAUUCACAAGAUUUUAUGUUAAAGCAAGAAAAAAAAAUAAAAAAAUGAGUCAAACUCAAACAUAAACUGAUCAAACCGGACAAACCUGGUAAAACUCCAACAGUUGAACAGGCUAGCCACUAGAAAUUUUUCCCUUUAUAUAAUUGUUAUUAUUCAAAUCUUCUAAUUAUAACUAAAAUAAGAAAACAUUUAAUUGAAUUAGUGGUUGAACCAUGAAGGCAUGAACCAAAAGCUCAUCUGGUUCAUUCAACCAUCCAAGUUUAAUAAUAUUGAAUUCAGUAAACCUUACAAACCAAAUAGAUUUUGAUCUAGCACAUCGGAGUAAAGUAGAAGAAUGCCAUUUAAUAAGUUGUCAUGUCCAAGUCAACUAAACUGAAAACAUUUGUACGAUAGUACCAAACAAAAUCUAAACCUUCCAGCCUAGUGCAAGUCACUACCUUCAAAACUAGUACUAGAUAAUUUAUUAGCAGUAAACAUAAUUCUUUUCAGAGUUGAAACUAAUUAUAAAUUCUCAUAGUGCGAUGUAAUUAAAGAGAUGGAGAGAGAUCCAAUUUACCAGGAUGAUAGCUUUCAUAUCAUCACGGCCAAGAGCAAAGCCGAUAGUGCUUUCCUUAUUAACCUCGAUCAGAAUGUCCACAAAGUCUAGGCAUCUUGCCUCAACGGAAUGGUCAUUUUCAGCCUCACCUUUCCUCUUAUUUAUGUGCUCUUCUAUUACACCCUCAAGAAAUUCAUCAAUCAGUUUAGCAAAUUUCUCCACUUUCAAGUCCAAACCAUUGAAACGAUUAACCCAUGAAAGCCAAGGAAUGUAGUCUCCUACAUCAAAAACACCCAGUAACUCAACAAAAACCAUAAAAGUUUCCAUAAUUUUCCUUCCUUUUUCUUCCUCACUAUACUUCCUCCCCAGGGCAACCCUACAAAUUAUAUCAUUUGCGAGAGUUACAAAUAUUUCAGUUAAGUUUACAGGUGAAGAAGAACACAUCUGGCUGAUCUUUUCGAUCAUGAGUGAUGUCUCUUCUUCUCUAACAUACUGAUAUGACUGAACCCUUUUGUUACUCAAAAGAUGCAGCACACAAAUGCUUUUGGCUUGUCUCCAAUACUCACCAUACGGUGUAAAUCCUACGUCCUUACUUCCGUAGAAUAGUCUAUCUUUAAUGCUCGAUUUAGGCCUGUUUGAAAAAACCAGAUCAUGGGUUUUCAUGAUCUGGCUAGCUGCAUCAGCGGAAGAGGCUACCAGCACUGGCUUGCUUCCAAAAUGAAGUAGCAUGAGUGGGCCAUAUUUUCUUGACAAUGACUGGAGGGAUCUGUGCGGAAGCAAGCCAAGCUGGUGAAGAUUUCCAAUUAUUGGGAGCUUUGGUGGAGAUGGUGGUAGCUUUUUUUGGGGUUUAGAAGCAGCAUAGAACCAUUUCAAAAGGGCUAGAAGGAAUACAACUGAGGAAACUGAGAAAAAUAAAAGAUCAAAAGAGAACGCCAUGGUGUAUAUGAUCUUAUGUUUGCCUAUUAAUGGGCGACUCUUCUUACAUAAGAUUACAGACUGCUUUUAGAAUUGAAAUCCCAAUAAUACACCUGACAACAUUAGGACCAGAAACGUAUAUUUAAUUAUUUAGUACAAGGGAUGAUUUAAGUGAGAUAGUGCAGAUAGUGCAGAUAAAUGCGCGUAUUACAUGUGAUUGGAAUGGAUUAGAUAGUGCAGAUAAAGGGCAUUUAAGUGAGUGGUGUCAAAUUCAAAAUUUUUUAUCUAUGUUUAAAAGGAAAAAAAGGGGCCACACGUUACACAGGACAAAAUUAAUUGAUUGGUCUCUGAUUUAUCUUUUAUCUCUUUGUUGGUUGUGGGCCAUCAUAUUUGUGGGCCAAAUCACGCAAAAACAAACACGUAGGUUUUCAUUCUUAAAAGGAGGAAAAAAGCUUCAGCCACAAGACUGGAAAACCGAGAAACAUAUAAGGAGCAGCCACAAGAAGACUUACCUUCUUGUGAGAAGAUUUCCAGCCGCAUAAUUCAAGAGAGAAACAAAGAGGGAGAAAGGGUGAGAGCUAGACUGAAAGUUCUUUGCAACUUUGAAAUCUCAAUUGAAAUGUGAUUUGAAAUUCGAUUGAGAUGAAAUUUUAUUCACACGAUUCUCUUGUCAAAUUCUACUCAUCUUUGAUAGUUAUAAUUUUUAGGGGUGAUUUUAUAGUAAUUUCGCUUGGUUGAUAUUGAUGAUAUUAUUGUCAUUCGAAUAUUUUCAGAUAGAUCUGUGUAUUUCUAUUAUUGUGAUAGUAAAGAUUUUUUACUGAACUAGGUCCAGUGAUUUUUUCAAUUUGGAUUUUUCACGUAAAAAUGUUGGUGUCCUGUGUCUUUUAUUUUUCCUACAUUUUAUUAUCACUAUUGGCAUUAUUACUUGGUGAUUUGAUUUAUUCCUAUUUUAACUAGUACUUGAAAAAAGUGAAAUUUGUCUUGAGCAAAUUCUAACAUUAUGUACGUGUAUCGGUACCCCUUUCCCAAUGCUCUUGGACCUAUGGUAUUGGAAUCAUGGAGAAAACUCCUUUGUGAAAAAAUAACCAUUCAUAUUUUGCAAAAUUUGAUUCCAAGAAAUAGGAAAAAGACGUUUAGCAUGGCAUAUCUUUUUCUCCUUGGAUGAAGAAAGCCGGAACAUCGAAUAUUCCCUUUCGGCCAUAGUCCCACAGCCGGCAGUUGAUUCUCCUUGUUACCACGCACGUCUUAUCAAAUGAGCUCUGGCGCAAGAGGGCAAGCCCAAACAAAUGCCUAUGAAAUGUCACUGGAAUUGUCGAAAUUUACAGCAUAAUCAGUCUAUCUGCCUAUGAAAACGCCACCGAAGUUGUUCAAAAUUACCGAAUAACCCGUCCAUGAGCACUGUAGCAACUCCAACUCGCACUUUUAGUAUAGUGAGGAUAUCUCAAUAAUUGCUUCACCGACUUCCAAAAUAUAUACACAAAAUAUAUGUAAGACAUUUUUAUUCUUUUUUUUUUUUUGGCUUUGCCUACUUCCCUCCAGCCCAGUGCAAAAAAUUUACUAAAUAUCCGAAUUCUCCACACCCAUUUCUGAUAUGUUAUCGUGCUCAUCUAGGUGUCCAGCCAAACUUGAUGUGCCUCAAAUAUACGUCGUUAACUUUUAAAAUAAAAACAGCCAUAUUUUUACAAAAGAAAAUUGAAAUUAUUCAAAUCGUGCCAAAUUAGUUGUUUUGAUUUCUUGUCAAGAGAUGUAAAAUAAGCUAUCUUUAGAUUUUGUUCCAAAUGUCUAGCAGCCAAAAAGGAUGCCACGAACGAAAAGCUUCAGCAAUUAUCGCAGAAAGCAGUCUUCUGCCCUCCAUGGAGCUGAAUUCCAAACUUCAGCCGCCAAAAUUAAUCAUAUUGCUUCUUGGUUGGAUUUGAUUAUCAUGUUGUGAUUGUAGUCUUGUCCCUUGGCAAGUUCAAAUUUUCAAUUUUCUGACAGCUAACAAGAUUGUUUAAAUCGAUUUUAUACGACGGGAUUAUUUCAUAAUGUUUUGCAUAAUAGAGUGUUGUCGUGGCAUUACUCUAAUCCAUCCCAUCACAAGUUAUAAUUACUAUUGUACUUAGGGGUGGGCACGGGUCAGGUAUCUGUCCCUAACAAGAUAUGGCUGACCCGACCCUAAAAUAUCGGAUCAGUCAUUUUGCGACCCUAACCCGCUCCAAUAAUCAAACCAAUUUCAUAAAUUUAGUACAUAUUAGAAUUAUAAUAUCUAAUAGAUAAAACGAAAUUUUAUGAUAAUUUUGAGUAUAUCACCGUUCUCACGCAUUUCAUCCUUCUAUAACAUAACAAAUACAAGGAUAAUAAGUGUAUGGCAACUUUUCCAACUUUUCCAACUUUUCCAAACACAAGGAUAAAACGAAGUUUUAUGAUAAUUUUAAGUAUAUCACCAUUCUCACGCAUUUCAUCCUUUUACAACAUAACAAACACAAGAAUAAUAAGUAUAUUACAACUUUUCCAACUUCCUUAAGGAUAUUAUGGUACAAGAUUGCAUCCAAAAUGAGUCGAUUGUGGAAUCAAGUUCGGAAAAGAAUUGAACAGAGCUAAUAAUUUUUGAAGAAAGUAAAACCAAAAUAAUCUUGAAAAAUUUUCCCCAACUUUCUUACAUCUUUGGAAUAGACCUUGUUGCAUUAAAGGUGAUGAAAAAGAAAAAUAAAUUUCUUGUACUAAAAUAAAGGAAACAAAUUUAAGAGACACAAUUGCAAUAAAAUAAAUAAAUAAAUGAAAGAGACAAAUGUUUUAAUUAUCUAGCUAACAGAAAAUUGGAGCUCCAAACACAAAUUUUUGAUUGAAUUGAUCAAAAUUUUGCAGAAAAGAUCGAUGGAAGUAGAAUAAAAAUGAAAAAGGAUGAAAGGGAUGAACAAUUUUUAUGAUAGAGUUUUACAAAUUUUUCUUUGUUUAUUCAUUUGGUUCAGGUUUCACCAAAAAUAUUCACUUUUUUUAGACAAGAUGAGCAGAGGCAGAUCAUAUGAGAUUAAAAUAUGAGGUUGUGAACCACUUUACUUACAGUUAUGAUUAAAAAUUAUAAAAUUAUAUAAUGAACCCUUAUUUUUUUAAUAUUUAUAUAAUAUACCCUACGGGUCGGGUAUCCGCGAGUUUUUAUUUUGCUGAUCCGUAUCCGUAUCUGUUUUUGCGGGUACUCGACCCGCAUCUACCCCGCCAAGAAAAAUAUGAUCGGAUAUCCAAUUUUUCGGAUCGGAUCGGGUUGGUCGGGUUUCGGAUCGAAUCGAAUUUUUGCCCACCCCUAAUUGUACUAUUCACGAUAACAAGUUUGGUGCCUCCUCAUUUUCUAUACUACAAUUUUUUGAAGAUGAAAUGAAGUAGGAUUACUGCAUAAACUAUGUAGUUGAGCCGGAGACUUUCAGUUCAAUUGGUUGGUUUGGCUUAUAGAGCGAACGAGACUUUGAUCUGGUAACUAAAACAAAAAAGGUUGAAGUCCCAAGAAAAAUGAUUCCGGUCUUUGGCAUUCGAACAAUGUGAUUACCCUAUCAAUAGUCCUUUUCCAUGGAACAAAAUUAUAGCAGAGAUGAAAGAUUUUCUUUAUUUUCGGUACUGUAACGGGGAAAUUUGCAAAGGCCAUAAUUACAUAAAUUUACUAGUUUUUAUUACAAGAAAGAAGCAGCCUUGGGAAAGAGCACGAAGAGUAAGAAUCAAGGUUUUGGAACAUCUGUAACCACACUGUGCAAUGGACGGUCUCAGAUCGAGUCGAAGGAGGCCGACUAAGUUUGGGAGGUUGAUGAAAAAAUGUUCCAGACUUACCACGGCUCCUAGGCCAAAGAUGAGACCUUGUAUUGCACGGUGCGAUUGCAACCCUUCUCAAGAAUCAAUCCAACACUUGUAUCAAGACAAGAAUACAGAAUCUGCAGCAUUCGGCCAUGUUAAGAAUUCAAGGAAGUGGGGAUGGAAUAACAAGAAGAGAAAUUUUGCAACGAACUGCAACGCCAGGGCAUUCUGUCAUAUCCAACUCUUUUCCCUAUGCUCCGGGAAAUUGCCAAUCAAACUUGCCUACCAAAUUUGCCAACACAAGUUUAUUACUGGCAACAGCAAAAGCGAUUCCAGGACAACCCCUCCUACCAGCACCAAAUGGGAUUAACUGGAAAUCAUACCUUUUGAAAUCUAUAGACGAAUCCAUAAAUCUCUCGGGCAUAAAGUUCACAGGUUCAUCCCAAUAUGCAGGAUCUCUACCUAUUGCCCAAGCAUUGAUGAUCACCAUUGUACCAGUUGCAAUAUCAUAUCCCAUUAUUUUGACAUCUUCUCUUGCUUCUCUAGGAACCAGCAACGGAAUUGGAGGAUGUAAGCGAAGAGUUUCCUUGAUCACUGCUUUCAAAUAAUGCAUCUCGGCCAAGUCAUCCUCGGAUAUCUGUUCUUUGCCACCAACAACCCCUCUUAUUUCAGUUUGCAAUUUCUUUAGGAUAAUGGGGUGUCUUAAGAUCUCUGCCAUUGCCCAUUCUGCAACUGUAGCCGUGGUAUCAGUUCCAGCAGAGAAUACAUCCUACAGUCAAAAACAUAUACACUUAAAAUCAAUGAUUUGUUGAUUGUCCGUGAGAAUGAUCAGAGAUGAAGCUUAAUGAAGCUUAAUGAUUUUAUAUUCAGAAAAAAUGAUUUUAUAGAAGCUUAAUGAUUUUAUACUCAGAAAAUGAAGCUUAAUAAUUUUAUAUUCACUGCGCAGAGAAAAUUGUGCUUACCAAUAUUAUAGCUUUGACGCUGUCCUUGUCCAUGGUUACACCCGUUGCGUUAUCUUUAUAGAUUUUCAGCAAAAUAUCAAGGAAGUCUUCUCUGCUUUCACCAUCAAUCGUCUCACCACUUGGCCUGUAGGAAUAUUUUUCCACUGCACCAUCCAACCUUUCUUGGACCAUGCCCUCCAAGAACUCAUCUACUUCUCUAGCAACGCGAUCCACUCUGGCAUCGUAACCAUUAACUCGAUUAAUCCAGCGGAGACAGGGCACAGAUUUGACUAAACUUCCUCCGUUCAGUAACUCCAAGAAUUCGCCCAACAGCAGCUUGAAUUUCUUUCCAGUUUCCCCUCCACCGUAUUUCCUCCCAAAAGCCGAUCUGCAUACAAUAUCAUUAGUCAGCAAAACAAACAUUUCGCUCAAAUUCACAGGUGUCGAAUCCAAAGAAGCGUCUUUAAUCUUCUGCAUCAUAAUCGACGUUUCCUCUUCCCUUAUAUUACGAAACGCCUAAACUUUUUUGUUGCUCAGGAGCUGAAGAACACAAAUACUCUUUAACUGUCUCCAAUACUCGCCAUAGGGUGCUACCGAUAUAUCCUUCAUGUUAUAGAGAAGUUUAUU